rnacentral:lncRNA from 1 species
CAACCCCUCCGUUUUCAACAACUAGCUAAGCCUAAUUAGCUAGAAGAAGUGUUAGCACGCGGAAUUGCAGCUGCAGAGCUUACUCACGUUUCGAGGAGCAUUCUGGCUUUGUGUUGUGUGUUUCCUGUGUAUGUGCAGUCAAUCAGUCUAUGUGUGUAUGUAUGUAUGUAUGAACAUGCCAUGUACUCCAAUUAAUCGAUUGAGAUGUUAAUUACUUAUCUUUAUGUAUGUUUAUUGCGCACAAUUACUAAAAAAAGAAAGUCGCCUCAUUACCGAGGCUUGCUGGUGAACGUGUAACAUUCUAAUUUUCCAAAAUUGGAUGUUAACAUGUCAUUCAUAUACAUCACAUAAUUUAUGAUCAACGUGUGUUUGUAAGGUGGCUUCGGAUGAGUUUAGGGUGACUAGGAAAGUAAARGCAAAGGUAAAGAUAUCUGAUGAUGGAACGAUAAUGCCCAGAAUGCCUACAUCUAAAUAUGAGUGCGGACAACAUAGAUAAGUACAAUGUGGUAAAGAACACUGUAAAGCAAGCUGUGAGUGGAUCAAGGGAUCGGACUGUGAAAACCUCUACCAGCGUUUAAAUAGGAAGUAAGGCGAAGGGGACAUCUAUAAGAUUACCAAGAUUGGAGAGAGGGAGAUGAUGGAAGUAAGGCGAAAGGGGCAUCUACCGUGGCGAAUGCAUAAAAUAGAGAUGAUGACCAAGAUCGGAAAGAGGGAGAUGAUGGAUGUCAACCUAGUUAAAUGCAUAAAAAAAGAGCAGACCAGCUUCUGAUGAAGGACGAGGACCCUCAGUACCGUGGCGAAUGCGGUUGGAAGUCCCAGAUAGGAGGUUGCAUAAGGGGGUUACUCAGGUUCGGACCCUUGUAGUGAUGUAAGAACAUCUCCAACAGACAUGCGCUAGCGCCGGGCGUUAAAAAUUUUAUUCAGCACCGAAAUAGUGUUUUCAGCGUGCUGGAGAAUGUUUGCUCCAACAGGCGCUGCAAAAUAUGGCGCUCAAUCCGACGGCCCCACAUGCAGCGGCCAGCGCGCGUAAUCCGACGCCUCAAUAACGAAGCCCAAAAGCCAGCGUGCUCAAAAUUUGCAGCAUGGGCGCUCACGUUUUUUAUGCGCGCUCUAUUUCAGAGCUUUUGUUGGAGCUCUUUUUUCUGUCUUCGGCGUUUAAAAAGGAUAUCUUUUAGGGGGCGGAAGAGUUUUUGGGUGUGUGUUGGAGAUGCUAUAAUAUCCUACAUCCUACUUCAAAUUUGCAUCAUGUUGCAUCACCUCGUGCGAUGGGGUUAUAGAUGUGUAUGGCUAUCGACAAUAUAAUUUAUGUUGUGGAUGCGUAUGGCUACACCUACCCGCGCCUUAUAUGGGUGGCAAGGGCUAGGAUUUACACAGGAUCUAACCGAACUCAUGUUGCCGCCAUCUUGGCAUGCACGCCAAGAUGGUCCUUUUAUCUCUAUCGGGGCCUCCGGGAACCUCCCUGGUCCUUCACUGGGUCAUCUGGAUCCUGAGGCAGGCCUGUUGUCGGGCUUCCACCGAGAGGAAUUUCUCUUGCACAAUCAACAAUAAAAUGAGCAUUUCUCUUGCGCUUGAAGCGAGAAUUGUCUCAAAAAGAAUUUGAGCUUGAGGAAGGUUGGGAGCAACUCUUGGAGUCUUCUUCAAGAAAUGAUUCUUCUUCUUGAAAUGCUUGAAAUGCUUGAAAUGUUUCAUUAUCAAGGUGAGGUAUUUUCCAAAGCUGUCGGGAUCAUCAAAUUCUUCAUCAACAUUUUCCUCGUCUUUUUCCGUGGAAGAAUUCGAAGAAUCUUUGUGAGCAUGACUUUUGUGAUAGUUGGAACCAUACAAAUACCUUUUUCAUCUUCUUGUAACUCAUGAGGAGGGUUGAGACUUUUGUAGUGGGACGUUCCUUGUUCAUCAGAACUAGAGUGUUAAUAGAAUUGUCCAUAGAAUGUAGCAACUUGUUUACUACUUCAUGAUCAGUACCAAGUCCUUGAAGCUCACCUAAGAGGACACAUAGAUGAUCAUAAGUAUCGUGGACCCAUUCAUUUCCGGUUCUAUUGAAAAGAUUGAGGCAGUUUUGGAGAGUCUCAAUGUGAUAGUCUUUCCGUGUGGAUACACCCUUGUUCACUUUCUCAAGUUUAUCCCAGAUUCUGUUUGAAUUUUCCAACCUUUGGUGUCAAAGGAAUUGCGGCUUUAAGAGAUGAUUACUGACACGUCUAUGUUGCAUCAUGAUUUCUUAUUAGUAUUUAUAUGAUUCUUGGUCAUUAUCCCACUUUAUGGUACAAUUCUUAUGUCUUUUCUCUCUGAAUUUGCAAGGUACACCACAAAGAGGGAAAUUGCCGAAAACUGGAAUUUUGGACCUGAAAACCAAGAAAAAGGCUGAAAAUUCACUCGACUCCGAAUGACCGGAAACUUCACGAGGAAUGUUUGUGGAAUAUAUAUGAAUUUAUGGAGCAAAAAUAUACCAAAGGGGGGCCACCUGUUGGUGCCAAGCCAAUAGGACGCGCCGUGAUGGCUUGGGGCCAUCUCCGAGGCACUUCAGCCUCCCUCUUCUGCUAUAAGUUGGGUUUUGACCUAGAAAAAAAUAGGAAGAUACGUUCGUGAGGAAGCACCGCCGUCCCGAGGUGGAAACCUGGGCAGAGGCCCUUUUGCUCUUCGGUAGAGCGAUUCUCUCGGGGAAACUUCCCUUCGGGAGGGGGAAAUCGAAGCCAUCAUCAUCACCAACGCUUCCUCCUUCGUGGGAGGAUCAAUAUUAAUCAACAUCUUCACCAGAACCAUCGCAUCUCAAACCCUAGUUCAUCUCUUGUAUUCAAUCUUUGUCUCAAAACCUCAGAUUGGUACGUGUGGGUUACUAGUAGUGUUGAUUAUGUCUUGUAGUUGAUGCUAGUUGGUUUACUUGGUGGAAGGUAAUAUGUUCAGAUCCUUAUUCAUAAUUAUUACGCUUAUGAUCUUGAACAUGGUGAUGAUUUUUGAGUAGUUACUUUUGUUCUUGAGGACAUGGGAAAAGUCUUGUUACAAGUAAUCAUGUGAAGUUGGUAUUCGUUCGAUAUUUUGAUGAUAUGUAUGUUGUUGCUUCCUUUAGUGGUGUCAUGUGAACUUCGACUACAUGCCACUUCACCAUUACUUGGGACYAAGGCACACASRKKAUAGGAGUAAUAAGUAGAUGNNNNNNNNNNNNNNNNNNNNNNNNNNNNNNNNNNNNNNNNNNNNNNNNNNNNNNNNNNNNNNNNNNNNNNNNNNNNNNNNNNNNNNNNNNNNNNNNNNNNAAUUAAAGUUGUUUAGGUUUAUUUAAUUUAAUUAAANAGUAGGAGGGUAGUUUAUUUNACCAACCUAAACAUGUAUUAGUUAGUUUCUAGUUUUAGAAAAAUUAAUUUAAACACAAAUUAAAAGGAGCUUGAAUUUCWAAAGGAAUUUGAAAUGAGAUAUGAUUCCAAUGUGAUCAAAUAAGGGUUUAGCAAAAGCAUUAUCUUAACCACAUGGUUUACUGUAGCUUAAUUGCAUGCAUCAAUGUAGCUGAAAUCCACGAGUGCUACAAAAAGGUAGUCUCCUCAACACUCAAUCACUCUUUCACAAAUUUGGCUUGGGUAGAAGAGAUUGAUUGGGUGGAAAGCAACUUGGGGAGGCUAGAAAACAAGAUUCAUAUGGUAGGAAUGGAAUAUCUUGAUCUAAACACAUGAGUAGGUGGCUCUUUCAGAAAAUUGGAUGGGGUAAGUGUUGGUUCGUUCUGAGUGCUUCCUCUUCAAAUGAGAGGCUGGUGGAUGGGUAUAUAUAGGCAUCUCCAAAAUUCCAAAUGUUACAACAUUAUUGCCCAACUCGGUGAAACCAAAGUAAGAAACUCGGUUGCACCGACUAGUGCAAAAUGUGGCAACUUUAGGCUUUUCGGUGACACCAAUAUAGAAAUCUCGGAGGUUCCGAUGUUGGCUGGCCUCGUCAGUUACCAGACUCGGUGGCACCAAUUUGCAAAACUCAGAAAUUCCGAUUUUAGCGAAUGGCUAUCCAGGGAGUUGGUCACUAUGUUCCGGUUAGACCGAAACCAAACUUGGUGGUACCAAGAUGUUAGGGUUUGGCAUAGAUUCUGUCUCGGGUAAAACUCGGUAGGUCCGAUUUGGAAAUAUUGCUGGCACCGAAUUUGACUUUGGGGUUUGGACAGAAUAUUUGUGGGAGAAUUUCAUGAGUAUUUUUGGUGGCUAAUCUAUAAGCUCUUGAGCAACUAGAUCAUCAUAGACACCUCAUCCCCUUUUAAUAGUAUUGGCUUUCCUAUGGAUGAAAAAGUGAUUUCUCACAAAAUGUAAAAUUUAGAGUCUUGAAGCUUGUUGCCAAUAGAUGUUCCUUGCAUCUAGGGGUUCUCCUCACAAUCCUUAGCGAGUCCAUCAUUGAUCUUUUCGUGAAAUAUACUAGAUAGAAUCAUUAGUCCAAUGACAUAUAUGUUGUUAUUAAUUACCAAAACCACCUAGGGACAAGUUGUGCUUUCACUUGCUUGGGUCCCUAGCCCGUCACUAAUACCUAUUUUGGACCCACCACUGCUAGGCAUUCCUGUAGUAGUCGGGUUGAUACCUCGUAACGCACUCCUGAUGAUAACUCUAUAGUGUAGCUAAUCGGUCAUGGAUUACAGAGGGUGAUUCCUCCUUCACCACUCCCGAUAAUGACUCUGUCAUGCAACACCUCAAGUGUGAGCCCUUGGAGGGUGAUUCCUCCAAGGUCACCUUGACGGUUACAUGGAGUGGGAUCCAAUGAGGGUUAUUCAUCAGAUUCCCGUUGAUGUUAUGGACACACGGUUACUUUGACUUUACCCCAGAACCAUGUUGAAGUCGGGUCUGCCCAAGGGGUACCCGCCAGAAAUGAGAAGUCGGGUUGACCGUGAGAGUAUCCAUGAGUGAAUUGGAGUCGGGUUGACCUGGAGGGUUCCCGCGAGAUAAUUAUGCGACAUGGUCGGGCAAUCUUAGCCCUUGUUGUAAGUCCAGGAGACGGGACCAUAGAUCGUGGAUCAUUGAUCGUCUUUGCGCGCUCCCAAGACACUAACGGUUUGGAUAUGUGAUCCGAGUAGGCCUCUCGCAUUUUUGCACUGACCACCAUGCAGGAAUAAGUAUGGGCACUCUGCGUCGUACAUUUCUUCUGAAAGCUUUUUAGCCCCACAGUUGAGCGGCACGCGCUCGGGUGGUCCGCAUAAGCACAUGCUUUGUACAAAGAGGUAGCCACGACUAAUUCUGCUCGUCCUUGCAACUGAAAGAUUGCAAAGGACGAUUGGCCCAUGACCCAUUCGCAUUUAGGAUGUAGACCGACGUGUUGGUCUUUGUGUUGAGCCUAGGUAGGACUACGAUGUGUCGAUCAGCCGAGGUCGGGCAUGAUCUGGAAAGUGUGUCCAGCCAGAGUUAAUCUGGGGUGUAGGAUAAGUUGGUGCACCCCUGCAUUGAAGUAUUUAUAUUCGAAGAGUCGUGUCCAUGGUAACAGACGCUCGGAGAGUAUCCCAAUCUACUACAACUAGAACUGGAUACUUGUGACACUAAACAGAAAUGAUGGCUUCAAGAUCGCUUUCUCGCAGGGAGUCGAGGAAGGAUCUAUGGGCACUGCUACUACAUACUUAUCACAUAUGUUAUACUAAUAUGUACUCUUCUAAUGCUGCAAGACGCUAGUCUGUGAUAGGCUAGGCCUUCCCUUCUAUUCUGGCAUUUCCGAAGUAUAGUCCAUAGAUAGAGCCCCUUCCCCUUGAAAGUGAUGCAUAUUUAGCAUAGAUGUGAUGUAAGUCUUGCGAGUACUUUGGAUGAGUACUCAUAGUUGCUUUGCUCCUUUUUUCUCCUUGAUAUGAUUGCUGUGAUCAGAUGACGGAGUCGAGGAGCUAGCUGAUCCCGUCGAUGACUACUACUACCCCGAUAGAGCCUACAACUACGUGGAGGCCGCCGACGACCAGGAGUAGACAGGAGGCUCCCAGGCAGGAGGCCUGCACCUUUUUGAUCUAGGUGUCAUUGUUUUGCUCAGCCUUCUUAAGGCAAACUUAUUUAAUUAUGUCUGUAAUCAGAUAUUGCUGCUUCCGUAGACUUAUGUAAUCGAGCCUUCGCGUUGUUUGUAAUAUAAAACUUUAUGUUUGAAUUUGUGUCUAGAGUUGUGUUGUGAUAUCUUCUCGGGAGUCUCCGAUCUUGCCCAUGCGCAUUUGCGUGUAUGAUUAGUGCACAAUUAAGAUGGGGGUGUCACACGACAUUUAGAUAUGUACAACAACGACGUCGGACCAAGAUGGUGAGCAUGAAAGAAAGGGGAAAUACACGCAGAGUGGAAGAAAGGGGGGGUCAUGAGGGGGAUUUCUAUGGGUCAAUGGUGCCGAAGUCCUACAUAACUAGUGUUUGGACACCCGCAAAGCCCUCUCGAGUUUGAAUCCAGUUUGAUGGAAAAAGGAUGAGUGGACUAGCCCGCAGAUGGAUACAUUAUCACGUUGAAUGGCAAAACACAUCCGGACAGCUCGGUCCAUACGGAUGGGGGCGGUUUAAGGGCCAACGUUGAAGAUGCCCUUAUUCUUUUUUUAGGGAGGAGGUGCCCUUAUUUGUGGGUGUAGAUAUACAUCGCUUCACACAAGUUGGAGCAACAACUCACUCACAUAAUGAAAGAAGUCCGUCUUUUCUCUUAUUUUUUUCCUUUCUUUGUUUUUGUUUUUUGUUUUAUUCUUGUUUUGAAAAAUAUUGUAAAUAUAAUUAUAUAUUUAAAAACAUAAAUAAUAAAGGUUAAUUUAUAAAAAGUUUAAUAUAUUAUAAAAACAAUGUUUACAUGUAUAUGGAAAUUAUAUUAUGAAAAUGUUCACAUGUUUCAAAAAAUGUAGUUGAAAUUCUAAAAAUGUCAAUCAUAUAUUCAAACAAAAUGUUAAACAUAUUUCAAAUAAAUGUUUCAAAGGUUUAUAAAAAAUAUUGGUAGCAUACAAAAAUAUAUUGGUGACAUUUUAAAAAUGUUUCACGUCUAAAACAUGUAAGUGGCAUUAUAAAAAAUGUUAAUCAUGUGUUUGCGAAAUGUUACACGUAUAUCAAAUAGAUGUUUUUGACGUAUAUGAAAAAUGUAUAAUGCUUAUGAAAGGAGUAAACAUCAAACAAAUGUUUGAAAGAAAUGUUUAAACAUUGUAUUUGAAAUGCAAAAUUUGUAUUGCGAACCAACCUGUGGUUGGAUGAUUAGAGUGACACUGGUAUCUUUAGCCCACGAUGUUUCAAGUCUUGGUACUCACAUUACUCCUGGAUUUAUUUCAGGAUUUCCGACAAUGCACAUUUAGUGGGAGGAGACGUUCCGUCGACGACGAGGCAUCUAUGAUGACUUCGUAAAUCUUAAGGUGAUAUCUGGCUCAGUAUCUCGAAUGUGCUCAUAAGAACAUAGUUAAUACUUAAUAGUAUAGCCAACUGCUGGCUAUAUGAUGUUGCCAUGUCACGUAUAAUCACCAUUUAUAGCCACACAUAUAAUUAUGUUAGUUAUAAGGUUGGCUAUAAGACUACUACUUUGUCCUUCUCCUUGUCUAUUUUUUUGUAUUUAUUGAAUUUGCCUAGGAGUACGCAUAUAGCUAAGCUCUCGCAUGAGGCCACUUUCAACGCAUUGGUGCUAAGAUGAGGUGCUAAGCACAUUAAAUAGUUUAGCGACUAUAGUCUGCAAUCAUAGUUGCUUAGCUUAUUGUAGCUAAACCUACUUAUUUAAUGCUUUUGCAACUAAAGUUAUACAUGCAUCGGUGCAUUUCUUUCAUUUAAUUGUUUUACCUAGGUUUACGCGUUUAGCAUUGUUUCUUUCCGAUGUCAUCACACUAAUCUCUCUCCUAUUAAUUAGUUUGCCACAUCAGAUUUUUUGUCUAUAUGACAGCCUUAGCACAUGUACAAGGUGGAGUUUUGAGAGUAGUCUAAGAGCCCACUCUUCUUAUAUUUUUCAUCUCUCUCUUCUUCACAUAGACAAAACAUCAUGUAAGCAGACUAUAAACCCACUGUUGUACUUGUUAUAAGGGUAGAAUUUAUAUGUAUACGUUUAUAGGGAUGAAUGUAUACACGUAAAUAUGAACGUUUGCGACUGUACUAUAGUAAAAAAAAUUAUACCUGCAUAAAGAAGUUAACCAUGUAUAAAAAAUGUUAACAGUGUACACAAAAAUAUAGACAUAAAAUAAUCWAUUUUACAAUGAUGAUUGUGUAUUUUCAAGAUGUUUAACAUGCAUAAAAAUAUAUUUUAAAUGUAGAAAUAGUAAAWWCUACACAGAAAGUCGAGGAAAAAGAAUACGAACAAACACAUAAGAAAACCAAAAAAGGUACAAUCGUAAGGUUACGAAGAAAAACUAGAUGAAACCCAAUAAAAGAAAACCAACAAUAAAAAGAAAAGAAAGACUAACAAGUAANNNNNNNNNNNNNNNNNNNNNNNNNNNNNNNNNNNNNNNNNNNNNNNNNNNNNNNNNNNNNNNNNNNNNNNNNNNNNNNNNNNNNNNNNNNNNNNNNNNNUGACUUUAUCUGUCACUCCUAUUGUCUGCUCCCGCCGAGUGGGGCUACGUCCUAUGAAGAUUAAACCUGCUUUACUGAACCUUGUUAUGAAAGAUCAAUUCUCCGGUGCUGGAGAUGCUGCUCCUUUGCACUUGAACAAUUUUGUUGAGCUUUGUGAUAUGCAAAAAUAUAAAGAAGUAGAUGGUGAUAUUGUUAAACUUAAGCUUUUUUCCUUUCUCCUUGAGAGGAGGAGCUAAAGUGUGGCUUUAAUCUUUGCCUAGGAAUAGCAUAGAUUCUUGGGAUAAGUGCAAAGAUCCUUGUAGGUUUCAGAAAAAAAUUGAAAGGUGAUUUUCCCCCAUCGUGUUGUUACGCUUUUUAGAGAGUUUCUAGACACUCACCACCAUAGCGAUUUUUGUCGCAAUUUUUGGUCGUUGCAGCCCCGAAUUGCUCUAAAAAAACUAGUCAAUUUUUUCCGUGUCUAUCCUAUUUUUAGUCCUUUGGAAGAGUUUUGAGACACUAGCCAUUAUAGUGAUUUUCUGGAGGAAAAAAUACAAAAAAAGCAAAAAAAUAGAAAAUAAAACCAGAGUAGCUCUUCCCUUGAUUACGUGUAGCGUCAUGAUUUUGUUGGUGUUCUAGGCUCGCGUCUCUAGUACGAUCUAGCCUAGGACCAACACGGUACCGUCGUUGAGCGUCUUUUCAACUUUGCAUCUCUGAACUGAUUAUUGCUGACCUUUUUUGCUACUAUAUUAUAAGCCUUCCCACCUCCACAUACAUCUACAUCAUGUGUUUGACACCACCUCGCAAUCGCUCUAUCCAAGCUUUGAGAGUUUUGACUACACUAGUUGCCGAUCACCACCUGCUGCUGGGUAAGAACUGGUAAGAAUUUGAGAUUUUCUUGAUGGAUUUCCUGAUAUAUAUAUAUAUAUAUCUUACUUGGGAGUUGAAACAGAGAAACGUUUUACAUGCUUACAAUUUCCUGAGGAUAAUGUCUUGCUGCUGCUGUUUGUUCAUUCACUAGUUUUGCUUGUGUUUGGUGGUCUGAAUAUUGUAGAAUACAUCAUGCUAAUAUUCCAACUACUUGGGCUGCUUUGAAAACUGCUAUGCGUACUUGUUGGGUUCCACCAUAUUAUCAAUGUGAAUUACUUCAAAAAUUGCAGCGUUUACGACAAGGAAAAAAUUCUAUAGAACAAUAUUAUGAGGAAUUACAAACUGGCAUGAUUAGAUGUGGUAUUGUUGAGGACAAUGAAGCUAUGCUUGCAUGUUUUAUGGGUGGAUUGAAUUGAGAUAUUCAGACUAUUCUAGAAUAUAAGGAUUAUAACACUAUCACUCGUUUAUUCCAUCUUGCUUGCAAAGCUGAACGUGAAGUGCAGGAUCGUCAGGCAUUGGCGAGAACUAACUUUUCCGCAGGUCGCACUUCCUCAUGGACGCCACAGACCUCAUCUACUUCCGCACGUCCUCCCGCAUCAGCAUCGCCUACUUCAACCACCAACUCCAACGGAGAUACCAGGAAACAGGCCCCUGCCCCACCCCCCGCCAAGAGCACACCUUUCGGGCUAGCACAUAUCUCUUCUUCAUCCAUGGCAUCCACAGGGAAAACACAUGAGGUUAUCUCUCGUUGUUGCAAGGGUGGAGGUCAUUAUGCGAGAGAGUGCCCAUCCAAGCGUGUGAUGAUUGUUACUGAGGAUGGUGGAUAUGACUCCGCUAGUGAUUAUGACAAGGAGACUCUGGCUCUUAUUGCAAGUGAAGAACAGGGUGUAGAUGAUACUGAACAAGAGACACACUACAUGGUACUGACUACGCUGACAUUUAUGAAAGCUUAGUUGCUCAACAUGUUUUAAGUAUGCAGGUAACAUAGGCUGAGGAAAAUUAGAGGCACAUCUUGUUCAAUACAAAGGGAGUUGUGAAUGAACGUUCUGUUCGCGUAAUCAUCGAUGGAGAGAGUUGUAACAACUUAGCUAGCAUGGAGUUCGUGGAGAAGCUGUCUCUCACCACCAGACCACAUCCUCAUCCUUAUUACAUCUAGUGGUUCAACAACAGUGGCAAGGUUAAGGUUACACGUACUGUUCAUGUGCAUUUUAGCAUUGCUACAUAUUCUGAUUUUGUUGAUUGUGAUGUGGUACCCAUGCAAUCAUGCUCCCUUUUACUUGGUAGACCAUGACAAUUUGAUUAAAAAAAGUGUACACCAUGGUAGGACAAAUUAGUAUACUCUUGUUUAUAAGGAUCAAAAUAUAACUUUGCUUCCUAUGUCUACUCAACAUAUUAUGAAAGAUGACAUUGUUAGAGAUAGUAAAGCAAAAUAGGACCUACAUAAGAGUGAAAAUCAGAUUGUAGCAAAGGAAAUUGAGAAACACCAUAAUCCUAAUAAACCAUCAUCUAGUGUUGCAUUUGAAAUAAAACUAAAGAGUGGUUGUUUACUUGCCACUAAAUCUGACAUUACCGAUUUGGAUGUUACUACUGUUGGGUAACGUAGUAAUAAUUCAAAAAAAUAACUACGUGUCACCAAGAUCAAUCUAGGAGAUGCUAGCAACGAGAGAGGGAGAUCAUCUUCAUACGGUUGAAGAUCGCUAAGCGGAAGCGUUACUAUGAAUGCGGUCGAUGGAGUCGUACUCACGGCGAUCCGAUCCAAGCACCGAACGAACGAUGCCUCCACGUUCAACACACGUGGGACGUCUCCUCCUUCUUGAUCCCGCAAGGGGGAAGGAGAAGUUGAGGGAGAGCUCUGGCAGCAUGAUGGCGUGGUAGUGGUGGAGCUUGUGGUUCUCCGGCAGGGCUUCGCCAAGCGCCGCGGAGGAGGAGAAGUGGAGAGGUAGGGCUGCGCCAAGGGGAGAGGUUCAGGGGUGUGCGCAACCCUCUCAACCCUCCUCUAUUUAUAGGAGGAAGGGGAGAGGGGGCCGGCCACCCUAGGAAAACCUAGGAGGGGGCGGCGACAGUCCUAGGGGUGGCUUGCCUCCCAAGUUGGAGGGAGGCAGCCCCACGCCCUAGGGUUUUUGCCCUAUGCUCCUUGGGCCUCUGGUGGCUCGCACCAGCCCACCAGGGAGCUGGUUCCCUCCCACUUUCAGACCAUGUGGCCCUUCAGGACAGGUGUACCCUCCCGGUGGACACCCGGUACCCUUUUGGUGGUCCCGGUACAGUACCGAUAAACCCCGAAACCUUUCCGAUGACCGAAACUGGACUUCCCAUAUAUAAAUCUACACCUCCGGACUAUUGCGGAACUCCUCAUGAUGUCCGAGAUAUCAUCCGGGACUCCGAACAACUUUCAGUAACCACAUAUACAAUUCCCAUUAUAACUCUAGCGUCACCGAACCUUAAGUGUAUAGAGCCUACGGGUUCGGGAACCAUGCAGACAUGACCGAGACACCUCUUCGGCCAAUAACCAGUAGCGGGAUAUGGAUACCCAUAUUGGCUCCCACAUAUUCCAUGAUGAUAUCAUCGGAUGAACCAUGAUUUCAAGGAUUCACUCAAUCCCGUAUGCAAUUCCCUUUGUCUCUCGGUAUGAUACUUGCCCAAGAUUCGAUCGUCAAUUAUCCCUAUACCUUGUUCAAUCUCGUUACCGGCAAGUCUCUUUACUCGUUCCGUAACACAUGAUCCCGUGGCUAACUCCUUAGUCACAUUGAUCUCAUUAUGAUGAUGUAUUACUGAGUGGGCCCAGAGAUACCUCUACGUCACACGGAGUGACAAAAAAUACCCAGUCUCGAUUCGUACCAACCCAAGAGACACUUUCGGAGAUACCUGUAGUGCACCUUUAUAAUCACCUAGUUAUGUUGUGACAUUUGACACACCCAAAGCAUUCCUACGGUAUCCGUGAGUUGCACAAUCUCAUGGUCUAAUGAAAUGAUACUGGACAUUAGAAAAGCUCUAGCAGACGAACUACACGAUCUUGUGCUAUGCUUAGGAUUGGGUCUUGUCCAUCACAUCAUUAUCCUAAUGAUGCGAUCCCAUUAUGAAAGACAUCCAAUGUCCAUGGCCAGGAAACCAUGACCAUCUAUUGAUCAACGAGCUAGUCAACUAGAGGCUCACUAGGGACAUGUUGUGGUCUAUGUAUUCACACAUGUAUUACGGUUUCCGGUUAAUACAAUUAUAGCAUGAAUAAUAGACAAUUAUCAUGAACAAGGAAAUAUAAUAAUAACCAUUUUAUUAUUGCCUCUAGGGCAUAUUUCCAACAGUCUCCCACUUGCACUAGAGUCAAUAAUCUAGUUACAUUGUGAUGAUUUGAACACCCAUAAAGUUCUGGUGCUGAUCAUGUUUCGCUCGUGGAAGAGGUUUAGUCAACACAUGUGCGACAUUUAGAUCUGUAUGUACUUUACAAAUAUCUAUGUAUCCAUCCUGAAUGUAUCCACGAAUGGAGCUGAAGCGACUCUUGAUGUGCUUGGUCUUCUUGUGAAACCUGGGGUCCUUGGCAAUGGCAAUAGCUCUAGUGUUUUCACAGAAGAGAGUCAUCGGGCCCGACGCACUGGGAAUCACUCCUAGGUCAGUGAUGAACUCCUUCAUCCAGACUCCUUCCUGUGCUGCUUCCGAAGCAGUUAUGUACUCCGCUUCACAUGUAGAAGCCGCAAUGACGCUUUGCUUGCAACUUCACCGGCUGAGUGCCCCACCAUUCAAAAUAUACACGUAUCCGGUUUGUGACUUGGAGUCAUCCGGGUCCGUAUCGAAGCUAGCAUCGAUGUUACCCUUUACGACGAGCUCUUCGGCACCUCAUAAACGAGAAAAUAUCUUUAGUCCUUUUCAGGUACUUAAGGAUAUUCUUAACCGCUGUCCAGUGAUCCACUCCGGGAUCAGUUUGGUACCUCCCUACCAAACUUAUGGCAAGGUUCACAUCAGGUCUGGUACACAACAUGGCAUACAUAAUAUAUCCUAUGGCUGAAGCAUAGGGGCGAUACUCAUAUUUUUUCUAUCUUCUGCCGUGGUCGGGCGUUGAGCUGUGCUCAAUCUCACACCUUGCAAUACAGGCAAGAACCCCUUCUUGGACUUACCCAUAUUGAACUUCUUCAAUAUCUUGUCAAGGUAUGUGCUUUGUGAAAGACCAAUGAGGCGUCUCGAUCUAUCUCUAUAGAUCUUGAUGCCUAAUAUGUAAGCACCUUCUCCAAGGUCCUUCAUUGAAAAACACUUAUUCAAAUAUGCCUUUAUGUUUUCCAAAAGUUCUAUAUCAUUUACCAUCAACAAUAUGUCAUCCACAUAUUGUCACGACUGGUUUCCACAUAAAAUAAUUGGAAAUCAGCCAUGUGCGUCUCCAGUGUAGAAAAUUAUUUCCCACUGAUAGACUCAUCUUGAUAGAGAAAACCAGUAGUACUUAAUAUUAAACAGGUAGAGCAGAGGUUGCUCUACAAUUUAUUACAACAUGUCCAAGUCUCACACAAAUGGAUAUGUUACAGUGGUAAUAGGAUACUCUACUGCUCGCAAUAAAAGCGGCACGUCACAUCAGAGUAAUGUGAUAUGACAAGUACUACUAUGCGCCAAGCAUCAGAGUGAGGCUUGAUGGUUUAUUCGCGGUGGCGGAAGCGGUGAAAUAAUAUAGCGGCACACUCCAGGACCGCAAGACUGUCUAGGACUCCUCUAGACAUCGGACUCGCUAUCAAACUCUUCAUCCAUGAGGUCUCCUUCAUCCAUAUCUGGCCACAUCAACAAGCCAGUGAGUACUUCGAAAAGUACUCGCAAACAGUUUGCACAAAAGAUGAGAUGCAUGCAGUCAGUUAUUAAUAUGCAUGGUUCAGAUCAUAAUUUAUCAAAAUGAAUGUGUUAGAAAUAAAUUAAGAUAGUGGAUAAAUCGUGCGGUAAUCCUCCCGAGAUAUCCUAAUAGAAAGGUAAAAUGCACCGAUCAGGUGUCUAGAGCGACGCCUCGAAAGGUUAACAAGGGUUAGUAAACCACCGUCGGGCGUCUGAGUGACACCACAUACAGGGCAUAAAAUAAAUAGCAAGCCACAAACGGGCGUCUUAGUGACACCACAGAAAGGGCAUAAAAAUAAAUAGCCACCGCAGUCGGGCAUCUUAGCGACACCGCAGAAAGGGCAUAUAAAUAAAUAACAAGUCACAGUCGGGCGUCUUAGCGACACCACAGAAAGGGCAUAAAAAUAAAUAACAGCCGCAAUCGGGCAUCUUAGCGACACUACAGAAAUGGCAUAUAAAUAAAUAACAAGGCACACAGGGGAUAGGAUAGCGACACCACAGAAAGGGCAUAUAAAUAAAUAAGAAGUAUCCGGGUGGUACAACCAACCUUCAAGAUAAUUACUUGAACCAAGGAGAUAAUCUUAAAAUAUUCCACAUUAUUGUUAGAUAUCCAUAACUAUUAUUGUUCCACCACUCGUACUCCAAGGACGACUCUAAGACCGACACUUGACUUGUCAAAUGACCGCCCUUAACCAUGGACACGACUACUCGAAUAUUUUUAGCUCUGCAGAGGGUGUACCCUUUACCCAUAGCUCACGGGUUCCGAUAGUCAAUACGACUAAUCCCUUGCACGGUAUUUUAGAAGCAUACACUCAGAACCAGCACACACCCACUUUACCCCCGCGAAGCCUGACUUCACCCGGACUGCGCUGUUAGGGCAAAACCAUAAGACGGGAAGGCUCCGACCUCGACUAGCAUGGGAUCAAAUUUAUACCGCGCGCUACAAGGGAGUGCCCCCCCCUCUCGGUCCCAGACCGGAAACACCCAUGCCCCUGACCGGAUGACUAGAUUUAGUCCAGGGCCAUGUAUACCUUCAUCACGGCCCCUCUACUUGGUGUGUGACUAAUAAUAGGCCUACGACCGACUAUACCGAACCCUUAUUCAGGAAACUGCGGUAGCACGAUAAAGAAAGUAAGACACGGACAAGACUCGAUCUAGGUCGAUACUGGAGUUAUCUAUUUCUUACCAAUACCAUUAUGCACUUGUCAUGACCAUGCCAUAACCUAUAAUGUUCCGCGUGACUAGGUUAUCCACGACCUCUCAUAACCAUCAUUUGCCAUAGUCAGGUUUUUAACAUUAUUUAUAAGAUAUGCAACAUGCUUCAAUAAUGCAAAUGGAUGAAUAUUAAAUUCUUGUUAGUGAGCAAAUGACACAUCAAAAGUUCAAACAUGCUUGCCUGGUUCCACGUAGUCGGGACCAAUCUUGGUGAAGUUAACGUCGGUGUUUCCUUCCUCGGAAUCUACAUUAUAUAACAUGUAACAUCGUACGAGUUGAGGCCUAGCUACUAGAUCCAAUUAAUUUUUAAAUAAAUCCGAAAAUAAACUAGACCCUACGUAGAAAGAUUUUGMMAAAAGAAUCAAUGAAAAAGUUUUGUAGAUAAAAAGUUAUAAGCAAAAUAAAACUAGGGGCUAUUUUGUAAUUAAACAUAAUUAGAAUAGGGGCUAGUGUGAGAAACUUAGAGCGCUCGAAUUAGAAAUACGCCAACCCGCAGUGAAGGCGGCUUCUAGCAAAGGCGCUUUCGCUGAAAACGAUUCAGAGAGAGAGCUGACACUGACGAGGGGGUCCCCCGUGUAAGGUUUGAAUCUUCACUGGCGCAACAGGCUUGCGAUGGUCGCCAGCGGAGAUAGAAGAAAGGAGAGGGAUGGCUGAGGAUGUCGACGCACUCACCAAGGACCCGCACGUUGAUGAGAGGAAGAUUUGGGCGGAAGGAGAGGGCUUCACGUAGACGKKGACCUUGCUCCGGUGGACGACAGCGUUCGGGCRAUYACSGGRSUACACAGAGGAGCGUCACCUGACGACCAAAUUCGACGUAUGGGCUUAUGAGGAGGAGNNNNNNNNNNNNNNNNNNNNNNNNNNNNNNNNNNNNNNNNNNNNNNNNNNNNNNNNNNNNNNNNNNNNNNNNNNNNNNNNNNNNNNNNNNNNNNNNNNNNCGUAAGACAAACUACUAACCGGAACCAAUUUAAAACCYUUACCUAAAAACCUAAUUUUAACCCGUACACCUUAACUACUAAAACCAAAACUUACCCGUCCAUUACCUGGUCGCAACAGAUAAGAAUGUAGGGGAGUUCGCUACAUGUCACAUGUCCCACUACUCCCGAAGCGUCAGGGGCAGUCCAGUCCACAAAAUUCAGAUGUCCCUCUCAUUAUAAAUACAUGAGGCAUGUUGUAUUUAUUACCUUCCUUCCCAUCGCCACCUCUUGAGCUCCCCAACCCUAGCGCUGCCACAAGAUUUCAUUGCCGCUGGAGACGACGCGCUUGGCUGUCGCAACCUCUCCGACGACGUACUCAUGUCGGCCACAUACAUCUCCCCUCGCCGCCGUCGUAGCUGUUUGUCACCACCGAGUUAGGGUGUGGCAGAUCGAGCAGUUCGGCCUCCUCGCCUCGUCAAACUAUUCUUCGAGUUCUUCACCGCGGUAAUUAAAGCUCUAUUAUUUACUGCUUCUCGAUUUGAAAAGUUACCAAAAAUCUUUGAAAGCUGUUUUUUUCUAACAACAACACUCAAAUCUUGAACUCCCAAUGCCUUCACUUUUUGUUGGUCCAUAUAUUGGUUUGAUUUCUCACUUGUAUGAAUACUCGGACUUGUACAAAUCUAAAACCACCAUAACCUUUACAAAAGUGAAUGUCUUCGGUGAACGAGGUUAAUGUCUUCAAACCAUGAUUUAUCUUCAAAAAAACUUUUGGGAAUGCAUAUGACCUCCUCUAUUCCCUCGCGUCUCCAAUUCUCUCACAGGUACAUGUGUGAAGCAGAAUCGCUAGGAUCUCAUAGUCUGAAUUCAUUUGCAGACUACUUGUAGAUUCACCUGGACUCUUCUGAAGCCUACUCCUGUUUUCUCUCUCCUGUGAAGCUUUUGUCGAAGACAAUGGCAAGAGAUGGCACUCCAAAGAAGGGGGGGUAAACGAAGACGUCUGAACACAGCAAAGGAUUUACCUCCAGAUCUGUAUGAACGCUACAAAUCUAAUCCAGAAGAAUCAUACACUCAACACAAGAAUCUAACCUAAUGGAUUCGAAGAUAUUGGGCUGUGGAGUGGUUCUAUUAUCGUUUUUUGACUGAUGCAUAUGCUAAGAAGCACUCUGAGAAGGCCCCAUGGACAGACAUUGUCUACAAGAAUCUUAUUAUGAAGACAAAGGCUGAAGCAAUUGGUCAUGGAUUUUCCCGUGCAUGUUCCGGCCACCCAUACCAUAAAAUGCAGAUCCAACAAGCAUGCUAGGCUUCACCCCUCGGGAUGAUGGUGAUGAUGAUAAUGAAAAAGAUGUUGCUAACGGUGCUGAAGAAAAUCUUCCCCCGCCACAAACCCAAAGCCUAAGCAUAUGUCAAAGGCUUCAAGGCCCUCAAAGGCUUCAAAGCCUAAGGUUUCAAAGGCUUCCAAAUCUGCGGCAGCAUCUCAGGCUUCAUGGUCAUCUGAUUGAGAAGAAGCUGAGGAUGAAUCUCGCAUGCAUAAGCGUAUGAAGAGAAAAGCGACUGCUGCUCGUGGCCAAAGGCAUCCCUUUCGUUGGUGGAUGCCGCCAACAUGAUUAAGCUCUCUGAUGAUGAGUUCGACGAUGAAUCUCUGGCGAAGCUUAUCCAACAGAAAUAGGAAGAGGCCAAGUGUCUCGAAGACUUACCUCUCUUUGAUGCAAACAUCAUAUGCGAGUUCAUAGAUGAGUGGUUUGCUGAUCUCACUCUCACUGUCGACUCUCUCGAGCUCCCAAUUGGCAUGAGUGUCACCUUCCAAGGGCUAGUAAAUGAAGAGUUAACUGUUGCUCAAAAGGCAGUACAACAGCGUGAAAAGAUUCACCAUGAAAAGACACUUCUCAAGGAAAACAUCUACAAGUUUUACGCCAAUCAGAUACAUGUCUAUCAAAUCAUGAUGAAAGAUCUCAAGGAUGAGUUUGAAAAGAGAUGUGAUGCUGUCAAAGGCGCCUUAAUGUGUCUCGAGAAAAAGAUUGAACAGAUGGUCCAAUCACACAAUGCAAUGCUAAAGAGGAAAGCACUUGGCCAGCCUACCCUUGAUCCAAAAAUUAUUGAACACUCCAAGAAAGCUUCAAAGUCUUUGGAUCAACAAAUUUCUCCUCAACCUGCAUCAAGAGGCAUUUAGUUUCCCACUGGUUUCUCAGGCCCUCGGAACCCACAACCUUCAACUGCUACAUCAAGCAAGAUAACCAAGCAAGAUGAAGUCGAAGCCAAGAAACAAAAGAGGUCUCAUCCCACUGAAGCCCAACCCUCUCCACCUGUGACACCCUUGAUUUGAUCGUACGCUAAUCAUACACGCAAAUGCGUAUGACCAAGCUCAAGGACUCACGGGAAGAUAUCACAACACAACUCUAGACACAAAUAAAACAUACAAGCUUCAUAUUACAAGCCAGGGGCCUCGAGGGCUAGAAUACAGAAGCUCGAUAAACACACGAGUUAGCGUAAGCAACAAAUAUCUGAGUCCACACAUGAAAUAUGACGAUGCCUUAGAGAAGGCUAGCACAAAAGAGAUAACGAUCGAACGAGGCGUGGCCUCCUGCCUGGGAACCUCCUAAGCUACUCCUGGUCAUCAGCGGCCUCCCCGUAGUAGCAGACACCGUCGGGGGAGCAGUCGUUGUCGGCGGGAUAUGCCAUCUCCUGGGCUCCAUCAUCUGGUCGGAGUAACGUACCAAGGGGAAAAGGGGAGCAAAGAAACGGUGAGUACUCAUUCAAAGUACUCGCAAGACUGACAUUAGAACUAUGCUAAGUUAUGCAUCGGUAUCAAAGGAAGGGGUCAUAUGUGGACUCACUGCAGCAAUACGAGAAUAGAGAGAGAGGGACUAGUCCUAUCAAAGACUAGCAUCUUCAGGGGUCUUGCAGCAAUAGACGAGAGUAGAGCAAGUAACACAGAUAUAUAGUCAUACUGUUGCAGUAAUAUUAAUUAUAGUCACGCCCGGAGAUCCUCCCUCGACUCCCUGUGAGGAAGCAAUCCUUUAGCAAACAUUCCAGUUAAGUAACAGUUGUAGUUGUAUAAGAUCAGGGUGCAACUCCAAAUCGUCCUGUAACUAUGGACACGGCUAUUCGAAUAGUUAAUUUUCUUCCCUGCAGGGGUGCACCAAGUUUCCCGCCACAAUUGAUAAACUCUGGUCGGACACACUUUCCUGGGUCAUGCCUGGCCUCGGCACAUCAACACGUCGCAACCCCACCUAAGCUCAACAGAGAGGCCAGCCUGCUGGUCUAAAUCCUAAGCGCGCAGGGGUCAUGGGCCCAUCACCCUUUGCGCUCCUGCACAAUGCAAGGGCGGGCGAUGUCAAUCUUGUCACUUCUUAUACACGAACGAUGAUUAUCCAUGCCACUCGGGCGCGCGCCGCUCCAUUGCUGAGGUCUGAAGAGCUUCGGCUGAUACCACGAUGUCGAGAACCCAUAACUCCUCACAUGUAGACGGUUAGUGCACAAAAGGUCUCCAACCAACCCAGAUCAAAUACCCAAAUCCUUAGCAUUUUAAUUAUUCAUCGACACAUCCACGCGGGUAUCCACCCGCCAAACAUCAUUCAUCAAUGUUCCCAGUAGCACGGUCAAGUAACUGUGUGGUUGUAACAUUAGAGGGAUCGGAGGUAUCACCCUCUACGGAUUCCGAAUGAUGUAACUGUCAAGGUGGGCAGGAAGGAAUCACCCAGGCUGGGCCAGGUUGAUGGGUUGUACGACAGAGUCGUUAUCAGAGGUGGUGAACGAGGAAUCACCCUCUCAGAACCACCGCCGGUUAAUUACACUACAGAGCUAACAUCAGGAGUACGUAUCGAGGUGUCAUCCUCGGUACUCGAUAGUAGCCUUACAGCGUCGUACAACUAAGGGAGGGUGUAAGUGUUGUGUCGGGUCUUGGCUCGUCGAUUAGUUGAUCGAGACUUGACGAUAAAGCGAGGGCAACUGGUCUAAGGGGUCAAAGGGGAUGAUUGUGCCACCUAUACUAAGCAGUUUAAAGUGCGGUAUUGGAAAGUAGCACUUCAUAAAAAACAGGCUAUGCAUCAGCUAUAGGAGCUAACUACAACAGUAGCAAAAUUCUAAUGCAAGCACGAGGGAGAAAGAAAUAUGCGAUAUAGGAAUGAUCAAGAGGGUUUGCUUGCCUGGGUACUCUGCAGACAAAACGGAUCCUCGACCGGGAAGUAGUCAAUCACCGGAUCAUCAUCGGUCUCGGGGUCUACCAGAAAGGAAGUAACGUAGGGGAAACACGAUAAAUAACAGAGCAAUCAAAUGCAUCACAAAGAAUGGCAUGGCUAAAGGCAGAGCUAGGCAUGAGCUAACGUGGUACUAUACGUCAUCGACGGAUCGGAAUAAUAUCCGACGAUAUUUUCCGGGUCUCUGUCUAUUACUUAUCAGGCGAAAUGGAUGGAAAAGUUCCAUGUUCGCUAUGCUAGGUACACGUGAUAGACGAACGGAUAGCGUAUCCGGGUUCGUCUCGUUUUUGUGAUCAACUUUCAUGUAUAAAUUAUUUUCAUCCGAAUUAUUAUAUUAAUUUUUAAUGUUUUAAUAAUUAUUUUAUAAAUAAACAGAUUUAACUUUGUUUUAAUAUUUUAAAUGUGACAACAGCAUGAUGGCAUGCUGUCAUCAGUAAUCAAUAGUGGGGUUGAGUGGUCAAUUUGACCAAUGGGCUCCACCUGUCAUAGUCACACUUCAAAUCUAGGCUUAACUAAUUAAUAAACAGGUUUGAUUAGGUGUAUGGGAUCCACAUGUCCUACCCUCUAUUAAAUUAACAGAAUUAAUUAAUUAGAUUAGGUUUAAUUAAUCCAAUUAAUUGCUCUAAUUAAUUUGAUAGGUUAAUUAGAGGUUAAUUAGGCUACUUAAUUAGCUUAUUAAUUAAUUACCUAAUUAAUUAACUUGGUUAAAUAAAUUUAUUAAUUUGUUAUAUUUUUAUUUACACAUUUAAUUUAUUUAUUUUCCUUUUUUAGUACACGUUUUAGGGGGAGGCCCCACAUGUCAUCUAGUGGGAAAUUGCUAACAAAGGGGGGGUUAAUUCGCCUGACCAAAUUGGGGUUGGGGGCGACGCGGUUGUGACCAAUGGGGAGAGGCCGAGCGGGGUUGGCGCCGGCGACAUGUGAGGCGCAGGAGCAUGCAGCGAGGUUGGCCGUGGAGUAGCAUCAGCAGGCGCGCGGCCAAGGCGUGGCUCACGCAGGCACGCGCGCGCGUGGCGCGUGGCAGAGGUGGGGGGCGCGACGGCAUGCGGGCGUAGGACGUGCAAUAGCUGCAGAGUAGUGAAGGUAACAUUGGACUGGCGAUGCGGCUAGUGGCAGCAGGCGGCUCGGCGUCGCGGUGGGCGGAGCUCCACGGCGAGAGCUCGCCAAAUCGGGAGGGGACACCGAAGCGACGCGGCGCCGAGUGAGGGCCGGUGCGGCCGGGCUGGUAAGGGUGCGCACGGGAGGGGAAAGGGGAAGCGGGGUGGCGCUCACAGGGGGGCGGCGAGGUAGCACCGGUGUGGUAGGGCGUCGGGGACGGCGAGCGGUGGGGCAGGGUCAGGACGGCGAGGGAGCAACGCCGGAGCAGCGUGGGGCUUGGGUUGAAGGAGGGGAGGGUGCAGGAGAGAGCGCCGGUSGCGGGGGUGGGGGCUGGGGGASGACCGGUGAGGGAGCGGUCGKYCGGGGCCGGCSACCCGGSCCGGCCGCCCSGGUGACGGUSGUCCGGGGUCGGGGUCGGCYYCCCCGUAUCCCGAGACUCGAAGGAGGGAGGGGGAGAGUNNNNNNNNNNNNNNNNNNNNNNNNNNNNNNNNNNNNNNNNNNNNNNNNNNNNNNNNNNNNNNNNNNNNNNNNNNNNNNNNNNNNNNNNNNNNNNNNNNNNGUUCAACCUCGAACCCGAAACCCUUAYCGCCACCGACGCACCUCCGUCGCCGGCGACCCAGACCACCUCCGGUCGACGUCCCGACCACGAGCAGGUAGGCGGAGGCACGAGGAACCCGUUCCCGUUCCUAGCUAGGCCUGAGGACAACGGCAUCCUCGCCGGUGUCCAUCUCCACCUCUCUGGCCAGAGGUAGGAGAAGGACCCGACAGGUGGAGCCCACCUGUCGGUGUCCUGGGGCAGCCAGCGCGCGCAGCCGCUGACGCUGACCCCAGGGGCCCGCAGGUCAGGUUUGAACCUGGCCCACGCGCGCCUGGUGGCCAGGCCUGCUGGCUGGGCCGGCUCGAUCUGUUUCCCUGGCCUUUUUCUUUUGUUUUAAUCCAGCAAACUAAAUGAUUUUUAUAAAAAGAUUUAGCCAGUAGAAAAAUAUAAUUCUUCCACCAGUAUUUUUCUAAAAAUGAGUAGUAUUUGAUUCUGUAAUAGUUGACAUUUAUCAAUAACAGAAACUAUUUUGGUAUAAUAAAAUGAUAUUAAAAAGCACUUGUUUGCUUCUGUUUGCUUUUAAAUAAAUAUGCUUAGCUAAUAAAACAGUAGGGAACAUUUUUCAAAAUAAUAACAUGGAUUUCUUCAAGCCUUGCAACAUUUUUAAAAGCACUUUGUGAACUGUUUUAGUUGAAGCUAGUAUUUAUUUAUUCCUUUCUCGACGGUAGAAUUACCGAGUGACGGAGGAUCCGGAGCGGAAGACCUCGAAGACCCCGGAUACCUAGCUGACCAAGGCAAGCAUGCCCUUUGCCAUGACCUAAGUAAAUAAAAUGAUGCAUGCUAGAAUAGCAAGUAUUUUCCAUUGCAUGUAAUCACGAUGUCGGUUCAUCAUUGAUGUGAUGGUACCGAAGGCUUCUUCGAAGCCCUUGCAUUAUAGUAGUGAUUUCACAUGGCUCCUCGGAGCACAAACAUGAUGAGCUUGAUCCUACCAUCUACGAGGAUCAUGUUACUGUCAUGUUGGCUAGUAGAGUAGAAUCACUGCAUUGAGCUUGACCCCGUGAGGGUCAUGAUACUAUCAUGUUGACAAGUAAUGUUAAGGCACAUCAAGUUGACAAGUAAUAAUAGAGCAUUUUAUCAUGAGCAUGACGAUGAGUUAAAUAAAGAGUUUAUGAAAACCCCGUCGGGUGCCACUAAUGCCCGAAGGUGAUGAUGAGUUGGUGAUCACUUUUGGUGAAGUAAUGCACCGAUGAUUUUGUUGUGAGUAUGGUUUCGGAAAUGGAUUAGAUUUAUGAUGUGUUGACCAUCCCAACCUUACCCAGUACGACCACGAUACCCCUUUAUGGGACAGGGCUUUGUUGAUUACUCUGGUCGGUGCUAGCAAAGAGCCACAUUACUAGUGGCGGGAGUGAUCGGUGUCACUCUCGUGAUGGGGUCGUGCCAGGUAGGACGACUAUGCCAUUAUUAUGAGUUCAAGGCACACAGGGGAUAGGUGCAUGGUUGAUACAGUCCAGAGUCGGUGCUCGUAAGACGUACAACAUGUGGGCUGGGUACCAAUCAAGUGGAUCUCUUUGUCUAGUAUCGUCAGGGGAAAUAUGAUGAUCGGAUACUUACCUCGGGUAUAUGUGAUAUACCGCGAAUCAUGGAUGAAACGGAAGUAUUCCGUUUCUCGUGGGUCCAGCGUACUACCUCUGUAGAGUGUAAACUAUUCGAAUAGCUGUGUCCAUGGUCAAGGAUAGUUGGGUGGUGCUGCUUAAACUACGUCCUGAGUUUCCGCAUAAACCAAGUGUGUGUGUGUGGUAGUUAAAAGKUGUUGUUAUAAUCAUGAUAAUCACAAUAAUAUGAUCAAGUUCGGUGACUUGACAUAUAGGGUAAACCCGGAUGGUUUAGCCCUCAUUAAUACCUUGAGAUUAUGACAAGUCCGAUGACUUGGCAUAUAGGGUGAACCCGGUGUGUUCAACCCUUAGCAGAGAUGAUGAUAUCUGUAACCUGUUCUUCAAAAGUAAUUCUUUAACCUGAUGCAUAUACAUGAUCAUACCACCUCAUCGCAUUCCACUAAAGAUGCAUGUUACCGCCCCUUCAUUACCAUUUAUGUCAUGGGCUGUUUGCGAGUACAUUCAAAGUACUCAUUGGCUUGCCACUGGUUAUGUUAUUGACCAGACAUGGAAGGACCGGAGUUUGGCGAUGAGUACGCCGUCGGAGACGGACCUGUGAUCUAGGACGCUUCCGAGUCAGAAUGCCUGUCGGUGUAGGCUUGAUGGUAUGGGCACCGCUUAGCCCUUACGAGUUUCCGCUACUCGAUGUAUCCCUUUAUUUGGCUUUAGGCCCUGCUCUUGAACCCGACCUUCUGGUCAUUUGAUGUAAUAAUUUGGUACUUGGAUGUAAGACUCUAUCAUUCAGUAUGUGUGUUCAGUGAACAUUGAUCCUUGGGGUUACUGGGCACGACGAACUCGACUUGCUAGUCGGGGUCCCCACAUGAUAUGGAUCAUCAUCCGCUUGCUAAUCUUUUCAAGAGUUCCAAUUAUGAUGAACCAAUUGCUAGUGAGUUGAGUGUACUUGCUUAUCUCUAUGAAGUUUUGCUUGAUAUUAGUGAAUCGGAAAAUUGUGAUGAAGUGAUACACGAUGUUUCCCUGAAUAAAAAGCAUGAUUGCAAUGAUAUUGUUAUAAAUUCAAUUAAUAUCAAUUUUGCUAAUGAUAUGCAAACCCACAAGCUUGGGGAUGCUAUAUUUGAUGAGUUUGCCAUGACCACUACUUAUUGCAAUGAUCAUGAUUGGGGUGAUAAUGCUUCUUAUGAUCUUGAUAAUUUACUUAAUACUCAUGAUGAAUAUGAUAUUGAAAGUAGGUUUGGAAGAGUGUCAACUUUAGGCAUUAUUGACUCCCACUUAUUUGGAGAGUUGUUCAGUCUUAUAGUAAAUUUUUGUAAUUAAAGGUUGGGUUGGAGAGGUCUAUAGUACUUUAGUUAAUGAUAACUCCUACUUAGUUUUGGAAGUAGUUAUACCUAACUUUGCUACUGCUAGUGUUGGAUUCAUAGAAGUAAGUNNNNNNNNNNNNNNNNNNNNNNNNNNNNNNNNNNNNNNNNNNNNNNNNNNNNNNNNNNNNNNNNNNNNNNNNNNNNNNNNNNNNNNNNNNNNNNNNNNNNGGUGGGUGGACGAAACAAGGCUACGACGGCGGCGAGGGGAGGAUGUANGUUGGCCGACAUGAGUACGUCGUCGGAGAGGUUGCGACAGGCCAAGCGCGUCGUCUCCCAGCGGCAAUGAAAUCUUGUGGGCAGCGCUAGGGUUGGGGAGCUCAAGAGGUGGCGAUGGGAAGGAAGGUAUAAAUACAACAUGCCUCAUGUAGUUUAUAAUAGUAGAGGGACAUCUGAAUUUUGUGGACUGGACUGCCCCUGACGCUUCGGGAGUAGUGGGACAUGUGACAUGUAGCGAACUCCCCUACAUUCUAUCUGUUGCGCCAGAUGCGGGAAUUUGUUUUGAUAAGUGCGGUAAAAUGGUUUUUGAAGGUUUUAAAUGUUCGGUUGAGUUUGUCUUCGACUUACAAGGACGCAAUGAAGACAAUCAACACGUGUCAAGUAGAAUGCACGUGACUGGAAUUGAACAGUGUUAGAUGAGAUAAGAAUAGAUGGGGUAUCGGGUCCGAUCACAUUUUGCCUAGAUAAAGUUUGAAGAUAUAGCAAUAGACAAAAUGAUGUAGAGGACAAAAUUUCCUAAAGUCAAAUAGGACAUGUCUCAUUUGCAAAUGUUCAAGUUCGAAGUCAUGUGACAAAGUUGAAGAUAAACUCAAAUAUCUGAAGACAUUGAUAAACAUGCAUGAUAAAGGGAAAUGUCUUUAGAUGGGGUUGGUGGCGUUGCCCACCAUAUAAGAAUAUUAGACCCAUACACGGCGCACAAUUAUCGUGGCACUCUGAAGUCAUAUGCUUCGUUAAUGUAUUCACACUUAGAGUGUAAGUCUUCAUGAGUUGAAGACAUACAUUACUUUGUGUGUUGUGCAUCAAAUUCAUCAAUAUGCAUAAGCGUUAGGAUGUAUGCCCAUUCAAAGGACAUUUGAGGAUUCUAAGAUAUUUAGUUCACACCGCAACUUGCAAAAUCUGUUUUCAUCCAAAGGCUUCGUGAAGAUAUGAGCCAAUUGAUCUUCAGCGUUUGCAUGCUUGAUGUUGAUGUCGCCCUUCAUCACGUGAUCUCAAAGAAAAUGAUGUUUUAUCUGAAUACGCUUCGUCUUUGUGUGCUGUACUGGGAUGUAGGAGAUCUUGAUUGCACUCUCGUUGUCACGGUAGAGUGGAACAGGCUUCACGUUGAUGUCGUAGUCCUUCAAUGUUUGCGUAAUCCAUAGAAGCUAUUUGCAGCAUGCACCAACAUCAAUGUAUCCGACUUCAACAAUGGAAAGUGACACACACACUUCAUCUUCUUUGAAGACCAACAUACGAGUGAUCAUCCUAGAAACUGAGAGGUGCCUGAUGUAGACUUGCGAUCAACUCUCUCGCUAGCAAAGUUAGAGUCUGAGUAGCCGAUGAGGUCCAAGUUUGAGCUAGUUGGAUACCAUAAUCCUAGAGUUGGGGUGUGAACCAGAUAUCUAAGUAUUCACUUCACAGCUAAGUGAUGCGAUUCCUUUGGUGCCGCUUGAAAUCGGGCGCACAUUCAAACGCUAAGAAUUAUAUUUGACCUAGAUGCACAUAGCUAAAAUAAAGAGCAAAUCAUGGAGCGAUAUACCUUCUGAUCGAAAUCUUUACCAUUUUUGUCAGUGCAUAGGUGACUGUUUGUUGGCAUUGCGUCUUGUAACCUUUGGCUUCGUUCAUGCCAAAUUUCUUGAGACAAUCCUUAAGGUACUUCUCCUGAGAGAUGAAUAUGCCAUUGGGUUGUUGUCGAAUCUAAAGAACUUUAGUUCUCCCAUCAUAGACAUCUGAUAUUGUUCUUGCAUCAUGAAGCCAAACUCAUCACUAUAUCGAUUGUUAGUACAGCCAAAGAUGAUGUCAUCCACAUAGAUUUGACAUACAAACAGUUCAUCAUCAUAAGAUUUUGUAAAUAGAGUGGGAUCGAGUGAACCAGGUUUGAAGCCUUUCUUCUUGAGGAAUUCCUUGAGAGUGUCAUACCAAGAUCUUGGUGCUUGCUUGAGGCCAUACAAUGCCUUGUUAAGCUGGUAGACUUUUUCAGGAUGCUUGGGAUCUUCAAACCCUGGUGGUUGAGCGACAUAUACUUCUUUCUCAAUCUUACCAUUGAGGAAUGCACUUUUGACAUCCAUUUGAUAUAAGCAUAUAUCGUGAUGGUUAACAUAAGCAAGCAAAAUACGUAUAGCUUCAAGCCUAGCAACACGUGGAAGUGUCUCAUCGAAAUCGAUACCCACAACCCGUGUGUAGCCUUGAGCCACAGGUCGACCUUUAUUUCUGAUGACUUGUCCUGAUUCAUCUUGCUUGUUGUGAAAUAUCCACUUUGUGCCAAUGAUGUUGUGCUUCCUCAGAUCAGGACGCUUGAUGAGUUCCUAGACAUUGUUGAGCUCGAACUGAUGAAGCUCUUCUUGAAGGCUUCAUCUAGCUUGGUGGGUUCGGAGAUAGACACAAAAACAAAUUGCCCACGAAAGUUAGCAAGUUGGUGAGCUCUUGAGCGAGUGAGUGGACCUGGUGUGUUUAUGCUGGCAAGCAUCUUUUCAAUUUGAACUUCAUUCUCCGCACGUGGAUGAGCAUGUCGAAGACUUUGAUUUGGCUGCUGAGCAUUGUCUUGUCAGCAACAUUGUCUUCGACAUUAGUAUUAUCUUCGCGAUGAGUAGGCAAUGUAACAAUGACUUCCUCUACUUCAGGUUCUUGAGGCACAAUUUCUCCAGUGCCCAUUGUCGGGGCGCAGAUGCUCAAGAUCACCUAUGGUACCAAGGGCCCCUCUUGGUUCGACAAGGGGGUCAUGUUGAAUGAAGAGCGGAGAACAUGAGAUGGCGCAACGGUCGGGGCACAUGCAUUUUACCCAGGUUCGGGCCGCUGCGUACAACCCUACUUUUGCUUUUUGGUGGAUUGAUGGUGGGAACAUGAAUAACACAAUGCACCUAGCCCCGGCAAGCUACCUGGGAAGAGUGAUCGCGUGAAUACAAGUGAUCGAAGGUUCGAAAUGCCAACCUUGAGCUAGGUUUCCUUGGGCCUCCUUUUAUAGCACAAGGGGUCAGCACAAUGGCAAAACAUACGUUAUCUGUUGAUUAGAUAGGCAACACUACAAACAUACUUAACUGUGGCACUUAGGACAAAAUGCCAUAAAUGCUAGCCUAGGUGGCGUGCAGGGAUGCAUUCCUGACAGGCUUCUACCACCGCUUUAGCAAACUACUGCUUCAUGUCCUGACACGCCUCUGGAUGGGUGUCAAGUGGGCGUGAUCCAUCUUCUAGCGAACCGCCACAUACUUAGCGAGAGCCCACUUAGCCACUUGAGGGCUCGGCACUGCAUUGGCAAACGACUAGCAUUGCGAUGCGGUGGAGCAGCGGCCGAUCGGCUCGCGCCUGCUGGGGAUGGCUUGCCAGGCCUUCUAGGAGGGUGCUCACUUUGGUCCUCGGCAGGUGCCGGGGAUGUGACUGGCACGACACAGUCUAGGCUUGGGGUGCUGCACUGAGCUUGCUGGAAUCUUAUCUUGGUAGCUGCUGGGCCAGCGUGGCCUUUUGUGGCUGUUGUUGCUGGGCGCUGGGUGGCUGCUUGUCCGUGCACAAAUCAGGGGAAAAGAAUACCCCUGUUUGUUUACUCCGACAGAAGCCCCCGGGCCUGAACCAGACGUUUCGCUAGGCACGUUGGGUUAGGCCCCAAACAAGCACGGACACGCGGCGAAGGGGUUCUACUUUUUCACCCACGUCCACUCUGUGGGUCAUGGGGUCGUGGACGAGGGCCGUCGGAAAAAAGGGAAGUCCAGUGAUAAACGACAGUUUUUUGAAAGAAUUGCAAAGAGCCAACCUCCGUGCAGGACCCCUUUAAAAAGGACAAAGCAGAGGGGGCGCUGAUCAUUCACACCCCCUUCCUCCGCCCUUCACUCUUCCUCCUCAACGCCAGAGAACUGCUCCGCAUCCUAUUCUUUGGUUUUUCGAGUGCCGCUAGCUCANNNNNNNNNNNNNNNNNNNNNNNNNNNNNNNNNNNNNNNNNNNNNNNNNNNNNNNNNNNNNNNNNNNNNNNNNNNNNNNNNNNNNNNNNNNNNNNNNNNNGGACUGCUGUAACCCUUCCACUGAAGCGUUCCACCUUACGCGGCCUCAGUGUUAACAYCUAUCCSSUGYGURCCUUGACAAGAGAUUAAACUUCUGCAGGUACUCCUUAACAGUCCCACUGCCCUGCCUUAAGGCUCGGAAUUCACGCUUCUUAAUGGUCAUCAGUCCAGGCGGAAUGUGAGCCGCGCGAAAUCCUUCCUUGAACAUCUCCCACGUGACGACUUGCCCUGCCCGCAUGAUCUGGAAUCCAUCCCACCAUGCCCUGACGGUGCCUCCGAGACAGUGAGAAGCAUAAAGGACCUUCUCAUGAUCAUCGGUGCACUUGACCAGCGCAAGGAGGUCUUCAAUGGUGCGAAUCCAGUCAUCGGCGUCCAGGGGUUCAGUCGACUCCGUGAAUAUGGGGGGCGUAGUCCGCAUGAACUCAGAAAGAGAAGAGCGACCACCGCCAUAUUCAUUCUGCGGCGGGUUGUCCACCAGGACUUGGGUCAGCUGCUGGAUAGCGGCAUUGCUGGCUUGACGCUCCUGUCGAAGAGCUUGAAGGAACUGAGCCAUCGUCAAGUUCUCAGGAGGAGGUGGUGGCGGAAGGUCUUAGGCUGCUCGUGGUGACCUCCAGCGUGAGCUUCUCCUUCGGUUCCCUGCGGCGUCCCUGAAGAGCCGGCGCCGGGGUUGCCGAAGGUGCUGUUGCGGGUUGCGUUCACCAUCCUGUCAUAGAAACAGACAGGUCAAAAUGCCACCUUGCUCGGGAGUACAAGGAUUUGCUCCUAGUAGGAGGGGGUCCAAUACGUGCAUGUGCCAAGUUUUUAAAACCAAAGUUUUUGACAAACUGGAAAUUGCAUUCAUGACAACUAGGUGACGUAGUCACUUACAGACUGCCCAAGGCACACAGGGGAUAGGUCAAGCACACAUACGCAAUUUAAAAACGGAUACAAGGAUACCCUAUACUCGGGUACUCCGAUUGCCUACGCAAAAAAUCUACGCGGCGGACUGCUCGGUCUCAAAGGCGGACUCAACAGGAUCCUCAUCUUCAUCAACAUCCUCUUCCUUUAUAGGAGUGGAAGAAAGAAUCCGCACGUCUCAGCGUCUCUUGGGCGAGGCGGCAAAGAUCUCAGUGUACUCUUCCGCUGUCAGGCGACGACUCUGAAGAGGGACUGCCUGGAUGGGUAACAGUACCACCCCUAGUGGCAACAGCUGCCCUCCUUCCAGGUGCGCUUGCCUUCUUUACUUUGCGGUUUUGCAUCUUCUCUGUGUGGAGCAGGCCUUUGACUAGGUGCAGCUCUUGGCGAAGCUUGACUGACUUCCUUAACCAGGAAGUGUGUCGAGGGUGUCUGACGWGAGACUGAAGUAGGUCUGAAAGCUCAGUGGCAUCCCAUCCUCCGUGGCGGGGGUGAGUGUCCAACUCCCAUCCACUCCUUCCUUAAUGAAAGGUAGAUGAUGAGUGACAGGCUCGUUAGCCAUCUCAGGGAGGAUGCUGCGGAGUUGCACGAGCGCCUCUCGUGCAGCCGUCUACACUGCCAACAUCAGCUCUCCCAUCUAUGGUCCUUCAAAGAACCAACUAGACGGGGAGUCAUUAGCCUUCACUAUCACGUCCACGUGAUAUUCCUUGGUGUCGGCGUUGACCCAAUGCUUGUGGUAGAGGAAGAUGGGCGUGCGUCGUACGUGGCACUUCUCGAGACAAUCCACCAGAAGUAGUGGAAAGCCGGUCUCCAAAAGCGUCUCAGGUACAGCAGCCAUCUACAAUGCAUAGGAGAGAAGUCGGGAGGUUGUAUGUGUAAGAGUCUUGUGCAAGGCUUGCGUCCUAACGUUCUUGGUUAACGUCCAUGCUAUCUAAGGCUUCUUAUAGUCAACCUGGCUCUGAUACCAGUUCUAUGGGGACCCCGACUAGCAAGUCGAGUUCGCCGUGCCCAGUGACCCCAAGGAUCAAUGUUCACUGAACACAGAUACUAAAUGAUAGAGUCUUACAUCCAAGUACCAAAUUAUUACAUCAAAUGACCAGAAGGUCGGGUUCAAGACAGGGCCGGGCCGGCAAAAUCCGGGGCCCUGUGCAAAACUAAAAAAUGGGCCCUCUCUCGUAGAAAAAAGAAAAGAUCUAGAAUAUAUCCAGAUGUGUGUAUAUCUAAAUUCAACGAGCAACUAUAAUAUAUAUAUAUAUCACAAAAAAAUUGUAAUAUACUCCAUUCGUAUCAAAAAUUUGUCUUAGAUUUGUCUAAAUAUGAAUGUAUCUAGUCAUAUUUUAGUGCUAGAUACAUAUUUUGAUAAAUAUUAUGCAAGAAUUUUGGGACGAAGGUAGAAAUACAUCAUUAAAAAGAUAGGAAUUAGAAAUAGGAACCGUAAAAAGGGACUUGAUAAGCACCUGGAGACGAGUCAUUCACUGAUUAAUCUGCGAUGGACAAAUCUGAAAUUUGGAAGACCAUGAAGGCAAUUAGGAAAUGACCAGAUCGCACGACCGAGGGACGAGGGCGAGAUAUGGCAACAGGGCGAACGAUGAGACAUCUCAUGCCCUCUUUCGUGGAGCCCAUGCGAGAGUUUCCUGUGGGCCGGCGGCGGCGACUGCUUUUCCAUGCGAGAGAACCACGAUCUCGAUCCUGUAGGGACGAAGCGACCAAGUAGGACGAGGCGAUGAGCAGGUUUUGUUUGCAAGACAAAGGCGACGUCGUGACGAGCAGUUAUGGGGAUCGAAAAGAUCCCGAUCACGAUCACAAUUCAGCAUUCUGGGUCGACGGCCUGGUUGCCUCGAGGCCAGCCCACUCCAGUGUCCGCGGCCCACUAAGUAAUGCUUAGUUUUCCCUUUUAAUACUAGGCUUAUAUAUAUAACUUGGGCCCCUUCAAAUUUUGGGCCCUGUGCGGGCUGCACAUCUGGCACCACUGUAGGCCCGGCCCUGGUUCAAGAGCAGGUCCUAAAGCCAAAUAAAGGGAUACAUCGAGUAGCGGAAACUCGUAAGGGCUAAGCGGUGCCCAUGCCAUCAAGCCUACACCGACAGGCAUUCUGACUCGGAAGCGUCCUAGAUUGCAGGUCCGUCUCCGACGGCGUACUCAUCGCCAAACUCCGGUCCUUCCAUGUCUGGUCAAUAACAUAACCAGUGGCAAGCCAAUGAGUACUUUGAAUGUACUCGCAAACAGCCCAUGACAUAAAUGCUAAUGCAGGGCAGUAACAUGCAUCUUUAGUGGAAUGCGAUGAGGUGGUAUGAUCAUGUAUAUGCAUCAAGGUUAAAGAAUUACUUUUGAAGAACAGGUUACAGAUAUCAUCAUCUCUGCUAAGGGUUGAACACACCGGGUUCGACCCUACUAUGCCAAGUCAUCGGACUUGUCAUAAUNNNNNNNNNNNNNNNNNNNNNNNNNNNNNNNNNNNNNNNNNNNNNNNNNNNNNNNNNNNNNNNNNNNNNNNNNNNNNNNNNNNNNNNNNNNNNNNNNNNNAGUACUACUAUGCGCCAAGCAUCAGAGUGAGGCUUGAUGGUUUAUUCGCGGUGGCGGAAGCGGUGAAAUAAUAUAGCGGCACACUCCAGGACCGCAAGACUGUCUAGGACUCCUCUAGACAUCGGACUCGCUAUCAAACUCUUCAUCCAUGAGGUCUCCUUCAUCCAUAUCUGGCCACAUCAACAAGCCAGUGAGUACUUCGAAAAGUACUCGCAAACAGUUUGCACAAAAGAUGAGAUGCAUGCAGUCAGUUAUUAAUAUGCAUGGUUCAGAUCAUAAUUUAUCAAAAUGAAUGUGUUAGAAAUAAAUUAAGAUAGUGGAUAAAUCGUGCGGUAAUCCUCCCGAGAUAUCCUAAUAGAAAGGUAAAUGCACCGAUCAGGUGUCUAGAGCGACGCCUCGAAAGGUUAACAAGGGUUAGUAAACCACCGUCGGGCGUCUGAGUGACACCACAUACAGGGCAUAAAAUAAAUAGCAAGCCACAAACGGGCGUCUUAGUGACACCACAGAAAGGGCAAUAAAAAUAAAUAGCCACCGCAGUCGGGCAUCUUAGCGACACCGCAGAAAGGGCAUAUAAAUAAAUAACAAGUACACAGUCGGGCGUCUUAGCGACACCACAAGAAAGGGCAAUAAAAAUAAAUUAACAAGACCGACAAAUCGGGCGUAAUACUUAACGACGAACACUAACAGAAAUCGGGACAAGUAAUAAAAUAAAAUUAACAAAGGUACCACAAGUUCGGGGUAGUUACUAGNNNNNNNNNNNNNNNNNNNNNNNNNNNNNNNNNNNNNNNNNNNNNNNNNNNNNNNNNNNNNNNNNNNNNNNNNNNNNNNNNNNNNNNNNNNNNNNNNNNNUUCUAGCCUCCCCAAGUUGCUUUCCACCCAAUCAAUCUCUUCUACCCAAGCCAAAUUUGUGAAAGAGUGAUUGAGUGUUGAGGAGACUACCUUUUWGUMGCACUACGUGGAGUUUCUAGCUACAUUGAUGCAUGCAAUUAAGCUACAGUAAACCAUGUGGUUAAGAUAAUGCUUUUGCUAAACCCUAUUUGAUCACAUUGGAAUCAUAUCUCAUUUCAAAUUCCUUUUGAAAUUCAAGCUCCUUUUAAUUUGUGGUUUAAAUAUUUUUUCAAAACUGAAAACUACAAUCAUGUUUGGGUUGCAAAUAAUCCCCUCAUGUUUAUAAAAUUGAAACCAACAUUUUAUAAAGUACUUUGGUGCCUCAAAACAAUUAUAAAAGAGGCCAAAACAUUUAAAUAAAUGUCUUUUAAAUUAUGUAAAUUUCCAAAGUUUCCAAAAGGGCCCCAAACGUUUUGUGGCACUACCAAAUAUUGCAUUUCAAAUAUUGGACCAUAUCCCAUAUUUUUCUCAUAAUUAAUUUAGUGCUAAACCUAAAUCAAAACAUAAGAUUUUAAAUAAAAUUUGAAAUAAAUUAAAAUAUAAAAUAAAAGCCCACCCCCAUUGGGCCCAAGCCCCCCAACCGGCCCACGUAUCCCUCCCCCAUCCCUAACCUCCGGCUAUAGUGGCCAGGGGGAGGGGAUGCCCGUCAUGCCUCCCCUCGACCACGCGCGGGCCAUCCAGUGGCCACCCCCGCCCUGUGAGGAGACAACGAGCCCUCCCCCGCUAACCCUAGCUCGCCCCCCAAUGAGGACAUCAACACCAUUGUUACACCCACAGCCCCAACUGCUAUACAUACUCGACCAGUUACUAGAGCUCACUCACGCCAAUCGAAUUACCACGUACUUUCGUUUCUUGAAAAUCUUUCUAAUGUUGAUGAACAUGUGAUGCUGCCUAAGUUAGAUAUUUUUGUUGUACUUAUGAAUGAAGGAACUAGCAUGGACAAGAAGGAUAUCUGAUGGAGCAGGAUCAAGCAUGGAGAAGAAGGUGCACGCGGGGAAAGAACAAUGGAGCUUCCACUCAUGAUUUUCACAUAUUGAAGCCACCAUAAGGAGAGCAUGAAGGCUUGGAAAAAAUAUUCAAGAUGCCACUUUAUAAAUUUCGGCCAUAGGAUAUUAUAGGUGUUGCGCCACCUUAUUUUUGGGCCAGGCACAUGGUAAUUUCGAAAUACCAUAUUAUAGGCUAUUUUUAGAUUCCGUAUGUGUGGGGAAACUAAGUUAGCGUCGGUUUCUUACCCCUCCUCCAAGGGGUCACGAAAUUCCUCCUCUAUCCCCCCAUAUAUACACCCCUUAGAGCGCUGUUUAGAAUUGGGUUUUGUUUAGAUUACAAGUUUUCCAUAGUUGCAACUUCGCGUUCUUCGUUUGUGUUCCAUGACCAGGCAAAGGCGUCACAAAACCCCACUUUCAUCAAUAAAGCUCGCCUCUUAUAUUUUCAAUAUCCAGAUUGCAAUCUUAGUUUCAUGCUUGGUCUUUGUUUGCGUGCAGGAAAUAGACCCUCGUGGUCAAGUUGAUCGUGCUCCAGCAUGGUCAAUAACCUCUUGGAGUUGGUUUAGCGAUUGCUAAGGCGCGAUGUCCUCACACGUUCAUAGUCGGAUCGUCAAAGUCUACUCCACCAAAACGAUAACCACCAUCUCAUCGAAAGACAUGGACAACUUUGCCUCUAUCAAGUGGUAUCAAAUUUCCAGGUUGCUCGGUGAGAUUUUACCAGUUUUUCGUAGUUAGAUCGCAUCUGUUCUUCAUACCAAUAGUCCACAGAAAAGACCACAAAAAAUUAGGAUUAGAUCAUCAUAUCCAAACCAAUCCGAGUCUUUGAAUAGUCUUUUUAGUAUUUUUCUUCGUUGUAUUUGCGGUUACAUCAUCGUGUUGAGUUACUGGUCUUAGUGUCCAGUCCUUUAGAGUUUCGAGUUCUGUUCACAGGUAGUCACACCGCCACCACGCCAUCUUUCACCGCUGCCAUAUACCACCACCACGCUUCCAUCAUCACUGCUGCCAUAUACCACCACCACGCCACCAUCAUCCUUGCUGCCAUAUAUCACUGAUACGUCUCAAAUGUAUCUAUAAUUUCUGCUUGUUCCAUGAUCUUUUGGGUGACAUUGUUAUAUGUUUUGCUACACUUUUAUAUAUUUUUACACAUAUUUGGACUAACCUACUAACUCAGUGCACCCAGUGCCUGUUUCUGUCUGUUGAUGUCUUUUUUGCACGGGCUUUUACCCAAUUUUCUGGAGCCCCAAAAAUCCUGAGAAAAAUAUAUAAAAAUUAGCGUAACAGAAGCUACCAGAUCACCGAAGAUGGGCCAGAGGGAAGCCAAGGGCUGCCCAGGCGACCACCCGACGCGGCCUGGCCCCUAGCCGCGCCCAUAGACCGCCUGGGUGGGCCCCACCUCUUCUGACACCCUCCUUUGGCCUAUAUUUACUCCUACGAGAGGAAACCCUUCCAACACAUCCAGAAUCGCGAAUUUCUCCAUUGUUGCUCCGCCACAGCGCUCCUGAGAUCGGGAGCGUCAAGAGACCUCUUCCCGGCACCCUGCCGGAGGGAGGAUUGACCUCCGGGAGCUUCUCCACUGCCAUGGACGCUUUCCGGACGUGCCGUGAGUAGUCCUCCUUGGACCAGGAGUCCAUGACUAGUAGCUAGGUGAUGUCUUCUCUCCAAUCUUGUGCUCCCAUGAUUAACCCUUGUGAGCUGCCCUACAUGAUCAAGGCAUCUUUGUAUUUUUUCCUGCUAUAUCUAUGCUCGGUUUGUUGGGAUCCAAUGGAUUAUGAGCUUAUGUUCAAAUUUUUAUGAGUUAUAUAUUUGAUUAUCCUUUUAUAUUAUGUUCUUUAGUGAUUCAUGCAUGUUCUUCGUUGCUUUGUAUUGCUUUGGCCGAGUAGUAGAUUGUAACUCCAAGAGGGAGCGUUAUGCAUGAUUGUGGGUUCAUGCCCCCUGAUGUCUAGCUUGAGUGAUGUAAACAUGAGACUAGGGGAUGUGUUGUUGCCACUAGGAAGAAAACAACGGUGCUUGUGACCACGGUUGGAAGGAUUGCUUACCUUACACAUAGUUCAUUAAUGCAGUUGUCCGUUGCUUUGAGUUUACACUUUGGUUGGGGCUCGCAACUUAAUACCAGCGAGAUGUUCUGGAUAAAUAUCUCAAGGUGGAUGAUUAGUGAGUAGAUGUUGAUGAAUAAAUGGUCUACUUGUCUGGGCGUACUGCCCAUUACUAUUGAGCCUCUAACUUUCAAGUAGCAUAAUUAGCAUUGCGGUGCGUUUAUAAUUCUGUCAAUUGCCCGGCUGUAAUUUGUUUACCCAAGCAUAGUUGUUUAUCGUCUUUUGGGAGAGAGACAUCAUUAGUGAACAUCAUGUGACUCCGGUCCAUAUCACCACCAUUGCUUACACCUCCAUCAUUUACUGCUUUCAUUUAUUUUCCGUUGCAAUCACUAUCACUAUUCCCGCUUGUGUUUUGAUCCUUUGCAAACUAGAAGGCCGACGAGAUUCACAACCUCUCCGUACUCGUUGGGAGCAAAGUUAUUUGUGUGUGUGUGCAGGUUCACGUUCUUUUGCUUGCGCGAGGGCAGAGGACACCUACUUGUUGAUCCUUGGAGUCCUCCUGGUUCGAUUAACCUUACAUUCUCUGUGUAAUGGAAAACUUGCUGCUGACUACAUCUCCACCUUCCUCUUGGGGUAACCAACGGAGGGUCGAGAAGUAUAUUCAUCAACUCGUCAUCAAGCAAGUUUUCUAGCACCGUUGCCGGGGACUCCAGUCUUCAAGAUAGGGGAGUUGUACGCUAUCCUUUACCUUCCGAUUUUUAGUCUUGUUAGUUUGCCUUUUAGUUUAUACCAAAAACCACAAAAAAAUUAGUUGCUUUGUUCUUGCUUGUUGUUGCUGCUAUGGUCCACUGAGACACACCGUUGUGUGACUUCACUAGUCANNNNNNNNNNNNNNNNNNNNNNNNNNNNNNNNNNNNNNNNNNNNNNNNNNNNNNNNNNNNNNNNNNNNNNNNNNNNNNNNNNNNNNNNNNNNNNNNNNNNAUAUACUGAGAAUACUUGCGACUCACUCAUCCUUUCGUUCUCACACAUCUUGAGUCUGAGGUGCCCUGAACACCUAAUCAGAUCUGAAUCGUUGGGCAGAUAUGUAGUGGUUGGUAACUUUCCAAUAAUCAUAACUUUGGUCUUUAUGUAAACCGGUACGGUGCUGUCUUGUCUAGCACACCGGGCCGAAGGACCUAUUGUUAUAAUAACUUGUUCAACAAGAUUCUCCAUUAUUUUGUGAGAAAAUUGUAAGACUUGUGUUAUAAGUUGUUCCUCAUGUAUCCCUUGUGUAGCCAAAGUCCGACCUUUAUUUGACGACCAUGUCGAUGCUACCUCAAAGCACGGAUGCGGUACUUCGAAUUUCAACAUGAACAUUGGAAGCGCAAUGCUAAAUUGUUCUUGAUCAAUUAUCUAAACCGUAUGGUAUGGAUAAACAUCAUGAUUCUCCUUGCUCCUUUAUCAAAAUGGUUAUGUACUUGAUGACCUAUCAUGUAUACCAUACUCUAUUUUCCUCGGGAAUGGUAUACUCUAAUACUUGUGUGUGUGAACACAUUUUCCUUUCUAUUGGUUUGUUUAAACCUUCUUAUAAGCUAAUUUAUCUGAGCAUCGACAAUUCCUUGCUUAGGUAAAAAACCUUGGUGAACAACUCUGUCAGUAAGACCCUGUUACUAUUGUGGAUAACAUUACGGUAGCCAUUGGUGGACGAGAACCUUGCCUAUUGGUUCGCCUCGUUUCAGCGGGCAGGAACAUGGUUCUAUUCGUCCCCUACCCUUGGUACCGAUCUUGUUGCCAACAUAACAGACAUGUUAUCCUCCAACAUGUCUUGCUAUCAAUACCGUAUAGAAUGUCACCGCUUUGCCUACUCUUAACCCACAUGGUGGACCCAUAACCCAAAUUCCACAGGAUAUAAACCUGACUCUCCUGUACAUCUUUGACUUCAGAGUAUCCUUUGAACUUGGCUUCGUAUGAAAUUCCCGAGCCACCGUCCAAUGGGACGAUCUAUUCAGUAUCAUAAGCAAUAUUUAUAUUCGUUGCUCUAAACCCCCUCCCAUCUCUAUUUAGGCAUUAAACGAUUGCCUAGCCGUUUGAAACCUUGGUACCCUCGCAUGUUACUCUCAACGAAUUUCGCGACUUACAACUUGAGUAAUAGUUGAUGUCCUUUUCCUUGAGUUCGUCGGCACAUGCCCAACUUUGUGUAGCUACGUUCUUCCAAAGUUUUCCCUAUUAUCGCAUUCGUAGGAUGAUGAAGACCCCGAAGGAAGGAUGACAAAUUCAUCAGGAUGACCUAAGUAAGAUAAUUAAAGACUUCAACGAAACGCAUAAAAUUCUUUGGAAAGGACAAAAAAGACCGAGAAGACCCGUUAGAAAUUCGUAACCAAACGUUUCCCCCUUACCUCUACCUCUUAAUUCUCGAGACGAGAAUUUCUUUUACUGGUGGAGAGUUGUGACAUCCCCGGGCUAUGCUACACUAACCCCUGUAAUCAAGCUACAGUAAUCACACGCUAAUGGUGCCAUGUCAUCAAGAUUAACUAAGCCAAAUUGCCCCUUGAUAAAAAAAACCAAAACUAAAUUCAAAUUUAAAAUAAAGUAAAAUAAAUUAUUUCUUCCAACUAUAAAAUAAAAAUCAUGAAUAGGUUGUAAAUAAUCCCUUGGUAAAUAUAAAUUGUAACCAACUUUUUGUAAGUAAUUAAAGGCUUUGAAACCAUUAAAACAGAGGCCAAACAAUAAUUUGAAUGCCCUAUUUAAAUCCUAUAAAUUUCCAAACCACUUUAAAUAAAUGUCAAACUUUUUGUGACAGUUUCUAAAAAUGUAAUAUAGAUAAUGGACCGAGUGCCAUUUUUUUACAAAAGAUUGUUGUUACAAGAAUAAUUAGAACUGAAACAGAUAAAAGAAAAAGCAAAAUGAAAAAGAAAAAGAAAUAACUAAAACCCCCCUUCCCCCCCGGGCCACCGGCCCAUGUCGCCCCAUCCAGCGAGCCGAGCCUGGCCUCCCCGCCGUCGGCCCAACCAGUGGUACCUAACCCCCCCCCCCCCCCCCGAGCGCCCCCCGGCAACCCUNNNNNNNNNNNNNNNNNNNNNNNNNNNNNNNNNNNNNNNNNNNNNNNNNNNNNNNNNNNNNNNNNNNNNNNNNNNNNNNNNNNNNNNNNNNNNNNNNNNNGUCAAGGCCCAAACCUUAGUGGGUUAGUAGCACCACGAACAACCCUCGAAGCACCCCAGUCACCAGCCCUCCCCAAUUCCAAGCACAGGUGACAAGAACUCCAAUUUGUAGCUGCAGGACAGUACUGGCAACACUAGUGUCCUUGCNCCCUUGACCAGCUCGAGCUCCCACUAAACCACAACGUCUAGGCACACUCCCAGCGACACUCAGGACAUGAAGGACACGUCCCAAGCGCCCCAGAGCGAGCCAGCAUGCCGUGGCAUGCCAAAACUGCGCUCUGGCGCACUGCAGAGAGCCACCCGCAAGGGGCCGACGCUCCGGCCGGUCCCAGCUUCCCCAGUAGUGUCCAAGCACUCCCCUGACAGCCCCUCAGUGCAAAGCUACCCCAGGGACCCUCUCCCCCUCGCGCAAGAGCUCAGGCGACGCGUGCCCGUGCGCCCCCGACGCGGCCGAGCAUGCACGGUCGCUGCAGCUCGUCCCCACUCACUUUCCCUCUGCGGCCGUUGCAUCAGGAGGCCCUAAACCACGUCCCGAACCCGUGGUUUCGCGGCCAGCACCUCACUGUKCUUGCACGCGUGCCACGGUGAGUCACCGGCGUGCCCGAGUCGGGUCACCGUCGUUGGCCUAUAAAUAGACCCCCCCCGGCCACUCCAGCACCCUCCAAGCAGCUUCARCACAACCAGUAGACACUCCCUAGCCGCCCAAUCGAGGUCGCAGAGCCCCGGUGCUCGAGAUCGACCGAGGCCCCUCCGCCUCGGAGCUCCGGUCGAUCUCCGGCWACACGUCGGCUCCUGCGCUGCCCGACCUCUCAUUACACUCCCCUCGCACCAGGAACAUUUCCCCUAACUCUCCCGAGCAAAUCCAUACCUCUAGCCCCUAGUUCAACUUGAACCCGAAACCCUUCCGCCACGAGCACCUCGUUGCCGGCGACCCAGACCACCUCUGGUGACGUACCGACCACGAGCAGGUAGGCGGAGGCACGAGGAACCGUUCCCGUUCCUAGCUAGGCCUGAGGACAACGGCAGCCUCGCCGGCGGCCAUCUCCACCUCUCUGGCCAGAGGUAGGAGAAGGACCCGACAGGUGGAGCCCACCUGGCGGUGUCCUGGGGCAGCCAGCGCGCGCAGCCGCUGACGCUGACCCCAGGGGCCCGCAGGUCAGGUUUGAACCUGGCCCACGCGCGCCUGGUGGCCAGGCCUGCUGGCUGGGCCGGCUGGAUCUGUUUCCCUGGCCUUUUUCUUUUGUUUAAUCCAGCAAACUAAAUGAUUUUUAUAAAARGAUUUAGCUAGUAGAAAAAUAUAAUUCUUCCACCAGUAUUUUUCUAAAAAUGAGUAGUAUUUGAUUCUGUAAUAGUUGACAUUUAUCAAUAACAGAAACUAUUUUGGUAUAAUAAAACGAUAUUAAAAAGCACUUGUUUGCUUCUGUUUGCUUUUAAAUAAAUAUGCUUAGCUAAUAAAACAGUAGGGAACAUUUUUCAAAAUAAUAACCUGGAUUUAUUCAAGCCUUGCAACAUUUUUAAAAGCACUUUGUGAACUGUUUUAGUAAAAGCUAGUAUUUAUUUAUUCCUUUCUCGACGGUAGAAUUACCGAGUGAUGGAGGAUCCGGAGCGGAAGACCUCGAAGACCCCGGAUACCUAGCUGACCAAGGCACACAGGGGAUAGGCCAUGACCUAAGUAAAUAAAAUGAUGCAUGCUAGAAUAGCAAGUAUUUUCCAUUGCAUGUAAUCACGAUGUCGGUUCAUCAUUGAUGUGAUGGUACUGAAGGCUUCUUCGAAGCCCUUGCAUUAUAGAAGUGAUUUCACAUGGCUCCUCGGAGCACAAACAUGAUGAGCUUGAUCCUACCAUCUACGAGGAUCAUGCUACUGUCAUGUUGGCUAGUAGAGUAGAAUCACUGCAUUGAGCUUGACCCCGUGAGGGUCAUGAUACUAUCAUGUUGACAAGUAAUGUUAAGGCACAUCAAGUUGACAAGUAAUAAUAGAGCAUUUUAUCAUGAGCAUGAUGAUGAGUUAAAUAAAGAGUUUAUGAAAACCCCGUCGGGUGCCACUAAUGCCCGAAGGUGAUGAUGAGUUGGUGAUCACUUUUGGUGAAGUGAUGCACUGGUGAUUUUGGUGUGAGUAUGGUUUCGGAAAUGGAUUAGAUUUAUGAUGUUUCGACCGUCCCAACCUUACCCAGUACGACCACGAUACCCCUUUAUGGGACGGGGCUUUGUUGAUUACUCUGGUCAGUGCUAGCAAAGAGCCACAUUACUAGUGGCGGGAGUGAUCGGUGUCACUCUCGUGAUGGGGUCGUGCCAGGUAGGACGACUAUGCCAUUAUUAUGAGUUCCAGGCACACCGUUGGUCCCUGCAUGGUUGAUACAGUCCAGAGUCGGUGCUCGUAAGACGUACAACAUGUGGGCUGGGUACCAAUCGAGUGGAUCUCUUUGUCUAGUAUCGUCAGGGGAAAGAUGAUGAUCGGAUACUUACCUCGGGUAUAUGUGAUAUACCGCGAGUCGUGGAUGACACGGAAGUAUUCCGUUUCUCGUGGGUCCAGCGUACUACCUCUGCAGAGUGUAAACUAUUCGAAUAGCCGUGUCCAUGGUCAAGGACAGUUGGGUGGUGCUGCUUAAACUACGUCCUGAGUUUCCGCAUAAACCAAGUGUGUGUGUGUGGUGUUAAAAAGGUGUCGUUAUAAUCAUGAUAAUCACAAUAAUAUGAUCAAGUUCGGUCGUACGUUAGACWWGUAGGKUAAACCGGGUAAACCGGUAGUUUAGGUUUACCGUCCCUACUAAUUUAAACUUACCGUUAGUAGUAAUUUAGUAGAACGUAACGUACCGUAGUANNNNNNNNNNNNNNNNNNNNNNNNNNNNNNNNNNNNNNNNNNNNNNNNNNNNNNNNNNNNNNNNNNNNNNNNNNNNNNNNNNNNNNNNNNNNNNNNNNNNUCUCUUGAAGCGCGUGCGGCGGCGCCACUGCCGGCUCGGAGGAGAGAAGCCGAGAUCUCCUCGACGCGGCCCGCUCCCUGGCGUGCUUCCAAAGCAUGUGCCGCAUUGGGAUGUGGCCAAGGUCAAGCACCCAAGCCCACACCAUGAAGGUCUUUGUGUCGGCGUGCUCGAAUCUGUCUAGUCGGUCGAUGAUCACCUUGUCCCCGAGCGCAUCGGUGAUGCCCUCCAUCGUCCAGAGCAUCAUGGGCAGCUUCUUGAUGAUGAGGCGCAUGUGUGUCCUCCCGCUAAGGCUCCAACGGGAAGGUGACGCUGUCCACCUCCAGCGUGCUGCGGCGCACGAGAAGCUCCUUGUGCGCCGGCAGGUUGAAGUGGAUGAAGAAAUCCUCGGGGUCGUGGUUGGUGAUGCGAAGGUGGUGCGCAUGAUCUAGAACUCCCUCUCGACGGCCUUGCCGAUGGAGUAGGGGUUGGUCGCGUGGUUCUUGCUGGCCGCAGUCACCACUAUGGCGUGCUGCUGCAGGAGGAAGAGUUGCUGCUCCAUCGCCGAUGUGGAGGCGAUGACCUUAUGGCUGUGGAGCGGCCGGCGCCCGUGGUCGAUGCAGGGGGCGUCCGCCGCGGCCAUGGCCUCCUGGCUGGGGAACACGAGCUGGUCUGUCACCGGACGACGCGCGCCCAACCUCUCCUUCACGUCCCUCCCCCACGACGAUUUCUUGGGUUUUUUGGGUACUCCCUACCAAAAUGCCCUGACUGCUUGCAGAUGAUGCAGUGCAGCGGGUCUCUACAGUCCUUUCGGCGGUGGCGAGGGCUAAGGCACCGAAAACAGAGACCUCUGAACUAGCUUAAAAAGGCCUCGCGACCAUGGACGGAGGUGCUUCUGCCGUUGGAUCCCCGUGCUGGACAUCGGAUCUUUACUUGGCCGCCGCUUCUUGCGGGAUUGGUAGGUAGUCCAUCCGUCCUCAUCAAUAGCGUCGGGGGACUGAUUUGGUGAUAGAGGAGGGGCAACUACGAUGGAUCGAAGGCAGGGCUGCUCGAAAGGGGGGGGUACCUAGAUCCGCCUGUCCGUGUGGAGAGCCAUCCUCAAGAACCUCGACCCAAGGCACACAGGGGAUAGGCACACCAGAGCGAUCCAUGGAGGGGAGCGCGGGGCUGGGUGCCUCGGAUGGAUCGGCGGACAGGUUGAGGCCUGGCGACGCAGGGCAUUGAAUGCCGACCGGUGGAGAGGCGGGAUCUUGGGGGUCUCAGCAGGGCGGCAUGGGCCGGCGCGGGUGCCCGGGUGGGCGGCGCAUGGGUAGUGGUGGUCGCCGCGGCCGGAGUGGCCAGCGGCACGAGAGGAAGAGGUGAGCUAGCUCAGCCGCCACACCAUAUUGUUGCUUUGACUUUCUCCCUAGUCCGUGGUGARGGGCCUUGGGGGAGCCAGGAACUGUGACUUUGCUGCUGGCCAUGUAGCAACUCUCUUACCUAAAAAGGAAAAAUACAAUGGAACCAUUGCUAGAAAUAAGGAAUACCAUCAGCAAAGUUGUGCUGUAGUAUGUGCUCCAUCUUUUAUCUCUUCUUGGCACACGCAUCGAUAAUGUAUUUCUAGGGACGGGUUUGCAGCAAACCUAUGAGAUGCCGGAUGGUUGCGCUUCCAGUCUCAAGAAAAAAGAAAUGUGUUAUUUAAUUUUGAUGUUGGCCAAGUAGCAACUCUCUUGCCCCUCAAAACAAGACAAUGAAACCAUCGCUGAAAAUAGCCAAUAACAUCAACACAGAGGUGUAACUAGUUUCACCCCUUAGCCCUGGGUAAUCGAUUUCAACUAGUUCUGCACAGUUCAACUAGAAUGUGACUGGUUUUGCGCGGUAUGCUAUUACCGGUCUGGAAUUUUGAUUAGGCUCUCGAACUUAUGGGAAGAAUUGAGUCAGUAGAUUGGAAACCGUUUCUGUUUGUUUCUUUCUUAUUCAUCCUCGGCAUUCUUUUCUGACGAUCAAAACAGGAGUUAUGCCAAUUUUAUUAUGAUAGAAAAGGAAAUAGAGAGUGACCCCGGUUUAUAAGGGAAACUGGGCCGAAAACCCCAAUGCCUGACUGAGCGAAAACCAAUGAACAAAAGGAAAACUCAAAAAACAGAAGGAAAAAAAAACACUAGAGCUUGGGGAUGUGGACUACAAGAAUGCAAAAGCAAAAGGAAGGCUGGAGCAGAUAAUUCAGGACNNNNNNNNNNNNNNNNNNNNNNNNNNNNNNNNNNNNNNNNNNNNNNNNNNNNNNNNNNNNNNNNNNNNNNNNNNNNNNNNNNNNNNNNNNNNNNNNNNNNGAAUAAAGGUGUGACCGAAUGCAUGGAAAAAGCUAAUUUAGAUGAUGAAAUAAUUCACUGGGAAAAUAAGCUAAAGCAUAUAGAUUGGGAAUAUAAAAAUUCUAUGACAAAAGAUUGGCCUAAGAUAAGAGAAAGAGAAUUGUUUAUAAUUAGAGAAAUUGCAAGGUUAAAAAAACUAAAAAAUGAGAAAUAGUUGGUAACUAGUGGUUCAAUUAUGCCAAAUACAUCAUCAAUUGAAAGGGGAGAACAUGCUGGUAGUAAUAAUGAUGCUAUCACUAAUAGAGAUAAGAAUAUUGCUCAGGAAGAAGAAGUUGUUAGUGAAGAAGAGCAAUGGGAUAUAAAUAAUAAGUUAUUACUAGAAAGUUAUGAAGAGGAAGAGGAAUUAGUAAAGAUAUGUGGUUAGAAGAUAGAAAUWAUAAUAGAUUGGGAGCAGAUAGUGUAUUUUAUUAACUCACUAGAUGAUGUGGGACUAMMAAAUUUAAGACAAAUAGCAAUAGGAAGGACUAUGGAAGGUAAGAAAGUAAGUUAAAUAAAAGUAAAGAAAAGGGAAGUAAUAGGCGGAGGUACUUACGGUAAAAGGUAAAGGAAAGGAAGGAAGGAAGGNNNNNNNNNNNNNNNNNNNNNNNNNNNNNNNNNNNNNNNNNNNNNNNNNNNNNNNNNNNNNNNNNNNNNNNNNNNNNNNNNNNNNNNNNNNNNNNNNNNNGAAUAGAAACCCAACUAAAGUAAAAACCGAACAUAAAAAAGUAAAAGAAAUACCUAAUAGGAAACCGGUAGAAAAAGAAAACGAAAUAGAAUAAAGAAAACCGAAAAAAAACUAAGAAAUAGAAAACAAAAGUAAAAUAAAACUAAAAGAAAACCAAAUAYGAAAAGAAAAGGAAAAAUAUAAAAAAUAGUGAAAACCGAGAAUAAACAAACAAAAAAGAAAAAAAGAAAAAAAACAAAGAAAACAAAAGUUAAUAUGAAUAAAGAAAAACCAAAGACAAAAAAAAGAAUGAAACAAAAAAUAAAAUAAAAUAAAAAGACACGAGCGAGCAUACAACAAGACAAGAAUGCCCACCUAAACCCGAACGAACGAAGAGAAAAACUAAUUAAGGGGUAUACUUGCAGAAGCCAGGUAAGGGUCAUUUUGAUGGGUUGAGAGUGUAUCAAGUGAUGCAUCUAAUCGCUGCCACGUGUUGCAUGUUGGGUCACGCAUGAUUUUAUUUGUUUUAUUUCUGUAUGCAUUUUAAGGUUUAGAUGGAUUUCUUGUUUUCGCCUUGUUUUUUUAGGUCUGUAAGUUUUUAAUGCAUGAWUUUUGCUUCUGGUGGUAGCACAUUAUUUGUUUACUUAAAAAGGACUAUGUUUGCUUUACAACGAAAAGCAACAACUUAUGCAUCUACAAAAAAGAAAANNNNNNNNNNNNNNNNNNNNNNNNNNNNNNNNNNNNNNNNNNNNNNNNNNNNNNNNNNNNNNNNNNNNNNNNNNNNNNNNNNNNNNNNNNNNNNNNNNNNCGUAAUUUUUCUAAUUCUAAUUUAAAAACUAACGUAUUUAAGUGUAAUUUAAAAUAAUUUAUUUUUCUUAUUUUAUUAUCUUAUUAGUCUACUUUAUUAAGGCCGUAGUAAUAGUAUAUUUCCACAAGGUAAAUUAUUUCCUGCCUUAGUAAAUUCUGNGUAAAUUCAUGGAAGCUCAGAAGGACAUAUAUUUUCCAUACAUAAGAUUUUCAACCCUAUUUUAUAUUAAUAUUAUUUGAGUAAAACCCUGAAAACCCAUUUCUGUCUGUUAUAGCUUUUUGAGAUGUUUCCAAAGGAAAAGUAUCUCAGUAAAUUCCCAUAAAAUUACCGGAGCCCUCCCAAACCAUAUUAGGUGCUCACCUAAAAUCUCACCUUGAUCCAAGGUGGGUAAGUGCACUUAGAGAGCCCAAAACCCUCUCUGUCCAGAGUGGAGUUGGAACAACUCUACAUUGCAAAGUUUCUCCAAUAGAGCUGAAACUUUGUAGAGGUGUUUAACACCCCAAAUGAGGACUCCACACCAAAAAUGGGAGUUUGUGAGACUACUGUUUGUACCACACUUCCUUUCGUAGGGUAACGAGUACUGGUCGACUUGUAGAACAUUUUCUAAGUUUAGUCAAAGACCGAAACUUACGGUUCUAAUAGGAGGCUCUAUUAAUUUGGGUUGGAACCCCCGAACUUGGUUUUUAACCCCUAAACGAAACAAAACCUACGUUAAGNNNNNNNNNNNNNNNNNNNNNNNNNNNNNNNNNNNNNNNNNNNNNNNNNNNNNNNNNNNNNNNNNNNNNNNNNNNNNNNNNNNNNNNNNNNNNNNNNNNNGAAAAUAAAACAAAUAAAAUCAUGCGUGACCCAACAUGCAACACGUGGCAGCGAUUAGAUGCAUCACUUGAUACACUCUCAACCCAUCAAAAUGACCCUUACCUGGCUUCUGCAAGUAUACCCCUUAAUUAGUUUUCUCUUCGUUCGUUCGGGUUUAGGUGGGCAUUCUUGUCUUGUUGUAUGCUCGCUCGUGCUUUUAUUUAUUUUAUUUUUGUUCAUCUUUUUUUUGUCUUUGGUUUUCUUUAUUCAUAUAACUUUUGUUUUCUUUGUUUUUUUUUCUUUUUUUCUUUUUGUUUCGUUUAUUCUUCGGUUUUCUACUUAUUUUUUAUUAUUUUUCCUUUCUUUUCUAUUGGUUUUCUUUGUUUUAUUUUAUUUUGUUUUUCUAUUUACUAUUUUUUUGGUUUUCUUUUAUUCUAUUCUUUCUUUUUCUACCGGUUUCCUAUUUGGUAUUUCUUUUCUUUUUUAAUUGUUGGUUUUCUUUUAGUUGGGUUUCAUUCUAGUUUUUCUUCGGUAACCUUAGUAUUGUACCUUUUUUGGUUUCUUAUGUGUUGUUCGUAUUCUUUUCCUCGUACUUUCUUGUGUUAGUAUUUUACAUUUACUAUUUAAAAUAUUAUUUUAUGCUAUAGUUAACUAUUCUUAGNNNNNNNNNNNNNNNNNNNNNNNNNNNNNNNNNNNNNNNNNNNNNNNNNNNNNNNNNNNNNNNNNNNNNNNNNNNNNNNNNNNNNNNNNNNNNNNNNNNNCUAACUUUCGUUAGUUCUUGUUGUUAUGCUCGCUCGUGUCUUUUUAUUUUAUUUUAUUUUUGUUUCUAUUCUUUUUUUGUACUUUGGUUUUUCUUUAUUCAUAUAACUUUUGUUUUCUUUGUUUUUUUUUCUUUUUUUCUUUUUUGUUUGUUUAUUCUCGGUUUUCACUAUUUUUUAUAUUUUCCUUUCUUUUCAUUGGUUUUCUUUGUUUAUUUAUUUUGUUUUCAUUCAUUUUUUUGGUUUUCUUUAUUCAUCUUUCUUUUUCACCGGUUUCCAUUGGAUUCUUUCUUUUUUAUGUGGUUUUCUUUAUGGGUUUCAUCAGUUUUCUUCGGAACCUUACGAUUGACCUUUUUUGGUUUUCUAUGUGUUGUUCGUAUCUUUUUCCUCGACUUUCUGUGUAGAUUUUACAUUUACAUUUAAAAUAUAUUUUUAUGCAUGUUAAACAUCUUGAAAAUACACAAUCAUCAUUGUAAAAUAGAUUAUUUUAAUUGUCUAUAUUUUUGUGUACACUGUUAACAUUUUUUAUUACAUUGGUUAACUUYWYUUUAUAGCAGGUUAAUUAAUUUUUUUUAACUAUUNNNNNNNNNNNNNNNNNNNNNNNNNNNNNNNNNNNNNNNNNNNNNNNNNNNNNNNNNNNNNNNNNNNNNNNNNNNNNNNNNNNNNNNNNNNNNNNNNNNNAUGUCUUUUAGAACCAUGGAAUACUUAAAUAGUCUAGUCAAUGGAUGGGAAGAGCCACUUACCUUAACUUGAUGCUUUCAAGGAGUAUGAGUGGUUCAACGUGGACUUUAAGGUGUGCGACCUUAAAAUUAGCUUCCCUGUGCCACAUGUAGUGCACACAAAAUCCAAAUGUUGUUAGGAUUUAGCAUCAUAAUAAUCAUAAAAUAUUGGAAUUUCCAAUAGGUCUGUUUUCAACCCAAUGUCUCGAUGACCAAGGCAAGUAUUCCAAGUUUGUCAUGUACACGACAUAUUGGAAAAACUAUCUUGGAUGCAACAUGUGCUACGUGUUUGUAGUAUGUGUAGUACAAUCGAGAUGAUACAUAGAGAAUGUGCUUGCCAUAUCCAUUGCAUAUGGUAAAGAGAAGGUAUUCCUCUUUGUUGUCAUUAUAAGUUUCACUAUAGAAACUAUUUUGAUGGACAUCUCUAUGGUUUAGUAGGGUACGAGUUAAACCGGGAAGAAAUAAAGCAUCCUCAAGUUACACGAGUACCCACAGGGAUAGUAAGUAUGACUCAAAUUGAUCCAACAAAUACCUCACUAUGUCUAGCAAUUUUAAAAUAUAUCCUUUCUCUUUAACGAUAGUGGAAAGUUUCACUUCCCCGAGUAUAGAGUUUGUGGUGCAUAUGUCCACAAGGCACACAGGGGAUAGGNNNNNNNNNNNNNNNNNNNNNNNNNNNNNNNNNNNNNNNNNNNNNNNNNNNNNNNNNNNNNNNNNNNNNNNNNNNNNNNNNNNNNNNNNNNNNNNNNNNNAUUGCCCAUAGUGUCUUCAUCAAGAAGUCCUCUACAGGAUUUUGCAUCAUUUCUAUGUAUGUUGAUGAUCUCAACAUCAUCGGCAGUGCACCAGACAUUGAUGAAGCAAGCAAUCACCUAAAGAUGGAAUUUGAGAUGAAGGAUUUGGGUAAAMCCAAUUUUUKCUUWGGKAUUCAACUUGAGMACCUUCCCUCARGAAUCAUGGUACACCAAGMUGCCUAUAUCCARAAAMUNUURGAGARAUUCAAUAUGGACAAAGACAAAUCCUAUCCAUCUAAACUCCUAUGGUGGUUCGAUCUCUAGACAUAGAGAAAGAUCCGUUCAGACCAAGGAAUGAUGGACAAGAGGUGUUGGGACCUGAAGUUCCAYAYYUCAGUGCAGUUGGAGCGCUUAUGUAUCUUGCAAAGCACAAGACCUGAUAUUGCAUUUGCAGUGAAUCUACUUGCUAGACACAGCGCAGCUCCCACCAAACGUCAUUGGUCUGGAGUGAAGAAUAUCUUUCGAUAUCUCCAAGGCACACAGGGGAUAGGNNNNNNNNNNNNNNNNNNNNNNNNNNNNNNNNNNNNNNNNNNNNNNNNNNNNNNNNNNNNNNNNNNNNNNNNNNNNNNNNNNNNNNNNNNNNNNNNNNNNGAUCCCGAUCACGAUCACAAUUCAGCAUUCUGGGUCGACGGCCUGGUUGCCUCGAGGCCAGCCCACUCCAGUGUCCGCGGCCACUAAGUAAUGCUUAGUUUUCCCUUUUAAUACUAGGCUUAUAUAUAUAACUUGGGCCCUUCAAAUUUUGGGCCCUGUGCGGGCUGCACAUCUGGCACCACUGUAGGCCCGGCCCUGGUUCAAGAGCAGGUCCUAAAGCCAAAUAAAGGGAUACAUCGAGUAGCGGAAACUCGUAAGGGCUAAGCGGUGCCCAUGCCAUCAAGCCUACACCGACAGGCAUUCUGACUCGGAAGCGUCCUAGAUUGCAGGUCCGUCUCCGACGGCGUACUCAUCGCCAAACUCCGGUCCUUCCAUGUCUGGUCGAAUAACAUAACCUAGUGGCAAGCCAAUGAGUACUUUGAAUAGUACUCGCAAACAAGCCCAAUAGACAUAAAUGACUAAUGCAGGGCAGUAACACGUGCAUCUUUAGUGGAAUGCGAUGAGGUAGGUAUAGNNNNNNNNNNNNNNNNNNNNNNNNNNNNNNNNNNNNNNNNNNNNNNNNNNNNNNNNNNNNNNNNNNNNNNNNNNNNNNNNNNNNNNNNNNNNNNNNNNNNGUAGCAACUUGUUUACUACUUCAUGAUCAGUACCAAGUCCUUGAAGCUCACCUAAGAGGACACAUAGAUGAUCAUAAGUAUCGUGGACCCAUUCAUUUCCGGUUCUAUUGAAAAGAUUGAGGCAGUUUUGGAGAGUCUCAAUGUGAUAGUCUUUCCGUGUGGAUACACCCUUGUUCACUUUCUCAAGUUUAUCCCAGAUUCUGUUUGAAUUUUCCAACCUUUGGUGUCAAAGGAAUUGCGGCUUUAAGAGAUGAUUACUGACACGUCUAUGUUGCAUCAUGAUUUCUUAUUAGUAUUUAUAUGAUUCUUGGUCAUUAUCCCACUUUAUGGUACAAUUCUUAUGUCUUUUCUCUCUGAAUUUGCAAGGCACACAGGGGAUAGGGAAAUUGCCGAAAACUGGAAUUUUGGACCUGAAAACCAAGAAAAAGGCUGAAAAUUCACUCGACUCCGAAUGACCGGAAACUUCACGAGGAAUGUUUGUGGAAUAUAUAUGAAUUUAUGGAGCAAAAUAUACCAAAGGGGGCCACCUGUUGGUGCCAAGCCAAUAGGACGCGCCGUGAUGGCUUGGGGCCAUCUCCGAGGCACUUCAGCCUCCCUCUUCUGCUAUAAGUUGGGUUUNACCUAGAAAAAAUAGGAAGUANNNNNNNNNNNNNNNNNNNNNNNNNNNNNNNNNNNNNNNNNNNNNNNNNNNNNNNNNNNNNNNNNNNNNNNNNNNNNNNNNNNNNNNNNNNNNNNNNNNNGACCCUUUUUAAUUCUUCAUACUGAUUAGGAUAUGUCUCUACCCAUUGUUCCCAUAGAACUUUUACAGAUUCUCCUAAAAAUGUUUCAAGAUAUGUUAACAUAUCUUCUACCUUAGUUCCUAUAUUAUACUGGUUUUGUAUAUAUUUUUGAACUAUUAAACCUUUCCAUAUGCUGAUUAUAUUCGGCCAAUCUAUAGGGUCAUGAGCUGCUAGGUUUAAAAUAGCGCCAUCAUUCUUAUAAUUUUGAAAUUGCACUGGCUUUUCAAAAUCUCUUCUUUUAGCACCCAUAUAUCUAUAUUGUCCAGGGAUAUAUGUAGGUUGAUAAUCAUCCUUUUCUGGAGGCCAUUGUCCAGCUGAUCUGGUAGGUCUCUCUCUCUCUCCUUCUUCUUUUACCGAAGACUCGCCAUAUCCCUUUCUUCUUUAUUACUUACUUUCUACUUCCUAUAGUCUUCCUAUUGYCUAUUGUACUUAAAUUUUGUACGUCCCUACAUAUCCUAUCUAGUGUAGUUAAUAAAAUCUACUAUCUGCCUACCCAAUCUAUUAUUAAUUUCANNNNNNNNNNNNNNNNNNNNNNNNNNNNNNNNNNNNNNNNNNNNNNNNNNNNNNNNNNNNNNNNNNNNNNNNNNNNNNNNNNNNNNNNNNNNNNNNNNNNAUCUACUACUAUUACUCCACACAUCGACCGACUCCUGCCUACAUCUAGAGUAUUAAUUUCAUUAAGAACAGAGUGACGCAUUAAGUAAGGUGACAUGAUCUAGAGGAAUAAACUCAAGCAAUAUGAUUAAAACCCCAUACUUUUAUCCUUGAUGGCAACAAUACAAUGCGUGCCUCGCUACCCCUACUUUGUCACUAGGUGAGGACACCGCAAGAUUGAACCCAAAACUAAGCACUUUUCCCAUUGCAAGAAUUACCAAUCUAGUUGCCCAAACCAAACCAAUAAUUGGAAGACACUUGCAAAGAUAUGAAAUCAUGCAUAUAAGAAUUCAGGAAAGACACAAAUAAUAUUCAUAGAUAAUCUGAACAUAAACUCACAAUUCAUCGGAUCUUGACAAACACACCGCAAAAGAGUAUUACAUCGGAUAGAUCUUCAUGAAGAUCAUGAAGAACAUGGUAUUGAAGAACAAAGAGAGAGAAUAAGCCAUCCAGAUACUAGCUAUGGACCCAUAGAGGUCUGUGGUAAACUACCCACGCAUGAUCAGAGAGGACAAUNNNNNNNNNNNNNNNNNNNNNNNNNNNNNNNNNNNNNNNNNNNNNNNNNNNNNNNNNNNNNNNNNNNNNNNNNNNNNNNNNNNNNNNNNNNNNNNNNNNNCUUUGUGGUUUAUAAUAUUUGUUUUUCCGAUGCCUUUCUUCUCCAUACGUAAGCGGUAUUUGGACAAUGUUAUUGCAGAAAUUGUAAUCUGACUUCUUCAUAGACCUUUGGGCUUGUAUGCCUGUACAUACCUUUCUUAAUUGUUUAAAAACAAAUGUUAUGGCUUGAGAUAUAUUUACCACGUUUCCACCUGUUUCUUUUUUAUAUUCUUCAAAUAUUAUAGAUCCUAGAGGGUCUGGCAACUUAUUAAAAUAUCUUUCUACAACACCUACAUUAAACCCUUGCUUCGCAGUGGUAGCAUUAUAUAAAUAAUGUUGAGAGAAUUCUUUUAUUCCUUUCCAGCUAGUUAAUGUUAGUUUUUCUAUUUCUCUCAACCUUUCGUUUUGUAGUGAGGUAUAUCCUAAUUCCGGGUCUUCUGCGAUGAUCAUAUUUGAAAUAACAUUUGCAAAGUUAUUAGGGUUACUUCCGACCCUUUUUAAUUCUUCAUACUGAUUAGGAUAUGUCUCUACCCAUUGUUCCCAUAGAACUUUUACAGAUUCUCCUAAAAAUGUUUCAAGAUAUGUUAACAUAUCUUCUACCUUAGUUCCUAUAUUAUACUGGUUUUGUAUAUAUUUUUGAACUAUUAAACCUUUCCAUAUGCUGAUUAUAUUCGGCCAAUCUAUAGGGUCAUGAGCUGCUAGGUUUAAAAUAGCGCCAUCAUUCUUAUAAUUUUGAAAUUGCACUGGCUUUUCAAAAUCUCUUCUUUUAGCACCCAUAUAUCUAUAUUGUCCAGGGAUAUAUGUAGGUUGAUAAUCAUCCUUUUCUGGAGGCCAUUGUCCAGCUGAUCUGGUAGGUCUCUCUCUCUCUCCUUCUUCUUUUACCGAAGACUCGCCAUACUCCCUUUCUUCUUUUAUUACUACUUUCUACUUCCAUAGCUUCCAUUGCUAUUGUACUAAAUUUUGUACGUCCCACAUCAUCUAGUGAGUUAAUAAAAUCACUAUCUGCCUACCCAAUCUAUUAUUAAUUUUCAUCUUCUAACCACAUAUNUUUUACUAAUUCCUUCUUCCUCUCUAUAACUUUCUAGUAAUAACUUAUUAUUUAUACUCCUAUGUCUCUUCUUNNNNNNNNNNNNNNNNNNNNNNNNNNNNNNNNNNNNNNNNNNNNNNNNNNNNNNNNNNNNNNNNNNNNNNNNNNNNNNNNNNNNNNNNNNNNNNNNNNNNUAGCCUCCCCACGGCCAAUCAAACAUUUUCCCACAAAUAGUGAGAAGUACUGAAGCACAGGAAAAUGUAUGCUUGCAAUUCUAGCGCGAGACACUCCUCUCUCCUCUCCAACAGCAAUAGAACCAAUGAAAUCUUCCAAGUCCCAUGGACGAGGGUCACGGAUAUCCCCAACAUAAGGUAAUUUGCAUACAUUGUAAAAAUCCUGCAGCGUCAUGCACUGGGGAACAUCGUAUAUCAUGAACUCAACCAUGGGAGGAUUCUUCCUCGGAUAAAAGUUGAAGCUUUGAUCGAAAAUAUUGGUGAGGAGGAGAUAUUGUGGGCACUUAUCUUCAACGAACGCAGUAAGACCUGCGUUCUCCACCAAGUAAUAAAAGUCUUCAUAAAGUCCGGCGGCACGCAAAAUUCAUCACUUGGCCACUCGCACGCUCGAACUUCUGCGACUCGAAGGACUACGUACUUGGGGUGGUUCUUCUCAUCCUCCUUGUGAUUAUGGCUUGAAGAGCCUCUCAAGAACCUCCUCAUAUUUUCCUUUUCCUAGCUCUGAAAAAUUCUAAAAUUUUUGGAGACUUCAAAAGAAAAGUGAACAAGGAUCAACCCAACUUGUAGCAACUACUCCUACUAGUGCCUAGAGACCGUAUCAUGUGCUAAAACUACUUAGGACCAUCUAAAAUCAACUUUUAUAUCUCAAGAACAGGGUAACCAAGGUAGCAAAAAUUCGCGAAGGAUAAAGCACUAGAGCAAAAACUAAUUGGACCAAUCGAGGAGUCACUUACCAAGGAGUAAUUUCCCCAAAACAGUUCGGAGAAUGGUGCUUUGAGCAAAGAGAUAGAAAAUCACAGCCAAAUGAGCAAGAACACGGGUUUGAGAUGCAAAACAAUUUUUUCUGGAGGUGGAAGAAGAGGCUGGGAGCUGGAAUGAGUGGAGGGGGUGCCUGUGGGCCCCACAAGCUUGCACCCCGCCACCAGGGGGUAGGUGGCGGUGGGGGGCUCGUGGCCCACUGGUCAGGCCCCCUAGCCAGCUCUCAGGCCCAGAAAUUUUCAAAAAUUCCAGACAAAAUCAUACUAAAUUUUCAGGACCAUCGAAGAACUUUUAUUUCGAGGUAUUUUUCUCCGGUACGCUAAAACAGAAAACAAGGAAAGCUAAACUAAUUCCAUCAUUUUUCUUCUAAGCAAAAGAAAAUGAAGACCCUCAAACCAGAGGUAUGUGACUCUCUGAUUCAUCUGUUUCAUGGUCAUCGAAAGAAAUUCGUCAAUGGGGUUGAUCAAGUCCUUAUGACAAAACUUUCUUGAAUCGCAAGAGAGAACGGAGAAUUUUCGAAUAGCCACUAAGUCACCUCAAUGGGGAUAUAAAUCUCCCCAACCAGCAAAUCAUACUUCAUCUUGAAGCGAGGAAUAGGGCAUUCAAAGCUCCCAAUGAGAAUCGAUGAAGUCUUUUCAAUAGCAUUGAUGCAAUGUACUGGGUACCGUUUCUUCAGAAAGUGCACUGUGUGCUCAUUACCGUUGACGUGGAAGGUGACAUUGCCUUUGUUGCAAUCUAUAAUAGCCCCUGCAGUGUUUAAAAAGGGUCUUCCGAGGAUGAUAGCCAUGGCAUCGUCCUCGGGAAUAUCAUAUAUAACAAAGUCUGUUAAGAUAGUGGUAUUAGCAACCACAACAGGCACAUCCUCGCAAACACCGAUAGGGAAAGCAGUUGAUUUGUCGGCCAUUUGCAGAGAAAUUUCAGUGGGUGUCAACUUAUCCAACUCAAGUUUAUGAUAAAGAGAAAGCGGCAUAACACUAACACCAGCUCCAAGGUCACAUAAGGCAGUUCUUAUGUAGUUUCCUUUAAUGGAGCAAGGUAUAGUGGGCACUCCGGGAUCACCAAGUUUCUUAGGAGUUCCACCUUUAAAAGUGUAGUUGGCAAGCAUGGUGGAGAUCUCAAGAUCUGGUAUCUUCCGUUUAUUAGUCACGAUAUCUUUCAUGUACUUGGCAUACGGAGACAUCUUGAGCAUAUCAGUUAACCGCAUCUGCAUAAAGACGGGUCUUAUCAUCUCAACGAAGCGCUCAAAAUCCUCAUCAUCCCUUUUCUUGGAUGGCUUAGGAGGAAAGGGCAUAGGUCUCUGAACCCAUGGCUCUCUUUCUUUACCAUGCUUCCUAGCAGUAAAGUCAUUCUUGUCGUAUCUCUUAGGUUGUGGAUUAUCAGGAUUAAUCGUAGGUUCAAUCUCCACAUUCUCAUCAUGGCUAGGUUGAGCAUUAUUAUGAACAUCAUUGUCCAUAUUGUCUCCAGGUUCAUGUUCAUCACCUGAUUGUGUUUCUGCAUCAGACGCAAAAAUAUCAUUAGGUUCUUCAGGUGUGAUAGUAUUUGGUGAACUGGCGUGCAGGUUUCUAUCAUCCUUCUUCUUCUCCUUAGGAUGACUAGGUGUAUUAGCAUUGAUUCCUUGAGAAUCUUGAUCAAUUCUCUUAGGAUGACCUUCAGGAUACAAAGGUUCCUGAGUCAUUUUUCCUCCUCUAGUAAUGACUCUGACAGAGUUGUCAUUUAAUUCAUUGAGCAGGUCAUUCUGAGCUUUAAGUACUUGUUCUACCUGAGUAGUAAUCAUAGAGGCAUGUUUACUCAGAACCUUCAGAGCAUUGAUAUUUCUGUCUACACAAGCACUUAGAUGGCUAAGCAUACGAGCACUUUGUUCCAAAUGUCUGCUAACAUAAUCAUUGAAACUCUGUUGUUUGGCAACAAAGUUGUCAAAUUCAUCAAAGCAUAGGCUAGCAGGUUUAUCAAAAGGAAUAUUACUCUCAUCAAACCUAUGCAGAAAAUUCACUUCUACUACCUGUAUCGGGUUAUCGAGACCAUGGAUCUCUUCGAUAGGUGGUAGAUUUUUGACAUCUUCAGAUCUAAUGCCUUUCUCUUGCAUAGAUUUCUUGGCUUCUUGCAUAUCUUCGGGACUGAGGAAUAGAAUACCUCUUUUCUUAGGAGUUGGUUUAGGAGGUGGUUCGGGAAUAGUCCAAGCAUUAUCGUUGAUCAAGAGGUUAUUCAGUAGGGUCUCAGCUUGUUCUACAGUUCGUUCCCUAAAAACACAACCGACACAACUAUCUAGGUGGUCUCUAGAGGCAUCGGUAAGUCCGUUAUAGAGGAUAUCAAGUAUCUCGUUCUUCUUAAGAGGGUGAUCAGGCAAAGCAUUCUGUAGCUGGACGAGCCUCCCCCAAGCUUGUGGAAGACUCUCUUCUUGGAGUUGAGCAAAGUUGUAUAUUUCCUGCAAGGCAGCUUGCUUCUUAUGGGCAGGGAAAUAUUUCUCAUAGAAGUAAUAGACCAUCUCCUGGGGACUACGCACACAUCCAGGAGCAAGAGAGGUGAACAGGCUUUAGCAUCAUCCUUUAGAGAGAAAGGAAACAGCUUAAGGAUAUAGUAGUGCGGAUCUUCUCCUCAUUAGUGAAAAGGUUGGCUAUUUCGGAUAGUUUGGCAAGAUGGGCUAUGACCGUCUCAGACUCAUAACCGUGAAAAGGAUCAGAUUCAACUAGAGAGAUUAUCUCAGGGUCGACAGAGAAUUCAUAAUCCUUAUCGGUGACAAAGAUAGGCGAAGUGGCAAACUUCGAAUCAUUUCUCAUCCUAACUUCCCGAGAUUUUUCCUUCACUUGAGAAUUAAUUUCUCAGCGUCAUAGGCAUCCUUACACGCAAGAAAAUCCUCAGAUAUCUCUCCCUCCAUAACGUAACCCUCAGGAAUAUCAGGCAAUUCAUAUCUAGGAGAGCUAGAUCUAGCAGGAGCAAAAGCAAGUUCUAUCUCAAUAGCAUCGGCAGUUUUAGAAGCAUCACGAGCAUUGGCAGUAACUCUAGCAAUAUGAGCAUCAAGGAACACUCCUAGUGGAACAGGCAAAGGAGCAUAUCUAGCAGUAUCACGCAUAGCAUCAUCUGGCAAAAUAGCAUCUCUAGCAUCAUCAGGCAAAGAAGUAUCAAUCAUAGCAUCUCUAGCAGUAUCAGGCAUAGUAUCAAGCAUAGUAUCAUCAGGCAUAGUAUCAAGCAUAGCAUCUCUAGCAGUAGUAUCACAAGCAUCAUCAAGCACAGGCGACAUAUCAAGAUAUCUAGCAGGAGGUGAUGUCGCAAACUUACUCAUAACUGAAGGUGAAUCAAGUGCAGAGCUAGAUGACAAUUCCUUACCUCCCCUCAUAGAUGAGGGCAAGACUUUGGUCUUCGGAUCCUUCAGAUUCUUCAUAGUGAUCAGCAAAUAUAAAUCCCAAGUGACUCAGAGAAUAUAGCAAUACCUCCUCGGCAACGGCGCCAGAAAAAUGCUGACGUAAGCUGUGCUUCCCUGGCAGUGGCUCUAGAAAAGUGAUGAUCCUGCAAUCUCUAGUGUUAGCUAGACGAAUGCUUAUAACAACUAACCUUCUCCUGCAACGGCACCAGAAGAAUGUUGAUAGCACUCCCGAGUAAUGAGACUAGAAGAAUGUUGUUGAUGGCCCACCAGCGCAUGGGUUUGCAGCAGUUUUCGAGUGUAGAGUAUUCGACCCAAUUUGUAGAUAAGCCAGUCAGGAGGUGAGAGUAUACUCUCGAGUAUUAGCAGCUGAAUUUGUCAGAUUCAACCACACCUGAAAGAUUAGUAUCUGCAAGCAUAGUAGUAACAGCAAAGUAACGAGUAACGGCAGUGUAACAAGCAAUAGAAGUGGCAAGGAACAACAGUAGUGACAGCAGUAGCAAGUAGCAACAGUAGCAAGCGAUAGUAGUAGCAACAGUAGCAGCAUAGCAAGACAAGUAACAGCAGUAGCAACAGUAGUAGCAGCAGCAGAGCAAGACAAGUAACAGCAGUAGCAAUAGUCGUAGCAGCAGAGCAAGACAAGUAACAGCAGUAGCAACAGUAGUAGCAGCAGGAGGACAAACUCGUAGGCAAUGGGUCGGUGAUUUGUUUGGAAGCAACAGUAGUACAAACUCAUAGGCAAUGGGUCGGUGAUUUGCUUGGAUGGUAUUCAUCAUGCAACAGCUAUAACACGGAGAGAUAUGUGGCUAGCUCCCGUUCAUCAAUGUGAUGUAGGCAUGCAUUCCGUGUGUCGUCAUACGUGCUUAGGGAAAAGAACUUGCAUGACAUCUAUUGUCCAUCCCUCCCGUGGCAGCGGGGUCCAAAAGGAAACUACAGGAUAUUAAGGUUCUCCUUUUAAUAAAGAACCGGACCAACGCAUUAGCACUUGGUGAACACAUGAACUCCUUAAACUAUGGUCAUCACCGGGAGUGGUUCCGGUUAUUGUCACUCCGGGGGUGCCGGAUCAUAACACAUAGUAGGUAACUACAACUUGCAAGAUCGGAUCUAAAACACACAUAAAUUGGUGGCAACAUGAUAAUUUCAGAGCUGAAAUCAUGGUACUCGGGCCUUAGUGACAAGCAUUAAGCAUGGCAAAGUAGUAGCAACAUCAAAUCUCAGAACAUAGUGGAUACUAGGGAUCAAUCACCAUCAAAACUAACUCGAUUACAUGAUAGAUCUCAUCCUACUCAUCACCGCCCAGCGACCCUACGAAUAGAUUACUCAGGAACGACGAAGAGCUUCAUGGAAUUGGAGAGGGAAGAAGGUUGAUGAUGACGAUGGCGAAGAUUUCCCCUCUCCGGAGCCCAAGACAGACUCCAGAUCUGCCCUCCAGAUGAAGAGCAGGUGGUGGCGGCGCCUCCGUAUCGAAAACGCGACGAAAACUUCUCUUUUUAUUUUUUCUGGGACGAAAGACAACUUAUAGAGCUGGAGUUGGGGGCGGCAGGUGCCUGUGGGCCCCACAAGCCUGCCCACCACCACCAGGGGGUGGUGGCGGGGCAGGGGCGUGUGUCCCACUGGCCCACCCCCUGAGGUGAAUCCUGGCGCAGGUAAUUUUGAUAUUUUCCAAAACUGCUCCCCGUAAAUUUUCAGGAUGUUUGGAGAACUUUGAUUUCUGCACAAAAAUAACACCAAGGCAAUUUUGCUGAAAAUAGCGUCUGUCCAGGUUAGUUCCAUUCAAACCAUGCAAAUUAUAGUCCAAAACAAGGGCAAAAGAGUUUGGAAAAGUAGAUACGUUGGAGACGUAUCUCCCGGCAACCCUGGAGUGACAAUAGCCAGAACCACUCCCGGAGAUGAGCACAGUAUGAGGAAUUCAUGUAUUCACCGCAUGUUAAUGCGUUGGUCUGGUUCUUUAUUAAAAGGAGAACCUUAAUAUCCUGUAGUUUCCAUUAGGACCCCGCUGCCACGGGAGGGAUGGACAAUAGAUGUCAUGCAAGUUCUUUUCCCUAAGCACGUAUGACUAUAUACGGAAUACAUGCCUACAUUAGAUUGACGAACGGGAGCUAGUUACAUAUCUCUCCGUGUUAUAGUUGUUACAUGAUGAAUCACACCCGUCAUACUCAUUCAUCACCAAUCCACUGCCUACGAGUCUUCUACUACUGGUCCUUGCUACGUUACUUUGUCUAGGCUUGUCGCUUGCUACAAAGGGAUUGGGCCACUUUGCUACUACCGUUACUCUGCUGCUGCUGCUACUGCUAUUCCUUGCUACUUCGCUGUUACUUGUUGCAAGAUCCUUUUUCGUCACCGUUGUCGUGGAAGAGUAGUUCCCCGUCCACGUGCAACUUACUCGCGCCAUUGAUACAACAGUUAGGAAUAGUCUGCCGUCAACAGAUCGUUUCUGACACCGUUGCUAUCAUACUACUUUGCUACUGAUACUUUACUUGCAGACACUAAUCUUUCUGGUGUGGUUGAAUCUGACAAACUCAGUUGCUAAUACUUGAGAAUAUUCUUUAGCCUCCCCUUGUGAGCGAAUCAAUAAAUUUGGGUUGAAUACUCUACCCUCGAAAACUGUUGCGAUCCCCUACACUUGUGGGUUAUCAUUGAACCUUUGGGAAUUUUAUCAAAACCAAAAGAAGACCCGGUGUUUGAUCUCAAACCUCUUCCGAGUAUUCUCAAGUAUGCUUAUUUCGAUGAAAAGAAAGUAUAUCCUGUUAUUAUCAAUUCUAACCUUUCAGGAUAUGAAGAAGAGCGAUUAUUGGAAGUCCUUCGUAAACACCGAGGUGCUAUUGGGUAUACCCUUGAUGAUCUUAAGGGGAUUAGUGCAUCUAUUUGUCAGCAUACUAUCAAUCUUGAGCCUGAUGCUAAACCGGUUGUUGAUCAUCAACGACGGUUAAACUGGAAGACCGAAAUCCUCAAGCUUCUAGCCGCAGGUAUUAUCUACCCUAUAUAUCAUAGUCAGUGGGUAAGUCCAGUACAUUGUGUUCCCAAGAAAGGAGGUACGACUGUGGUUCCUAAUGAUAAGAAUGAACUAAUACCUCAAAGAAUUAUUAUUGGAUAUAGAAUGUGUAUUGAUUACAAGAAGGUGAACAAGGCAACCAGGAAGGACCACUACCCGUUGCCGUUCAUCGACCCAAUGCUUGAAAGGGUAUCCAAAAACACUCACUUUUGCUAUCUUGAUGGGAACUCUGGCUUCUCUCAAAUUCAUGUUAAUACUGCCGAUCAAGAGAAGACCACGUUUACUCGUCCCUUUGGUACUUAUGCUUAUACACGUAUGCCUUUUGGUUUAUGCAAUGCUCCUGUUACUUUUCAAAGGUGUAUGUCCGCUAUCUUUCAUGGUUUUUGUGAGGAAAUUGUGGAGGUCUUCAUGGACGAUUUCUCCGUCUAUGGAACCUCUUUUGACCAUUGUCUCCGCAACCUUAAUAAAGUUUUGCAAAGAUGUGAGGAGACGAAUUUGGUACUCAACUGGGAGAAGUGUCACUUCAUGGUCAAUGAGGGAAUUGUUCUUGGCCACAAGAUUUCAGAAAAAGGAAUCGAGGUGGACAGGGCAAAGGUUGAAGCAAUGUAGAGAAUGCCUUAUCCAAAAGACAUCAGAGGUAUUCGUAGUUUCCUCGGUCAUGAUGUUAUCUAUAGGAGAUUUAUUAGAGACUUUUCUAAAACUUCGAAACCCCUUACUAAUCUUCUCCAGAAAGAUAUUCCUUUUGUGUUUGAUGAAGAUUGUAAGGAAGCCUUCGAAUUUCUUAAGAAAACCUUGAUAACCGCCCCUAUAGUCCAACCACCUGAUUGGAAUUUGCCAUUUGAAAUCAUGUAUGAUGCUAGUGAUUUUGAUGUUGGAGUUGUGUUAGGACAAAGGGCUGAUAAGAAACUGAAUGUUAUUCAUUAUGCUAGCAAAACCCUUGACACUGCUCAAAAGAAUUACGCUACUACUGAGAAAGAAUUUUUAGCGGUAGUGUUUGCUUGUGAUAAGUUUAGGCCUUACAUUGUUGAUUCUAAAGUCAUCAUUCAUACUGAUCAUGCUGCUAUUAAGUAUCUUAUGGAAAAGAAGGAUGCCAAACCAAGGCUUAUCAGAUGGGUCCUUCUUCUUCAAGAAUUUGAUUUGCAAAUUGUUGAUAGGAAAGGACCAGACAACCAUGCAGAAGACAACCUUUCCAGGAUGGAGGACAUACCACACGAUCCCAUUCCAGUCAACGAUAGUUUUCCUGACGAACAGUUAGUUGUUUUACAGGUGAAAUCUAAUUCGGAUCCAUGGUAUGCAUAUUAUGAUAACUUUAUUGUUGCAAAGUUUUUGCCUCUAGGUUUAACAUUCCAGUAGCGGAAGAAGUUCUUCCACGACUUGAGGUAUUACUUUUGGGAUGACCCGCAUCUUUUUAGAGAAGGUGCGGAUGGAAUUGUGAGGACAUGCAUACCGGAGCAUGAGCAGAAGAAUAUCUUGAGACAAUGCCAUAGCAGUCCUUAUGGAGGACAUAAUGCCGGUGAGAGGACCGCACACAAGGUUCUCCAAUCAGGUUUUUAUUGGCCUACUCUCUUUAAAGAUGCUAGAAAUUACGUUUUAUCCUGUGAUAAGUGCCAGAGAGUUGGUAAUAUUACUAGGAGGAAUGAGAUGCAUAUGAAUUAUUCACUAGUCAUUGAGCCUUUUGAUUGCUGGGGUUUUGAUUUUAUGGGUCCUUUCCCUCCUUCACACAAGUACACUCACAUCUUAGUAGCUGUAGAUUAUGUGACCAAGUGGGUUGAAGCAAUCCCCACCGAAAGUGUUGAUCACAAGACAUCUUUGGAAAUGCUCAAGGAUGUAAUCUUCCCUAGGUUUGGUGUACCUAGGUACCUCAUGACCGACGGAGGAUCACAUUUUACACACGGUGCUUUUAGAAAAUCUCUAGCCAAAUAUGAUGUUAAUCAUAGAAUUGCUUCACCUUACCACCCUCAAACAAGUGGGCAAGUUGAGCUCACAAAUAGAGAGAUCAAGUUGAUCUUGCAAAAGACAGUGAACAGUUCUAGAAAGGACUAUUCCAAUAAGCUAGAAGAUGUCUUGUGGGCAUAUAGAACUUCUUACAAAAAUCCCAUGGGGAUGUCUCCGUAUAAGAUGGUUUAUGGCAAGGCAUGCCAUCUAGCUCUAGAGUUAGAACAGAAAGCUUUCUGGGCUGUUAGAGAGCUUAAUGUUGAUCCAAAGCUUGCUAGUGAAAAGCGUCUCAUGAACCUGACUUCUCUAGAUGAGUGGAGAAGUGAAGCUUAUGAGAGCGCAAAAAUGUUCAAACAAAAGGUAAAGAAGUGUCAUGACAAGAUAAUUUUGAAACGUGAAUUUAAUGUUGGUGACAAAGUUUUGUUGUAUAGAUCUUAUAUCAGGCUUUCUCCAGGUAAAUUACUUUCCAAGUGGGAAGGACCGUACCAUAUCAAAGAAGUCCACCGCUCCGGUGCAAUCAAUAUUAAUAAUUUUGAAGGUACAAAACCACAUGUUGUGAAUGGGCCAAGACUCAAGCAUUACAUGGCUGGAUACCCCAUCAAUGUAGAGGUGGAUGUGAUACAGGUAGCCUCUCACGAAGAACAUAUUGCAACACUGUAUCAGACACCUGCAGAAGCAGAAUAAGAAAAGGUAUGAGAUACGGUAAGGAAACUUUGCGAACAUCAAUAAAAGUUCUGUAUUAUGUGUUUUUGCAAAAUUAGAAAAAAUAUGAGCCGGAGCAGAGUCGGAGAGGAGCUCUAGGUUACCCAGGCGACCUGCUAGCACGGGCUAGCCCCUAGCCGCGCCAGGAGGCCCCCUGGACCACCCGGAGUUCGUCUCCGACCCUACUUUGGGUUGUUACCUUCCUUUUGGUGUAGAAAUUUUUCUUAUAUACUUUCCCGGAUCGUCCCAGCUUUGUAUCUUGCGAUUCCGUGUGUUUUCUCUUUCGACCUUUUUCUGCCAGGCUAAGAAGCUAUUGUUCGAGAUGUCUUCUUGCGACUCGAGCGGGGAAGAGUACACAGGUCGUCGUCUCUGCCGCGUCGAGCAGGAUAUCAACCAAGGGAAUGUCACCGGAUGGGCUACCAAUGAAGAGAUAGCCGCAAGACAAGCGGAGAUGGAGUGCUUCGUGAGAGAGGAAGUCAAGAUGGUCACCACCCAGCAAGAAGGAGAUCCUUCAUCACGAGGAUCCAGCUCCAACAACCCCAUCCUUGUGGGGUUUAUUAACCCUCAACAUGAUCUUUCUCUGAACCUUCCAGAAACUGCCCCUCCACUAGGAGCUCCACCUGUGUCAUCUACUAUAUCUGAAGCUUACAGAAUCACUAACCAAUUCUCUGAAGACCUUCGUGUGCUUAAAGUAUAGGUGGCCAUGUUGGAAGCUGAAAGCAAAACCCUUCGGUGCAUAAUAGCGGACUUGAAGAACAACAAGUAGGAUGAAAAGUGAAAUUUUCAUGGGUAAUGGCAUUUUCUUAGCUUGUCCCAAGCUUGGGGGAGUGCCCGGUAUCUUUAUUUUUUAUCCUUUACUUUUUAUGGUCAAGUUUAGUGUCGUAUCAUGUCUAGGGAAGUUAUCUUAUGAAAUAGGUGUUUGCAUUAAGGUCUAUCACUCCUUUGUGGAGAGCUUGUAUCCGUGAGCGUGCAGUGUCUAUGAUGGAAUAUUAAUGAGAAAGCUAUUGGUUUCUUUGUUGCACUUGGUAUCCUCUUCAUGCAAUCGAUCUUAUAUGGUGAUUCUUAUGCGAGUAUUUAUCUUACACAUCAGGUAUGGCUUUGAAAACUUUAUUUAAUCUUUGCAAACAUAGCAUUGGUCAUAACAACAAGCAAGAGUUUUUCUAGUAGCGACUUAGCCAAAACCUUAUGUUCUUAUGCUUGAAGUGUUAUGCUGACAAGGAAGACAACUUGAUGUUUUAUGCCAAUUCUUUAUGUAAAACUUUAUAUUGUUUUGCAUCCAAGUCAACAUUAUUUGUCUGCUCUUAAAAGCCUUUGCUAGCUAACCCUUGCACUAAGCGGGAAUACUGCUUGUGCAUCCAUACCCUGAAACCUCAACCUUCUCAAGAGUCCACCAUAUCUUCCGUAUACGUGGUAUUUCACCGCUACUCCUAAAGUAUAUUACUCAUGUGCUAUCUUUAAACCUUCAAAUAUUACUCCCUAUUUUGUGCCCCUGCUUUAGCUCACGAGGAAGUAGUAGGAAUUCUUGAUCUUCUCAUACUUGACAAGUUUUAUCCUGGGUUUGCAUGUUUAAUCUGCAAACCCCUAAUACCACAAGGGACUGGCAUGAGCGCGCCCAGCUCGUAAAAGAUAAUAACAACAAACAAAACCUCCUUCAUGCUUUGUUGAUGAGAAAACAGAAAACUUUGGUAGUGAUAAACAAAGGAGACUAAGGGGAUGUGAUCGUCCCCACUUUGGGAGCCGUUCCUCAAAACUUGUCCAGCAUGAGAAGUAUUGGGCUAUCUACUAGCAUUGGUUGACAAAUCAUGCACCUCUCAAAAGCUUGUUCUACAAUCUUGUUGAUUUCAAAAUCUCUAAAAAUCUCUAGCACAUGAGUUUUCCCUACUUCCCUAUGCGAAGGGCCAAUCUUUUACUUUUAUGUUGAGUCAGUAAACCUACUUCUUUCUAUCCUGAAAAGAGCAGACACGUUAUGUUGACAAAGAUGCAUGCAUUUAUAUUGAGAAUUGAGAAUUCCCAUAUCAAACCUUUGUUGACAUUAUCAUUAAAAUAAGUGAGAUGUUUGUUAGGACUAGCUAAAGCAAACAUCUUCUUUUGUGUUAGCAUUUUCACUUCUUGACUAAUAACAUGUUCUUUCAAAAAGAUUCAAUUGAUCUCAUCAAAAUAUAACAGGUAGAGCAAAAGUUAUUAGUUAUUAGUUGUUCUUUGACCAAGGACAUGUUUGCUAUGGUUUGAUGAGUUUUCUUAGCUCUACUUUUGAUUGUGAUUGAUACUACUCUUUCAUAAGGGCCUUAUGAGUUGAGAUUGUUGUUAAGGAUGGUUGAGUUUAGUAGAGAAAUUAUGAUGCUUCUUGUCCGUAUUUCUAUUUAUCGACACUUCACUCUCUAAACUUGUGGACAGGUUUAGCGAGCUCAGUAUUCGCUUGGGGACAAGCGAGGUCUAAUCUUGGGGGAGUUGAUACGUCCAAAAUGCAUCACUAUUUUGUAUCAUAAUUUGUCUCUAUUCAUUGAUAUAUUUCACUUUAUGAUGGUGUACUUAUAGUGUUUUGGCUUAUUUUACACAGCUUGCAACUUUCCAGUGCCGAAACAGCAGACGCGGGAUUCAACGGAGAAAAUAGCACGAAGAGCUGCAAUAUCAGAACAUCUCCAAUUGUGAUGAAUUUUGAGGGAAGAAGUUUCCGAACAGGUCCCGAAGACAAACCAAAGAAGGGCCGGAGGGGGGCACACGUCACCCAGGCGACCUGCUGCCCCCCCCCCUAGGCCGCACCAAGAGACCGCUUGGGUGAUGGGCCCCGCCUCCGGUGCUCUCCUUUGGCUUAUAUGUUCCUCUUGACCUAGAAGUUCCGGGGACAGAAGAGUUUUCGCGAUUCCGCCGCCACUCCGUGGCGGAAACCUACACAGAAGAAAAGACCUUUCCGGCGGGCAGAUUCCGUCGGGGAGAACUCCUCCCGGAAGGGGAGAUCGUCCUCAUCGUCAUCACCAUCGUCACGGGCAUCAUCGAGAUCAUCAUCACCAUCAUCACCAAAAUCAGCACCAUCUCCACCUUCAUCCCAUCUACUUCACCAUUGCAAUCAGAGUUGUACCUUGCACUAUUCAUCCCCUCUACUCUACCGGUGUUGAUUACUCUUUUGUGGUGAAUGCUAUUGAGUUUUGUUGGAGGAUUAUUGUUAUGACCAGAUUGUUAAUCAUAUUUUCAUCACCUCUGAUCAUGAUCUCUUUUAUGUCUUGUGAGUAGUUCCGUUAGUUCUUGAGGUCAUGGGAAAAGUCUAGAUGGUAGUAGUCAUAUGAUGUUGAACUAAUAUGUGUUGAUUAAUAUUUAAGUUAUGGUGUUAUUCUUCUAGUGGUGUUAUGCGAACGUCGACUACAUAACACUUCAUCUUUUUAAGGACCUAGGGGAAUGCAUCGUGUAUAAAGAAUGCUUAUGGUGGGUUGCCGGAGUGACAGAAACCUGAACCCCAGUUCGCAUACUUUUGCAUGAGUAUUGGAUCCUAAAGCUUAUUGCUAUGGUUAGGCUUAGCCUUAAUUUCUCUCUUGUAUUUGUGGAUGCUUGCAAGAGAAAUUAAUCAUAAGAGUGUACUUGUCUUAGCCUAGAAGGUGCACUAGUUAAGAUCCACCCACAUAACACUUAUCAAUACAAAACAUAGUACUAGACAGAGUAUGGCGAAAGCACUUGACUAGCUCUCCCGUGUGUCCUCAGGAACGCCUUAGUCUUUAUAAGUUUAGUCCCUCGACUUAUCCUUUGUGUUUAAAAGGAUUGAGCCACUUUCUGCACCUCAACACGAUUUACUUUACUUGCAUUUAUUUCCUUGUUGCUUGUACUAGAAAACCCAUAAAAAGUUACCUUUCAGUACUUAUAGUUAUUCCUUGCUCAAGAUCACUUGUCAAUACCUUCUGCUCCUCGUUGGGUUCGACACUCUUACUUAUCGGAAAGGCUAUGAUAGAUCCCCUACACUUGUGGGUCAUCAAGAGGCUGGACACUUCGCCCGACAAUGCCCAAAGGCCAGGAAUGGUGCAACUAAAGCUAACCCUUCCAGAUUUGACCCAGCACCAAAGCGCAACAACUUCAACCCCAACAACAAUCACGGGAAGGGUCAUGUAAAUCUUGUCGCCAAAGAAGAUGCUAUGAACGUGCCUGAAAUAGUGCUCGGUAAGUUUCCUAUCAACAAAAUUCCUGCCAUGGUUUUGUUUGAUUCUGGAGCUUCCCAUUCGUUCAUUUCGGAAAAAUUGUUUCAAAACACAACUUUUCAACCCUCCCCUUGGAAAAUUCGAUGACUAUCAAGACCCGGAAAAUUCAAUGACUAUCAAGAUUACACAAAAAUAUUGCUAGGACGUUGCUAUUGAGAUCGAAGACUCGACGUUUUGGGCAAAUCUCAUUGUGAUCAAAAGCAACAAUGUGGAUAUUAUUCUGGGAAUGGACUAGCUAAAUACCAACAAGGGAUUUAUUGACUACUUCAACCGAAUAGUCACACUCACCCACUAUAAGGGUAAAAGAGUGAAAGUUGCAGCUUAAAGAAGGGGAAAUCGGACAAAGCACAACUAAAUCAGAUGGAAGCUACUGAGUUGAAGGACAUCCCAGUGGUAUGUGAAUUUCCGGAUGUAUGUCUUGACGAACUACGAGGCUUGCCACCAGACCAGGAAAUAGAAUUUGUCAUUGAACUUGCACCUUGCACCGCCCCAAUAUACAAAAGUCGUACUGCAUGGCACCUACCGAGUUAGUCAAACUCAAGAAGCAAAUAAAAGAACUGUUGGACAAAGGAUACAUCAGACCAAGCUCUUCACGUUCGGGAUCACCAAUAUUAUUUGCCAAAAAGAGAGAUGGGACGCUAAGACUUUGCAUCGAUUAUCGAGCCCUCAAAAUGGCCACCAUCAAGAACAAAUAUCCACUACCCAGGAUAAAUGAUUUGUUUGAUCAAUUAGCACAAGAAAGGGUAUUUUUGAAGAUCAAUUUGCGGUCAGGGUAUUAUCAGCUUAAGAUACGUUCAGAAGACAUUCCAAAGACAACAUUUAUGUCACGAUAUGGAUUGUAAGAGUUUACGGUAAUGCCUUUCGGACUAACAAACGCACCAGCUUACUUCGUGCAUUUAAAUAAUAAGGUAUUCAUGAAGUACAUGGAUAAGUUUGUCGUAGUCUUCAUCGACGACAUACUUGUCUACUCCAAGAACCCCGAAGAACAUGCGGAACACCUAAGAAUUGUGUUGGAAGAACUGCGUAAACAUCAAUUGUAUGCCAAGUUCAGCAAAUAUGAGUUUUGGCUGAAGCAAGUUGGAUUUUUGGGACAUGUAAUGACCAAAGAAGGCAUAGAUGUGGAUCAUGAGAAGGUCAAGGCUGUAAGUGAAUGGCCGCAACCAGCCAACGUGAUAGACAUCCGAAGUUUCCUUGGAAUGGCGGGAUACUACCAGAGAUUUAUUGGAAAAAAAAUCCGUGAUUGCCAAGCCCAUGACCCAGCUACUCAAAAAGGAAAAGAAGUUUGAAUGGACUGAAGCAUGUGAGAAUAGUUUCCAAGAGCUGAAGAAGAGACUGAUCACGGCUCCCGUGUUGAUUGUGCCAGACUUAAACAAAAAAUUUGAAGUAUAUUGUGACGCCUCAAGGAAAGGCCUCAGAUGCGUACUUAUGCAGCAAGGGAAGGUCGUGGCUUAUGCAUCACGACAACUACGCCGACACUAAGAAAAAUACCUCACUCAUGAUUUGGAGUUGGAUGUCAUGAUACACGCUCUCAAGGAAUGGAGGGGGUUUUUGCUUGGAAAUCGCUGUGAAAUAUACACUGAUCAUAAGAGUCUCAAAUAUAUUUUCAAGCAGCCUGAUCUCAACCUACGACAACGGCGUUGGUUGGAGUUAAUUAAAGAUUAUGAUGUGGGCAUUCAUUACCAUCCUGGUAAGGCUAACAUGGUAGCCGAUGCACUUAGCCGGAAACCCACCUCAGACAAGGGCCCUGUACAGAAGCUAAGACCUGAGAUUGCGAAAGAGUUCGCUCUGCUAAACCUGCUUCUCGUUCCAGAAGGCACAGUGGCACAACUAGAAGUACAACCCACUGUGGAAGAGAAUAUCAAGAAGGCUCAGAAGGAACACCCCAGCAUAGAGGCAUAAAGAAAAAGGUGAACCUUGGGAAAGCCCCUGAAUUUAUUAUUGACGAACAGGGAAUUUUAUGGUAGGGAGACCGACUGUGUGUACCAGACUAAGAGGUCCUCAAAGAUCAAAUUUUGGAAGAAGCUCACAAUGUGCCAUACUCUAUCCACCCCUGAGGUACAAAAAUGUUCAAAGAUCUCCAGACAAAAUAUUGGUGGCACAAAAUGAAAAGAGAUAUUACCUCUUUCAUUGCCCGUUGUGAUUCAUGCCAACGAAUCAAGGCGAAACACCAGAAGCCAGCAGGACUGUUGCAACCUAUGAAUGUACCCGAGUGGAAGUGGGAUGAGGUAGGCAUGGACUUCAUUGUCGGACUACCCCAGUCACGACACGGACACGAUGCUAUAUGGGUUAUCACAGAUCGACUCACAAAGAUGGCUCACUUCAUUCUAGUAAAGACUACGUACUCCACUCAGAAGCUAGCAAGGUUAUACCUCGCCCGUAAUGUGUUCUUGCAUGGGAUACCUAAAACUAUUGUAUCCGAUGGAGGCACCCAGUUUACAUCAAGACUUUGGGAGUAUUUGCAACAAGCUUUGGGAACUCAGUUAGUGUUAAGCACAACAUAUCACCCUCAAACUGGAGGACAGACCGAACAUGUAAAUCAGAUUCUCGAAGACAUGCUCAGGGCUUGUGUGCCCACAUAUGGAAACAGUUGGGAAGACAGUUUGCCUUACACCGAAUUCUCGUACAACAACAGUUAUCAAGCAAUCUUACAAAUGUCACCUUUUGAAGCCUUAUAUGGAAGAAGAUCUCGUACGCCUCUAAAUUGGUCAGAAUCCAGAGAUAGUUGUAUCUUCGGCCUGCAACUACUUCAAGACGCAGAGGACAAGGUAAGACUCAAAAGGGGCUGACUCAAGACAGCCCAAAGCCGUCAGAAAAUGUAUUACGAUCAGAAACACCAUGACAUCGGCUUCAACCCAAAUGAUUAUGUAUAACUAAAGGUAUCACCCAUGAGAGGACUACAAAGGUUCAAGGUCGAGGGCAAGCUUGCGCCCCGUUUCAUUGGACCAUUUCGCAUAAUUGCUCGAAGAGGCCAAGUUGCCUACCAACUGGAUCUACCCGUAGAACUGUCAUACAUGCACGACGUGUUCCACAUUUCUCAACUAAGGAAGUGUGUAAGGAACCGUGAUCAACAGGUAGCCAAUGACAGUAUAGAAGUGCAACCAUACCUAUCCUAUCAUGAACAACCCAUGAAAAUAUUAGAGGAAGCAGAAAGGAGGACACAACAGAAGGUCACCAAACUAUUCACGGUACAGUGGAGCAACCAUUGAGAGGAUGAGGGCACUUGGGAAAGAGAGGACUUCCUGCAGAAAGAGCAACCGCAACUUCCUGAGGACUGGCUAAAAUCUCGGGGAUGAGAUUUUUCAUAAGGGGGUAGGUGUUGUAACAACCAAAUUUUUAAUUGGAUUUCUUGAUUUUAAAAAAUUAGAUUUUAAAUUUUGGCUUUCAUAAAAAGCUUUGAAGCUCUUUGACAACCUCUUUGAGAAAACUUUUAGAGCUUUCUUUUCUCAACCUGCCUGGUUUAAAAAGUAUUCUUUUAGUCUGUUCUCAAAAUGAACUGGUUUGGGGGAAUAUUCUAUUCUUUUGCAAAACCUUGGAAAUUAUUCCUAUAGGUUCAAUUAUUUCUUUAAAAGAUUUUCUUUUUCCUCCAUCCUGUUUUAGACCAUUUUGCACUUCUACAUCAUCUAGGUCUUCAUUCUUAUGUAUUUACCAAAACUUUAGAAAGGUUGGACCACCCUUCAUAAUUUAUUUUUAAUAAAAGAAAUUUAUGUAAUCAGUUUUGACCCUAGCAAAUUUACAAAGGAACUCAGUGAUUCCUUUGAAAUUUUGGACCCCAAACUCUUACCCUUAGAAGACCUUACUACCCUCAACCUAUUUCACCAAAAACCUUGGGUUCACAAGUUUGAAAUUUUCAAAUUUGAUUUGAAUCAAGUUUCACCAAAGGAUUCUGUUUUUAUUAAAAACCUGCCUUAAACAUUUUCAAAAAUUCCGAAAAUUUGCAGACAGCCUCUGCACUCAAUGAGAGGCCAUCUCAUAAAUUUUCAGCUCCAAAGACCUUUUCCACGUGCUAGUUUCAUUUGAUCAAACAUCUGGUGGGCACUGUAGCCAUCUAUCUCUGAAAUUGAUUCAGUCAAUUCUUCACACUACAGUGCUUCAUUGAUUCAGUCCAUGUUGCCGCUUCAUCAAUCUCAGCAGUGCCAACAAAGACCGUUCGUCCCUGUUCUCGUGCCUAUCCUCCUGCCGCAUGUUCCCUUGGAUGUUUGCUGGCAUCGGUGGUGAGCUGACCUAGGCUAGCCAGCUCUGAACGCAUCACCAGCACCGGCUGUCGCGGCCACCAGAGCCACCUCUAUUGCAGCCUCUCGCUGUUCGGCACCGCCCAAUGCCCCUCUGAUCUCCGCGUGUCCUUGCUCUCCAGUACGCGCCGCAUUUGCCGUCGCCACGUCCCGGGGAGCGUAGAGCACGACCUCUCCUGCCGCCGUGCACAAGGAAGACCGCAUUGUCGAGCCGCGUCUUGUGCCGAUGGUCGACCGAGCUUAGGCCAAAAAUGGAACCUCUGCAUCAAGUAGAUACUAACCCAACCCCUAACCCUUCUGAUUAAGCCCCGAGAUCGCCGGAAUUUGUCGCCGGAGAUAAGCUCCGCGGCACCCCCUCUAGGGACUCUAUAAGUAGAGCUCCUCCCCUGUUACCGAACCCCUCAUCCACUCAACCACCUUCCCUCCUCUCUCCGAAGCCUUUCCCAAGCCAGAGAAGGGCCUCGGAGAGGUCUUCUUCUCCGACUCCGGCCACUUCGAUCCUCCCCUGGUCUCGACGGCAUUCGAGCAAGGUAGGCGCAGAGCUGAGCCCUAGAACCUUCGAGUAGCUCCUUGGUGAGCUCCUCCUCAUAAGCCCAUCGUCAAUUUGGUCGCAGGUGAGCUCCUCUGUGAGUUCCGGAAUUGCCCGAAGCUGUCGUCCACCGGAGCAAGGUCACCGUCUACGUGAAGCCUCUCCUUCGCCCAAAUCUUCCUCUCAUCAACGUGCGGGUCCUUGGUGAGUGCGUCGACAUCCUCAGCCAUCCCUCUCCUUUCUUCUAUCUCCGCUGGCGACCAUCGCAAGCCUGUUGCGCCAGUGAAGAUUCAAACCUUACACGGGGGACCCCCUCGUCAGUGUCAGCUCUCUCUCUGAAUCGUUUUCAGCGAAAGCGCCUUUGCUAGAAGCCGCCUUCACUGCGGGUUGGCGUAUUUCUAAUUCGAGCGCUCUAAGUUUCUCACACUAGCCCCUAUUCUAAUUAUGUUUAAUUACAAAAUAGCCCCUAGUUUUAUUUUGCUUAUAACUUUUUAUCUACAAAACUUUUUCAUUGAUUCUUUUUGCAAAAUCUUUCUACGAGGGUCUAGUUUAUUUUCGGAUUUAUUUAAAAAUUAAUUGGAUCUAGUAGCUAGGCCUCAACUCGUACGAUGUUACAUGUUAUAUAAUGUAGAUUCCGAGGAAGGAAACACCGACGUUAACUUCACCAAGAUUGGUCCCGACUACGUGGAACCAGGCAAGCAUGUUUGAACUUUUGAUGUGUCAUUUGCUCACUAACAAGAAUUUAAUAUUCAUCCAUUUGCAUUAUUGAAGCAUGUUGCAUAUCUUAUAAAUAAUGUUAAAAACCUGACUAUGGCAAAUGAUGGUUAUGAGAGGUCGUGGAUAACCUAGUCACGCGGAACAUUAUAGGUUAUGGCAUGGUCAUGACAAGUGCAUAAUGGUAUUGGUAAGAAAUAGAUAACUCCAGUAUCGACCUAGAUCGAGUCUUGUCCGUGUCUUACUUUCUUUAUCGUGCUACCGCAGUUUCCUGAAUAAGGGUUCGGUAUAGUCGGUCGUAGGCCUAUUAUUAGUCACACACCAAGUAGAGGGGCCGUGAUGAAGGUAUACAUGGCCCUGGACUAAAUCUAGUCAUCCGGUCAGGGGCAUGGGUGUUUCCGGUCUGGGACCGAGAGGGGGGGCACUCCCUUGUAGCGCGCGGUAUAAAUUUGAUCCCAUGCUAGUCGAGGUCGGAGCCUUCCCGUCUUAUGGUUUUGCCCUAACAGCGCAGUCCGGGUGAAGUCAGGCUUCGCGGGGGUAAAGUGGGUGUGUGCUGGUUCUGAGUGUAUGCUUCUAAAAUACCGUGCAAGGGAUUAGUCGUAUUGACUAUCGGAACCCGUGAGCUAUGGGUAAAGGGUACACCCUCUGCAGAGCUAAAAAUAUUCGAGUAGUCGUGUCCAUGGUUAAGGGCGGUCAUUUGACAAGUCAAGUGUCGGUCUUAGAGUCGUCCUUGGAGUACGAGUGGUGGAACAAUAAUAGUUAUGGAUAUCUAACAAUAAUGUGGAAUAUUUUAAGAUUAUCUCCUUGGUUCAAGAAUUAUCUUGAAGGUUGGUUGUACCACCCGGAUACUUCUUAUUUAUUUAUAUGCCCUUUCUGUGGUGUCGCUAUGACACCCGACUGUGCCUUGUUAUUUAUUUAUAUGCCAUUUCUGUAGUGUCGCUAAGAUGCCCGAUUGCGGCUGUUAUUUAUUUUUAUGCCCUUUCUGUGGUGUCGCUAAGACGCCCGACUGUGACUUGUUAUUUAUUUAUAUGCCCUUUCUGCGGUGUCGCUAAGAUGCCCGACUGCGGUGGCUAUUUAUUUUUAUGCCCUUUCUGUGGUGUCACUAAGACGCCCGUUUGUGGCUUGCUAUUUAUUUUAUGCCCUGUAUGUGGUGUCACUCAGACGCCCGACGGUGGUUUACUAACCCUUGUUAACCUUUCGAGGCGUCGCUCUAGACACCUGAUCGGUGCAUUUUACCUUUCUAUUAGGAUAUCUCGGGAGGAUUACCGCACGAUUUAUCCACUAUCUUAAUUUAUUUCUAACACAUUCAUUUUGAUAAAUUAUGAUCUGAACCAUGCAUAUUAAUAACUGACUGCAUGCAUCUCAUCUUUUGUGCAAACUGUUUGCGAGUACUUUUCGAAGUACUCACUGGCUUGUUGAUGUGGCCAGAUAUGGAUGAAGGAGACCUCAUGGAUGAAGAGUUUGAUAGCGAGUCCGAUGUCUAGAGGAGUCCUAGACAGUCUUGCGGUCCUGGAGUGUGCCGCUAUAUUAUUUCACCGCUUCCGCCACCGCGAAUAAACCAUCAAGCCUCACUCUGAUGCUUGGCGCAUAGUAGUACUUGUCAUAUCACAUUACUCUGAUGUGACGUGCCGCUUUUAUUGCGAGCAGUAGAGUAUCCUAUUACCACUGUAACAUAUCCAUUUGUGUGAGACUUGGACAUGUUGUAAUAAAUUGUAGAGCAACCUCUGCUCUACCUGUUUAAUAUUAAGUACUACUGGUUUUCUCUAUCAAGAUGAGUCUAUCAGUGGGAAAUAAUUUUCUACACUGGAGACGCACAUGGCUGAUUUCCAAUUAUUUUAUGUGGAAACCAGUCGUGACAAUAUGUGGAUGACAUAUUGUUGAUGGUAAAUGAUAUAGAACUUUUGGAAAACAUAAAGGCAUAUUUGAAUAAGUGUUUUUCAAUGAAGGACCUUGGAGAAGGUGCUUACAUAUUAGGCAUCAAGAUCUAUAGAGAUAGAUCGAGACGCCUCAUUGGUCUUUCACAAAGCACAUACCUUGACAAGAUAUUGAAGAAGUUCAAUAUGGGUAAGUCCAAGAAGGGGUUCUUGCCUGUAUUGCAAGGUGUGAGAUUGAGCACAGCUCAACGCCCGACCACGGCAGAAGAUAGAAAAAAUAUGAGUAUCGCCCCCUAUGCUUCAGCCAUAGGAUAUAUUAUGUAUGCCAUGUUGUGUACCAGACCUGAUGUGAACCUUGCCAUAAGUUUGGUAGGGAGGUACCAAACUGAUCCCGGAGUGGAUCACUGGACAGCGGUUAAGAAUAUCCUUAAGUACCUGAAAAGGACUAAAGAUAUUUUCUCGUUUAUGAGGUGCCGAAGAGCUCGUCGUAAAGGGUAACAUCGAUGCUAGCUUCGAUACGGACCCGGAUGACUCCAAGUCACAAACCGGAUACGUGUAUAUUUUGAAUGGUGGGGCACUCAGCCGGUGAAGUUGCAAGCAAAGCGUCAUUGCGGCUUCUACAUGUGAAGCGGAGUACAUAACUGCUUCGGAAGCAGCACAGGAAGGAGUCUGGAUGAAGGAGUUCAUCACUGACCUAGGAGUGAUUCCCAGUGCGUCGGGCCCGAUGACUCUCUUCUGUGAAAACACUAGAGCUAUUGCCAUUGCCAAGGACCCCAGGUUUCACAAGAAGACCAAGCACAUCAAGAGUCGCUUCAGCUCCAUUCGUGGAUACAUUCAGGAUGGAUACAUAGAUAUUUGUAAAGUACAUACAGAUCUAAAUGUCGCACAUGUGUUGACUAAACCUCUUCCACGAGCGAAACAUGAUCAGCACCAGAACUUUAUGGGUGUUCAAAUCAUCACAAUGUAACUAGAUUAUUGACUCUAGUGCAAGUGGGAGACUGUUGGAAAUAUGCCCUAGAGGCAAUAAUAAAAUGGUUAUUAUUAUAUUUCCUUGUUCAUGAUAAUUGUCUAUUAUUCAUGCUAUAAUUGUAUUAACCGGAAACCGUAAUACAUGUGUGAAUACAUAGACCACAACAUGUCCCUAGUGAGCCUCUAGUUGACUAGCUCGUUGAUCAAUAGAUGGUCAUGGUUUCCUGGCCAUGGACAUUGGAUGUCUUUCAUAAUGGGAUCGCAUCAUUAGGAUAAUGAUGUGAUGGACAAGACCCAAUCCUAAGCAUAGCACAAGAUCGUGUAGUUCGUCUGCUAGAGCUUUUCUAAUGUCCAGUAUCAUUUCAUUAGACCAUGAGAUUGUGCAACUCACGGAUACCGUAGGAAUGCUUUGGGUGUGUCAAAUGUCACAACAUAACUAGGUGAUUAUAAAGGUGCACUACAGGUAUCUCCGAAAGUGUCUCUUGGGUUGGUACGAAUCGAGACUGGGAUUUUUUGUCACUCCGUGUGACGUAGAGGUAUCUCUGGGCCCACUCAGUAAUACAUCAUCAUAAUGAGAUCAAUGUGACUAAGGAGUUAGCCACGGGAUCAUGUGUUACGGAACGAGUAAAGAGACUUGCCGGUAACGAGAUUGAACAAGGUAUAGGGAUAUUGACGAUCGAAUCUUGGGCAAGUAUCAUACCGAGAGACAAAGGGAAUUGCAUACGGGAUUGAGUGAAUCCUUGAAAUCAUGGUUCAUCCGAUGAUAUCAUCAUGGAAUAUGUGGGAGCCAAUAUGGGUAUCCAUAUCCCGCUACUGGUUAUUGGCCGAAGAGGUGUCUCGGUCAUGUCUGCAUGGUUCCCGAACCCGUAGGCUCUAUACACUUAAGGUUCGGUGACGCUAGAGUUAUAAUGGGAAUUGUAUAUGUGGUUACUGAAAGUUGUUCGGAGUCCCGGAUGAUAUCUCGGACAUCAUGAGGAGUUCCGCAAUAGUCCGGAGGUGUAGAUUUAUAUAUGGGAAGUCCAGUUUCGGUCAUCGGAAAGGUUUCGGGGUUUAUCGGUACUGUACCGGGACCACCAAAAGGGUACCGGGUGUCCACCGGGAGGGUACACCUGUCCUGAAGGGCCACAUGGUCUGAAAGUGGGAGGGAACCAGCUCCCUGGUGGGCUGGUGCGAGCCACCAGAGGCCCAAGGAGCAUAGGGCAAAAACCCUAGGGCGUGGGGCUGCCUCCCUCCAACUUGGGAGGCAAGCCACCCCUAGGACUGUCGCCGCCCCCUCCUAGGUUUUCCUAGGGUGGCCGGCCCCCUCUCCCCUUCCUCCUAUAAAUAGAGGAGGGUUGAGAGGGUUGCGCACACCCCUGAACCUCUCCCCUUGGCGCAGCCCUACCUCUCCACUUCUCCUCCUCCGCGGCGCUUGGCGAAGCCCUGCCGGAGAACCACAAGCUCCACCACUACCACGCCAUCAUGCUGCCAGAGCUCUCCCUCAACUUCUCCUUCCCCCUUGCGGGAUCAAGAAGGAGGAGACGUCCCACGUGUGUUGAACGUGGAGGCAUCGUUCGUUCGGUGCUUGGAUCGGAUCGCCGUGAGUACGACUCCAUCGACCGCAUUCAUAGUAACGCUUCCGCUUAGCGAUCUUCAACCGUAUGAAGAUGAUCUCCCUCUCUCGUUGCUAGCAUCUCCUAGAUUGAUCUUGGUGACACGUAGUUAUUUUUUUGAAUUAUUACUACGUUACCCAACAGUAGUAACAUCCAAAUCGGUAAUGUCAGAUUUAGUGGCAAGUAAACAACCACUCUUUAGUUUUAUUUCAAAUGCAACACUAGAUGAUGGUUUAUUAGGAUUAUGGUGUUUCUCAAUUUCCUUUGCUACAAUCUGAUUUUCACUCUUAUGUAGGUCCUAUUUUGCUUUACUAUCUCUAACAAUGUCAUCUUUCAUAAUAUGUUGAGUAGACAUAGGAAGCAAAGUUAUAUUUUGAUCCUUAUAAACAAGAGUAUACUAAUUUGUCCUACCAUGGUGUACACUUUUUUUAAUCAAAUUGUCAUGGUCUACCAAGUAAAAGGGAGCAUGAUUGCAUGGGUACCACAUCACAAUCAACAAAAUCAGAAUAUGUAGCAAUGCUAAAAUGCACAUGAACAGUACGUGUAACCUUAACCUUGCCACUGUUGUUGAACCACUAGAUGUAAUAAGGAUGAGGAUGUGGUCUGGUGGUGAGAGACAGCUUCUCCACGAACUCCAUGCUAGCUAAGUUGUUACAACUCUCUCCAUCGAUGAUUACGCGAACAGAACGUUCAUUCACAACUCCCUUUGUAUUGAACAAGAUGUGCCUCUAAUUUUCCUCAGCCUAUGUUACCUGCAUACUUAAAACAUGUUGAGCAACUAAGCUUUCAUAAAUGUCAGCGUAGUCAGUACCAUGUAGUGUGUCUCUUGUUCAGUAUCAUCUACACCCUGUUCUUCACUUGCAAUAAGAGCCAGAGUCUCCUUGUCAUAAUCACUAGCGGAGUCAUAUCCACCAUCCUCAGUAACAAUCAUCACACGCUUGGAUGGGCACUCUCUCGCAUAAUGACCUCCACCCUUGCAACAACGAGAGAUAACCUCAUGUGUUUUCCCUGUGGAUGCCAUGGAUGAAGAAGAGAUAUGUGCUAGCCCGAAAGGUGUGCUCUUGGCGGGGGGUGGGGCAGGGGCCUGUUUCCUGGUAUCUCCGUUGGAGUUGGUGGUUGAAGUAGGCGAUGCUGAUGCGGGAGGACGUGCGGAAGUAGAUGAGGUCUGUGGCGUCCAUGAGGAAGUGCGACCUGCGGAAAAGUUAGUUCUCGCCAAUGCCUGACGAUCCUGCACUUCACGUUCAGCUUUGCAAGCAAGAUGGAAUAAACGAGUGAUAGUGUUAUAAUCCUUAUAUUCUAGAAUAGUCUGAAUAUCUCAAUUCAAUCCACCCAUAAAACAUGCAAGCAUAGCUUCAUUGUCCUCAACAAUACCACAUCUAAUCAUGCCAGUUUGUAAUUCCUCAUAAUAUUGUUCUAUAGAAUUUUUUCCUUGUCGUAAACGCUGCAAUUUUUGAAGUAAUUCACAUUGAUAAUAUGGUGGAACCCAACAAGUACGCAUAGCAGUUUUCAAAGCAGCCCAAGUAGUUGGAAUAUUAGCAUGAUGUAUUCUACAAUAUUCAGACCACCAAACACAAGCAAAACUAGUGAAUGAACAAACAGCAGCAGCAAGACAUUAUCCUCAGGAAAUUGUAAGCAUGUAAAACGUUUCUCUGUUUCAACUCCCAAGUAAGAUAUAUAUAUAUAUCAGGAAAUCCAUCAAGAAAAUCUCAAAUUCUUACCAGUUCUUACCCAGCAGCAGGUGGUGAUCGGCAACUAGUGUAGUCAAAACUCUCAAAGCUUGGAUAGAGCGAUUGCGAGGUGGUGUCAAACACAUGAUGUAGAUGUAUGUGGAGGUGGGAAGGCUUAUAAUAUAGUAGCAAAAAAGGUCAGCAAUAAUCAGUUCAGAGAUGCAAAGUUGAAAAGACGCUCAACGACGGUACCGUGUUGGUCCUAGGCUAGAUCGUACUAGAGACGCGAGCCUAGAACACCAACAAAAUCAUGACGCUACACGUAAUCAAGGGAAGAGCUACUCUGGUUUUAUUUUCUAUUUUUUUGCUUUUUUUGUAUUUUUUUCUCCAGAAAAUCACUAUAAUGGCUAGUGUCUCAAAACUCUUCCAAAGGACUAAAAAUAGGAUAGACACGGAAAAAAUUGACUAGUUUUUUUAGAGCAAUUCGGGGCUGCAACGACCAAAAAUUGCGACAAAAAUCGCUAUGGUGGUGAGUGUCUAGAAACUCUCUAAAAAGCGUAACAACACGAUGGGGGAAAAUCACCUUUCAAUUUUUUUCUGAAACCUACAAGGAUCUUUGCACUUAUCCCAAGAAUCUAUGCUAUUCCUAGGCAAAGAUUAAAGCCACACUUUAGCUCCUCCUCUCAAGGAGAAAGGAAAAAAGCUUAAGUUUAACAAUAUCACCAUCUACUUCUUUAUAUUUUUGCAUAUCACAAAGCUCAACAAAAUUGUUCAAGUGCAAAGGAGCAGCAUCUCCAGCACCGGAGAAUUGAUCUUUCAUAACAAGGUUCAGUAAAGCAGGUUUAAUCUCAUAGGACGUAGCCCCACUCGCGGGAGCAGCAAUAGGAGUGCAGAUAAAGUCAUUGUUGUUGUGACUAGUGAAGUCACACAACUUGGUGUUCUCAGUGGAACCCAUAGCAGCAACAACAAGCAAGAACAAAGCAACUAAUUUUUUUGUGGUUUUUGGUAUAAACUAAAAGGCAAACUAACAAGACUAAAAAUCGAAGGUAAAGGAUAGCGUACAACUCCCCUAUCUUGAAGACUGGAGUCCCCGGCAACGGUGCUAGAAAACUUGCUUGAUGACGAGUUGAUGAAUAUACUUCUCGACCCUCGUUGGUUACCCCAAGAGGAAGGUGGAGAUGUAGUCAGCAGCAAGUUUUCCAUUACACAGAGAAUGUAAGGUUAAUCGAACCAGGAGGACUCCAAGGAUCAACAAGUAGGUGUCCUCUGCCCUCGCGCAAGCAAAAGACGUGAACCUGCACACACACACAAAUAACUUUGCUCCCAACGAGUACGGAGAGGUUGUGAAUCUCGUCGGCCUUCUAGUUUGCAAAGGAUCAAAACACAAGCGGGAAUAGUGAUAGUGAUUGCAACGGAAAAAUAAAUGAAAGCAGUAAAUGAUGGAGGUGUAAGCAAUGGUGGUGAUAUGGACCGGAGUCACAUGAUGUUCACUAAUGAUGUCUCUCUCCCAAAAGACGAUAAACAACUAUGCUUGGGUAAACAAAUUACAGCCGGGCAAUUGACAGAAUUAUAAACGCACCGCAAUGCUAAUUAUGCUACUUGAAAGUUAGAGGCUCAAUAGUAAUGGGCAGUACGCCCAGACAAGUAGACCAUUUAUUCAUCAACAUCUACUCACUAAUCAUCCACCUUGAGAUAUUUAUCCAGAACAUCUCGCUGGUAUUAAGUUGCGAGCCCCAACCAAAGUGUAAACUCAAAGCAACGGACAACUGCAUUAAUGAACUAUGUGUAAGGUAAGCAAUCCUUCCAACCGUGGUCACAAGCACCGUUGUUUUCUUCCUAGUGGCAACAACACAUCCCCUAGUCUCAUGUUUACAUCACUCAAGCUAGACAUCAGGGGGCAUGAACCCACAAUCAUGCAUAACGCUCCCUCUUGGAGUUACAAUCUACUACUCGGCCAAAGCAAUACAAAGCAACGAAGAACAUGCAUGAAUCACUAAAGAACAUAAUAUAAAAGGAUAAUCAAAUAUAUAACUCAUAAAAAUUUGAACAUAAGCUCAUAAUCCAUUGGAUCCCAACAAACCGAGCAUAGAUAUAGCAGGAAAAAAUACAAAGAUGCCUUGAUCAUGUAGGGCAGCUCACAAGGGUUAAUCAUGGGAGCACAAGAUUGGAGAGAAGACAUCACCUAGCUACUAGUCAUGGACUCCUGGUCCAAGGAGGACUACUCACGGCACGUCCGGAAAGCGUCCAUGGCAGUGGAGAAGCUCCCGGAGGUCAAUCCUCCCUCCGGCAGGGUGCCGGGAAGAGGUCUCUUGACGCUCCCGAUCUCAGGAGCGCUGUGGCGGAGCAACAAUGGAGAAAUUCGCGAUUCUGGAUGUGUUGGAAGGGUUUCCUCUCGUAGGAGUAAAUAUAGGCCAAAGGAGGGUGUCAGAAGAGGUGGGGCCCACCCAGGCGGUCUAUGGGCGCGGCUAGGGGCCAGGCCGCGUCGGGUGGUCGCCUGGGCAGCCCUUGGCUUCCCUCUGGCCCAUCUUCGGUGAUCUGGUAGCUUCUGUUACGCUAAUUUUUAUAUAUUUUUCUCAGGAUUUUUGGGGCUCCAGAAAAUUGGGUAAAAGCCCGUGCAAAAAAGACAUCAACAGACAGAAACAGGCACUGGGUGCACUGAGUUAGUAGGUUAGUCCAAAUAUGUGUAAAAAUAUAUAAAAGUGUAGCAAAACAUAUAACAAUGUCACCCAAAAGAUCAUGGAACAAGCAGAAAUUAUAGAUACAUUUGAGACGUAUCAGUGAUAUAUGGCAGCAAGGAUGAUGGUGGCGUGGUGGUGGUAUAUGGCAGCAGUGAUGAUGGAAGCGUGGUGGUGGUAUAUGGCAGCGGUGAAAGAUGGCGUGGUGGCGGUGUGACUACCUGUGAACAGAACUCGAAACUCUAAAGGACUGGACACUAAGACCAGUAACUCAACACGAUGAUGUAACCGCAAAUACAACGAAGAAAAAUACUAAAAAGACUAUUCAAAGACUCGGAUUGGUUUGGAUAUGAUGAUCUAAUCCUAAUUUUUUGUGGCUUUUCUGUGGACUAUUGGUAUGAAGAACAGAUGCGAUCUAACUACGAAAAACUGGUAAAAUCUCACCGAGCAACCUGGAAAUUUGAUACCACUUGAUAGAGGCAAAGUUGUCCAUGUCUUUCGAUGAGAUGGUGGUUAUCGUUUUGGUGGAGUAGACUUUGACGAUCCGACUAUGAACGUGUGAGGACAUCGCGCCUUAGCAAUCGCUAAACCAACUCCAAGAGGUUAUUGACCAUGCUGGAGCACGAUCAACUUGACCACGAGGGUCUAUUUCCUGCACGCAAACAAAGACCAAGCAUGAAACUAAGAUUGCAAUCUGGAUAUUGAAAAUAUAAGAGGCGAGCUUUAUUGAUGAAAGUGGGGUUUUGUGACGCCUUUGCCUGGUCAUGGAACACAAACGAAGAACGCGAAGUUGCAACUAUGGAAAACUUGUAAUCUAAACAAAACCCAAUUCUAAACAGCGCUCUAAGGGGUGUAUAUAUGGGGGGAUAGAGGAGGAAUUUCGUGACCCCUUGGAGGAGGGGUAAGAAACCGACGCUAACUUAGUUUCCCCACACAUACGGAAUCUAAAAAUAGCCUAUAAUAUGGUAUUUCGAAAUUACAUGUGCCUGGCCCAAAAAUAAGGUGGCGCAACACCUAUAAUAUCCUAUGGCCGAAAUUUAUAAAGUGGCAUCUUGAAUAUUUUUUCCAAGCCUUCAUGCUCUCCUUAUGGUGGCUUCAAUAUGUGAAAAUCAUGAGUGGAAGCUCCAUUGUUCUUUCCCCGCGUGCACCUUCUUCUCCAUGCUUGAUCCUGCUCCAUCAGAUAUCCUUCUUGUCCAUGCUAGUUCCUUCAUUCAUAAGUACAACAAAAAUAUCUAACUUAGGCAGCAUCACAUGUUCAUCAACAUUAGAAAGAUUUUCAAGAAACGAAAGUACGUGGUAAUUCGAUUGGCGUGAGUGAGCUCUAGUAACUGGUCGAGUAUGUAUAGCAGUUGGGGCUGUGGGUGUAACAAUGGUGUUGAUGUCCUCAUUGGGGGGCGAGCUAGGGUUAGCGGGGGAGGGCUCGUUGUCUCCUCACAGGGCGGGGGUGGCCACUGGAUGGCCCGCGCGUGGUCGAGGGGAGGCAUGACGGGCAUCCCCUCCCCCUGGCCACUAUAGCCGGAGGUUAGGGAUGGGGGAGGGAUACGUGGGCCGGUUGGGGGGCUUGGGCCCAAUGGGGGUGGGCUUUUAUUUUAUAUCAUUUCAAAUUUUAUUUAAAAUCUUAUGUUUUGAUUUAGGUUUAGCACUAAAUUAAUUAUGAGAAAAAUAUGGGAUAUGGUCCAAUAUUUGAAAUGCAAUAUUUGGUAGUGCCACAAAACGUUUGGGGCCCUUUUGGAAACUUUGGAAAUUUACAUAAUUUAAAAGACAUUUAUUUAAAUGUUUUGGCCUCUUUUAUAAUUGUUUUGAGGCACCAAAGUACUUUAUAAAAUGUUGGUUUCAAUUUUAUAAACAUGAGGGGAUUAUUUGCAACCCAAACAUGAUUGUAGUUUUCAGUUUUGAAAAAAUAUUUAAACCACAAAUUAAAAGGAGCUUGAAUUUCAAAAGGAAUUUGAAAUGAGAUAUGAUUCCAAUGUGAUCAAAUAGGGUUUAGCAAAAGCAUUAUCUUAACCACAUGGUUUACUGUAGCUUAAUUGCAUGCAUCAAUGUAGCUGAAAUCCACGAGUGCUACAAAAAGGUAGUCUCCUCAACACUCAAUCACUCUUUCACAAAUUUGGCUUGGGUAGAAGAGAUUGAUUGGGUGGAAAGCAACUUGGGGAGGCUAGAAAACAAGAUUCAUAUGGUAGGAAUGGAAUAUCUUGAUCUAAACACAUGAGUAGGUGGCUCUUUCAGAAAAUUGGAUGGGGUAAGUGUUGGUUCGUUCUGAGUGCUUCCUCUUCAAAUGAGAGGCUGGUGGAUGGGUAUAUAUAGGCAUCUCCAAAAUUCCAAAUGUUACAACAUUAUUGCCCAACUCGGUGAAACCAAAGUAAGAAACUCGGUUGCACCGACUAGUGCAAAAUGUGGCAACUUUAGGCUUUUCGGUGACACCAAUAUAGAAAUCUCGGAGGUUCCGAUGUUGGCUGGCCUCGUCAGUUACCAGACUCGGUGGCACCAAUUUGCAAAACUCAGAAAUUCCGAUUUUAGCGAAUGGCUAUCCAGGGAGUUGGUCACUAUGUUCCGGUUAGACCGAAACCAAACUUGGUGGUACCAAGAUGUUAGGGUUUGGCAUAGAUUCUGUCUCGGGUAAAACUCGGUAGGUCCGAUUUGGAAAUAUUGCUGGCACCGAAUUUGACUUUGGGGUUUGGACAGAAUAUUUGUGGGAGAAUUUCAUGAGUAUUUUUGGUGGCUAAUCUAUAAGCUCUUGAGCAACUAGAUCAUCAUAGACACCUCAUCCCCUUUUAAUAGUAUUGGCUUUCCUAUGGAUGAAAAAGUGAUUUCUCACAAAAUGUAAAAUUUAGAGUCUUGAAGCUUGUUGCCAAUAGAUGUUCCUUGCAUCUAGGGGUUCUCCUCACAAUCCUUAGCGAGUCCAUCAUUGAUCUUUUCGUGAAAUAUACUAGAUAGAAUCAUUAGUCCAAUGACAUAUAUGUUGUUAUUAAUUACCAAAACCACCUAGGGACAAGUUGUGCUUUCACUUGCUUGGGUCCCUAGCCCGUCACUAAUACCUAUUUUGGACCCACCACUGCUAGGCAUUCCUGUAGUAGUCGGGUUGAUACCUCGUAACGCACUCCUGAUGAUAACUCUAUAGUGUAGCUAAUCGGUCAUGGAUUACAGAGGGUGAUUCCUCCUUCACCACUCCCGAUAAUGACUCUGUCAUGCAACACCUCAAGUGUGAGCCCUUGGAGGGUGAUUCCUCCAAGGUCACCUUGACGGUUACAUGGAGUGGGAUCCAAUGAGGGUUAUUCAUCAGAUUCCCGUUGAUGUUAUGGACACACGGUUACUUUGACUUUACCCCAGAACCAUGUUGAAGUCGGGUCUGCCCAAGGGGUACCCGCCAGAAAUGAGAAGUCGGGUUGACCGUGAGAGUAUCCAUGAGUGAAUUGGAGUCGGGUUGACCUGGAGGGUUCCCGCGAGAUAAUUAUGCGACAUGGUCGGGCAAUCUUAGCCCUUGUUGUAAGUCCAGGAGACGGGACCAUAGAUCGUGGAUCAUUGAUCGUCUUUGCGCGCUCCCAAGACACUAACGGUUUGGAUAUGUGAUCCGAGUAGGCCUCUCGCAUUUUUGCACUGACCACCAUGCAGGAAUAAGUAUGGGCACUCUGCGUCGUACAUUUCUUCUGAAAGCUUUUUAGCCCCACAGUUGAGCGGCACGCGCUCGGGUGGUCCGCAUAAGCACAUGCUUUGUACAAAGAGGUAGCCACGACUAAUUCUGCUCGUCCUUGCAACUGAAAGAUUGCAAAGGACGAUUGGCCCAUGACCCAUUCGCAUUUAGGAUGUAGACCGACGUGUUGGUCUUUGUGUUGAGCCUAGGUAGGACUACGAUGUGUCGAUCAGCCGAGGUCGGGCAUGAUCUGGAAAGUGUGUCCAGCCAGAGUUAAUCUGGGGUGUAGGAUAAGUUGGUGCACCCCUGCAUUGAAGUAUUUAUAUUCGAAGAGUCGUGUCCAUGGUAACAGACGCUCGGAGAGUAUCCCAAUCUACUACAACUAGAACUGGAUACUUGUGACACUAAACAGAAAUGAUGGCUUCAAGAUCGCUUUCUCGCAGGGAGUCGAGGAAGGAUCUAUGGGCACUGCUACUACAUACUUAUCACAUAUGUUAUACUAAUAUGUACUCUUCUAAUGCUGCAAGACGCUAGUCUGUGAUAGGCUAGGCCUUCCCUUCUAUUCUGGCAUUUCCGAAGUAUAGUCCAUAGAUAGAGCCCCUUCCCCUUGAAAGUGAUGCAUAUUUAGCAUAGAUGUGAUGUAAGUCUUGCGAGUACUUUGGAUGAGUACUCAUAGUUGCUUUGCUCCUUUUUUCUCCUUGAUAUGAUUGCUGUGAUCAGAUGACGGAGUCGAGGAGCUAGCUGAUCCCGUCGAUGACUACUACUACCCCGAUAGAGCCUACAACUACGUGGAGGCCGCCGACGACCAGGAGUAGACAGGAGGCUCCCAGGCAGGAGGCCUGCACCUUUUUGAUCUAGGUGUCAUUGUUUUGCUCAGCCUUCUUAAGGCAAACUUAUUUAAUUAUGUCUGUAAUCAGAUAUUGCUGCUUCCGUAGACUUAUGUAAUCGAGCCUUCGCGUUGUUUGUAAUAUAAAACUUUAUGUUUGAAUUUGUGUCUAGAGUUGUGUUGUGAUAUCUUCUCGGGAGUCUCCGAUCUUGCCCAUGCGCAUUUGCGUGUAUGAUUAGUGCACAAUUAAGAUGGGGGUGUCACACGACAUUUAGAUAUGUACAACAACGACGUCGGACCAAGAUGGUGAGCAUGAAAGAAAGGGGAAAUACACGCAGAGUGGAAGAAAGGGGGGGUCAUGAGGGGGAUUUCUAUGGGUCAAUGGUGCCGAAGUCCUACAUAACUAGUGUUUGGACACCCGCAAAGCCCUCUCGAGUUUGAAUCCAGUUUGAUGGAAAAAGGAUGAGUGGACUAGCCCGCAGAUGGAUACAUUAUCACGUUGAAUGGCAAAACACAUCCGGACAGCUCGGUCCAUACGGAUGGGGGCGGUUUAAGGGCCAACGUUGAAGAUGCCCUUAUUCUUUUUUUAGGGAGGAGGUGCCCUUAUUUGUGGGUGUAGAUAUACAUCGCUUCACACAAGUUGGAGCAACAACUCACUCACAUAAUGAAAGAAGUCCGUCUUUUCUCUUAUUUUUUUCCUUUCUUUGUUUUUGUUUUUUGUUUUAUUCUUGUUUUGAAAAAUAUUGUAAAUAUAAUUAUAUAUUUAAAAACAUAAAUAAUAAAGGUUAAUUUAUAAAAAGUUUAAUAUAUUAUAAAAACAAUGUUUACAUGUAUAUGGAAAUUAUAUUAUGAAAAUGUUCACAUGUUUCAAAAAAUGUAGUUGAAAUUCUAAAAAUGUCAAUCAUAUAUUCAAACAAAAUGUUAAACAUAUUUCAAAUAAAUGUUUCAAAGGUUUAUAAAAAAUAUUGGUAGCAUACAAAAAUAUAUUGGUGACAUUUUAAAAAUGUUUCACGUCUAAAACAUGUAAGUGGCAUUAUAAAAAAUGUUAAUCAUGUGUUUGCGAAAUGUUACACGUAUAUCAAAUAGAUGUUUUUGACGUAUAUGAAAAAUGUAUAAUGCUUAUGAAAGGAGUAAACAUCAAACAAAUGUUUGAAAGAAAUGUUUAAACAUUGUAUUUGAAAUGCAAAAUUUGUAUUGCGAACCAACCUGUGGUUGGAUGAUUAGAGUGACACUGGUAUCUUUAGCCCACGAUGUUUCAAGUCUUGGUACUCACAUUACUCCUGGAUUUAUUUCAGGAUUUCCGACAAUGCACAUUUAGUGGGAGGAGACGUUCCGUCGACGACGAGGCAUCUAUGAUGACUUCGUAAAUCUUAAGGUGAUAUCUGGCUCAGUAUCUCGAAUGUGCUCAUAAGAACAUAGUUAAUACUUAAUAGUAUAGCCAACUGCUGGCUAUAUGAUGUUGCCAUGUCACGUAUAAUCACCAUUUAUAGCCACACAUAUAAUUAUGUUAGUUAUAAGGUUGGCUAUAAGACUACUACUUUGUCCUUCUCCUUGUCUAUUUUUUUGUAUUUAUUGAAUUUGCCUAGGAGUACGCAUAUAGCUAAGCUCUCGCAUGAGGCCACUUUCAACGCAUUGGUGCUAAGAUGAGGUGCUAAGCACAUUAAAUAGUUUAGCGACUAUAGUCUGCAAUCAUAGUUGCUUAGCUUAUUGUAGCUAAACCUACUUAUUUAAUGCUUUUGCAACUAAAGUUAUACAUGCAUCGGUGCAUUUCUUUCAUUUAAUUCCCCCCCCGUUUUACCUAGGUUUACGCGUUUAGCAUUGUUUCUUUCCGAUGUCAUCACACUAAUCUCUCUCCUAUUAAUUAGUUUGCCACAUCAGAUUUUUUGUCUAUAUGACAGCCUUAGCACAUGUACAAGGUGGAGUUUUGAGAGUAGUCUAAGAGCCCACUCUUCUUAUAUUUUUCAUCUCUCUCUUCUUCACAUAGACAAAACAUCAUGUAAGCAGACUAUAAACCCACUGUUGUACUUGUUAUAAGGGUAGAAUUUAUAUGUAUACGUUUAUAGGGAUGAAUGUAUACACGUAAAUAUGAACGUUUGCGACUGUACUAUGUAAAAAAAAUUAUACCUGCAUAAAGAAGUUAACCAUGUAUAAAAAAUGUUAACAGUGUACACAAAAAUAUAGACAUAAAAUAAUCAUUUUUACAAUGAUGAUUGUGUAUUUUCAAGAUGUUUAACAUGCAUAAAAAUAUAUUUUAAAUGUAAAUGUAAAAUCUACACAGAAAGUCGAGGAAAAAGAUACGAACAACACAUAGAAAACCAAAAAAGGUCAAUCGUAAGGUUCCGAAGAAAAACUGAUGAAACCCAUAAAGAAAACCACAUAAAAAAGAAAGAAUCCAAUGGAAACCGGUGAAAAAGAAAGAUGAAUAAAGAAAACCAAAAAAAUGAAUGAAAACAAAAUAAAAUAAAAAGCACGAGCGAGCAUACAACAAGACAAGAAUGCCCACCUAAACCCGAACGAACGAAGAGAAAAACUAAUUAAGGGGUAUACUUGCAGAAGCCAGGUAAGGGUCAUUUUGAUGGGUUGAGAGUGUAUCAAGUGAUGCAUCUAAUCGCUGCCACGUGUUGCAUGUUGGGUCACGCAUGAUUUUAUUUGUUUUAUUUUCUGUAUGCAUUUUAAGGUUUUAGAUGGAUUUCUUGUUUUCGCCUGUUUUUUUUAGGUUCUGAAGUUUUUAAAUGCAUGAUUUUUGCUUCUGGUGGUAGCACAUAUUUGUUUCUUAAAAAGGAACAUGUUUGCUUUCACGAAAAGCACAACUAUGCAUCUCAAAAAAGAAAAAGACAUGAUUUUUAUUACAUGGGAAACAUAAAUUUUUUCUUUAUGAAGACACAAAUAUGCUUUCGCAAGAAGCACAACUAUGCUUCUGGGAAAUGGUAAAAAUACGUAUUUUCUCAUAAGAAGCAUAAAUUUUCAUCUCGUGUAAGUACAACUAUACCUCUCGGAAAUGGUAAAAACACGUAUUUUCUCAUAACUAUGUGUUUUUCUUUCUGUUUUUAUAUUAAAAAAAUCAUAAAACCUAUUAACAUGAGAUCUAGUUUUGAAAGUCUCGACACAAAAACUAUAAGAAUGAAAAUGGUUCAAGAUUUAGACAGAUGAUAAAAAAUUAAUACAUUUUAAAUAAACGAACUCACAGGUUGCUACAAGUGAUGCACAUGCAACCCUUAUCUAAUGAUUUCAACGAACUAAUGAUUUGGACGAACAAAACAGAAAUCCCUGUUCGGUGCAUUCUGCGGACAUUUGCACAAAGGAGAUCGAGGAGUCAUUUCAUUUGGGUCGACCUAUUUAAGCGUUCAACCUCCUCGAUUGUGGCAACCUUCUAGAGGUUCACAUCUGUCUUUUUUUCUGGUUUUGAAAAACUUCUAGAAGUUUCCUGCACAGUUUUUUCUUUUUCUUUUUUUGUUUCCUUUUUUUCUUAAUCCUUUUUCUCACAUUUUGCCGUUUUUUCUGUUUUUUUCUUCUUUUGAUUCUAUUUCGUUUCUUUCUUUUCUUUUCUGUCCUUUCAUUUUAACUUUAAUUUUCUUUCUUCCAUUUCUUUUCAAUUUUUAUAUAAAUCAUUGUGUUUUAUUGUUUUGCUGUCCAGGAUUUUCAAAAGAUGUUCAGAAUUUCAUAAAACGUUGCCAUUAUAAAGAAUUGUUCACAAAUUUUAAGAAUAGUUAAUGUUUCAAUAAUUGUUCACAAAAUUUCCAUUUCUCAUGUGUUCAAAUUUUUUUCACCUUUCAAAAAUAGUUCACAAUUUCCAAAAAUUUUGAUCGUUUUUCAAAUUUUGAUCGGUAUGUUUUCCAUUAAAACGUGCACAACUUUUAAAAAACUAUUUGAAAUUUCUAAAAAUGUUCCCGCUUUCAAAACUAGUUCAUAAUUUUUGAAAAUGUUCAUGUUUCCCGUUUUGCAGGACAAAAUUUGGUUGUGAUUAUAAAUUUGUUUAUGUUUUAAAAAAAUUGUUCGGAUGGUUAUUCAAAAAUUAUUUGGAACAUCAGAAAAUUUCAAGUUUCAGAAAACGUCCCAACUUCAAAAAUUGUUCACAAAUUUCAAAAUUGUUCUUGUUUUAUAAUUUUCUUCGGUUGGUUCAAAAAAUGUUCGCCUUUUCAAAUAGUGUACAUUAGUUUAAAAAAUGUUCCUGUUUUAAAAUUUUGUUCAUAAAUUAAGAAAAUGUCACACUUUCUUAAUUUUCAGAGUUUCAAAAAAUGUUCACAGAUGCAAAUUUCCGUUUUUUCAAAAAAGAUUCACUAAUCAAAAAAAAAUUGCCGUUUUAGAAUUUGGUCGCACAUUAAAAAAA